rnacentral:lncRNA from 1 species
UAACUUUACAGAGGGAGUACCUAACGUGAAUUAUCUCGAAACACCGUCUGAAACGAAACACGAAUGGUAAAAGGAUAGAGGACGUAUACGUGCGCGGCCUAGCCGAACCAGGCACCGACAGGUGGGCACACGAAGCCGUCUCGAACCAGCCGGACCGGAGCCGCCGCGGGGUAAAGAAAAGAUCAGGCCCACUCCUCUCGUCUUCCCCCAUCGUCUUCGAAUUGGGGAUCUCGCGUCCCAACCAAACCCGCUCCAAACCUAGGGUUCCGCCGACCCGCCGUCUCGCCGACCGCUCGCCNNNNNNNNNNNNNNNNNNNNNNNNNNNNNNNNNNNNNNNNNNNNNNNNNNNNNNNNNNNNNNNNNNNNNNNNNNNNNNNNNNNNNNNNNNNNNNNNNNNNGACGAACUGUCGCAAUGGUGCACAGUCGGGGAGAACACAAUUUGAGCUUGAAAUUUUAGUGAGAGAUCACCUCAUAAUGCUACCGUCGUUCUAAGCAUAAUAAGGUGCAUAAAGGAUUAACAUCACAUGCAAUUCAUAAGUGACAUGAUAUGGCCAUCAUCAUGUGCUUCUUGAUCUCCAUCACCAAAGCACCGACACGAUCUUCUUGUCACCGGCACCACACCAUGAUCUCCAUCAACGUGUCGCCAUCAGGGUUGUCGUGCUACUCAUGCUAUUACUACUAAAGCUACGUCCUAGCAAUAUAGUAAACGCAUCUACAAGCACAAAUGUUAGUUUAAAGACAACCCUAUGGCUCCUGCCGGUUGCCAUACCAUCGAUGUGCAAGUCGAUAUUAACUAUUACAACAUGAUCAUCUCAUACAUCCAAUAUAUCACAUCACGUCGUUGGCCAUAUCACAUCACAAGCAUACCCUGCAAAAACAUGUUAGAUGUCCUCUAAUUGCUGUUGCAUGUUUUACGUGGUUGCCAUGGGUAUCUAGUGGGAUCGCAUCUUACUUACGCAAUCACCACAACAGAGAUGUAUGAAUUUCUAUUUAACCUCUCUCCAAGGACCUCCUCGGUCAAAUCCGAUUCAACUAAAGUUGGAGAAACCGACACUCGCCAGUCAUCUUUGAGCAAUGGGGUUGCUCGUAGCGAUGAAACCAGUCUCUUGUAAGCAUACGAGUAAUGUCGGUCCGAGCCGCUUUCAUCCAACAAUACCGCGGAAUCAAGAAAAGACUAAGGAGGGCAACAAAUCGCACAUCACCGCCCACAAAAACUUUUGUGUUCUACUCGAGAUAACAUCUACGCAUAAACCUAGCUCAUGAUGCCACUGUUGGGUAACGUCGCAAGGGAAACAAAAAAUUUCCUACGCGCACGAAGACCUAUCAUGGUGAUGUCCAUCUACGAGAGGAGAUUUGGAUCUACGUACCCUUGUAGAUCGCACAACAGGAAGCGUUAAGAAACGCGGUUGAUGUAGUGGAACGUCCUCACGUCCCUCGAUCCGCCCCACGAACCAUCCCGCAAUCCGUCCCACGAUCCGUCCCGCGAUCCGUCCCACGAACCGUCUCGCGAUCCGUUGCACGAACCGUCUUGCGAUCCAUCUCACGAUCCGUUCCGAUCUAGUGCCGAACGGACGACACCUCCGCGUUCAGUACAUGUACAGCUCGAUGACGAUCUCCGCCUUCUUGAUCCAGCAAGAGGGGGUGGAGAGGUAGAAGAGUUCUCUGGCAGCGUGACAUCGCCCCAGAGGUUUGUGGUGAUCUAUCUCACCAGGGCUCCGCACGAGCUCCCCAGAAAUACGAUCUAGAGGAAAAACCGUGGAGGUAUGUGGUCGGCCUGCCGUGGCAAAGUUGUGUCUCAAAACCCCCCAAUACCUCUAGUAUAUAUAGGAGGGAGGGGGNNNNNNNNNNNNNNNNNNNNNNNNNNNNNNNNNNNNNNNNNNNNNNNNNNNNNNNNNNNNNNNNNNNNNNNNNNNNNNNNNNNNNNNNNNNNNNNNNNNNCGGAGGAAUGCUUUGUGUGUAUCAAACGUCGCAACGUAACUGGGUGACUAUAAAGAUGCUCUACAGGUAUAUCCGAAGGUGUUCGUUGAGUUAGUAUGGAUCGAGACUAGGAUUUGUCACUCCGUGUGACGGAGAGGUAUCUCGGGGCCCACUCGGUAAUACAACAUCACACACAAGCCUUGCAAACAAUGUGACUUAGUGUAAGUUGCGGGAUCUUGUAUUACGGAACGAGUAAAGAGACUUGCCGGUAAACGAGAUUGAAAUAGGUAUAGGGAUACUGACGAUCGAAUCUCGGGCAAGUAACAUACCGAAGGACAAAGGGAAUGACAUACGGGAUUAUAUGAAUCCUUGGCACUAAGGUUCAAACGAUAAGAUCUUCGUAGAAUAUGUAGGAUCCAAUAUGGGCAUCCAGGUCCCGCUAUUGUAUAUUGACCGAUGAGUCUCUCGGGUCAUGUCUACAUAGUUCUCGAACCCGUAGGGUCUGCACACUUAAGGUUCGACGUUGUUUUAUGCGUAUUUGAGUUAUAUUGUUGGUUGCCGAAUGUUGUUCGGAGUCCCGGAUGAGAUCACGGACGUCACGAGGGUUUCCGGGAUGGUCCGGAAACGAAGAUUGAUAUAUAAGAUGACCUCAUUUGAUUGCCGGAAGGUUUUCGGAGUUACCGGGAAUGUGCCGAGAAUGACGAAUGGGUUCCGGGUGUUCACCGGGGGGGGGGGGCAACCCACCCCAGGGAAGCCCAUAGGCCUUGGGGGUGGCGCACCAGCCCUUGGUGGGCUGGUGGGACAGCCCAAGAAGGCCCUAUGCGCCAAAGGAUAAGAAAUCAAAGAGAAAGAAAAAAAAGGGGGAGGUGGGAAAGGAGAGAAGGACUCCACUUUCCAAUCCAAGUUGGAUUCGGUUUGGAAGGGGAGGACUUCCCCCCUUGGUUCGGCCGACCCCCUUGGGUCUCCUUGAGCCUCAAGGCAAGGCCCCUCCCCUCCCACCUAUAUAUACAGAGGUAUUAGGGUUGAUUUGAGACAACUUUUGCCACGGCAGCCCGACCACAUACCUCCACGGUUUUUCCUCUAGAUCGCGUUUCUGCGGAGCUCGGGCGGAGCCCUGCCGAGAUCAGAUCACCACCAACCUCCGGAGGGCCGUCACGCUGCCGGAGAACUCAUCUACCUCUCCGUCUCUCUUGCUGGAUCAAGAAGGCCGAGAUCAUCGUCGAGCUGUACGUGUGCUGAACGCGGAGGUGCCGUCCGUUCGGCACUAGAUCGUGGGACGGAUUGCGGGACGAUUCGCGGGGCGGAUCGAGGGACGUGAAGACGUUCCACUACGUCAACCGCAUUCACUAACGCUUCUGCUGUGCGAUCUACAAGGGUACGUAGAUCAGAAAUCCCCUCUCGUAGAUGGACAUCACCAUGAUAGGUCUUCGUGCGCGUAGGAAAUUUUUUGUUUCCCAUGCGACGUUCCCCAACAGUGGCAUCAUGAGCUAGGUUCGUGCGUAGAUGUCUUCUCGAGUAGAACACAAAAGUUUUUGUAGGCGGUGAUGUGUGUUUUGCUGCCCUCCUUAGUUUUUUCUUGGUUUCGUGGUAUUGUUGGAUUGAAGCGGCUUGGACCGACAUUACUCGUACGCUUACGAGAGACUGGUUUCAUCACUACGAGUAACCCCGUUGCUCAAAGAUGACUAGCAAGUGUCGGUUUCUCCAACUUUAGUUGAAUUGGAUUUGACCGAGGAGGUCAUUGUAUAAGGUUAAAUAGCAAUUCAUAUAUCUCCGUUGUGGUGUUUGCGUAAGUAAGAUGCGAUCCUACUAGAUACCCAUGGUCACCACGUAAAACAUGCAACAACAAAAUUAGAGGACGUCUAACUUGUUUUUGCAAGGUAUGCUUGUGAUGUGAUAUGGCCAACGAUGUGAUAUGAUAUAUUGAAUGUAUGAGAUGAUCAUGUUGUAAUAGAUAAUAUCGACUUGCACGUCGAUGGUACGGCAACCGACAGGAGCCAUAGGGUUGUCUUUAAACUAACGUUUGUGCUUGCAGAUGCGUUUACUAUUUUGCUAGGAUGUAGCUUUAGUAGUAAUAGCAUGAGUAGCACGACAACCCCGAUGGCGACACGUUGAUGGAGAUCAUGGUGUGGCGCCGGUGACAAGAAGAUCGUGCUGCUUUGGUGAUGGAGAUCAAGGAGCACGUGAUGAUGGCCAUAUCAUGUCACUUAUGAAUUGCAUGUGAUGUUAAUCCUUUUAUGCACCUUAUUUUGCUUAGAACGACGGUAGCAUUAUGAGGUGAUCUCUCACUAAAAUUUCAAGACGAAAUUGUGUUCUCCCCGACUGUGCACCGUUGCUAUANNNNNNNNNNNNNNNNNNNNNNNNNNNNNNNNNNNNNNNNNNNNNNNNNNNNNNNNNNNNNNNNNNNNNNNNNNNNNNNNNNNNNNNNNNNNNNNNNNNNAAAUGUCUGGGUACUCAAACCGUCUGGCUGAGCUGGGGAUUGAACUCCCGCAAGAGGCUAUCACUGACAGAAUCCUUCAAUCACUGCCGCCAAGCUAUAAAGGUUUUGUGUUGAACUACAACAUGCAAGGGAUGAACAAGUCUCCCGGCGAGUUGUUUGCGAUGCUGAAAGUCGCAGAGUCUGAACUCCGUAAAGAGCAUCAAGUGUUGAUGGUGAGCAAGACCACUAGUUUCAAGAGAAACGGCAAAGGCAAGAAGGGCAAUUCGAAGAAGAGCGGCAAGCCUGUUGCCAAUCCGCCGAAAAAACCCAAGGCUGGACCUAAGCCUGAAACAGAGUGCUUCUAUUGCAAGGGUAUGGGUCACUGGAAGCGCAAUUGCCCCAAGUAUCUGGCAGAUAAGAAGGCGGGCAAAGAAAAAUCAGGUAUAUUUGAUAUACAUGUUAUUGAUGUGUACUUAACCGGCUCUCGUAGUAGUGCCUGGGUAUUCGAUACCGGUUCUGUUGCUCACAUUUGCAACUCGAAACAGGAACUGCGGAAUAGACGAAGGCUGGCGAAAGACGAAGUAACGAUGCGCGUAGGAAAUGGUUCCAAGGUUGAUGCAAUCGCCGUCGGCACAGUGUCACUUCAGCUACCAUCGGGAUUAGUGAUGAACUUAAAUCAUUGUUAUUUAGUGCCUGCGUUAAGCUUGAACAUUAUGUCUGGAUCUUGUUUAUUGCGAGACGGUUACUCUUUUAAGUCUGAGAAUAAUGGUUGUUCUAUUUCUAUGAGUAACAUCUUUUAUGGUCAUGCACCGAAUGUGAGAGGAUUGUUCAUAUUGAAUCUUGAUAGCGAUACGCAUAUACAUAACAUUGAGACCAAAAGAGUUAGAGUAAACAAUGAUAGCGCCAUAUUUUUCUGGCACUGCUGCUUGGGUCAUAUUGGUGUAAAGCGCAUGAAGAAACUCCAUGCUGAUGGACUUUUGGAGUCACUUGACUUUGAUUCACUUGACACGUGCGAACCAUGCCUCAUGGGCAAGAUGACUAAGACUCCGUUCUCCGGAACAAUGGAGCGUGCAAGUGACUUGUUGGAAAUCAUACAUACCGAUGUGUGUGGUCCAAUGAGCGUGGAGGCACGCGGCGGAUAUCGUUAUUUUCUCACCUUCACUGACGAUUUAACUAGAUAUGGUUAUGUCUACUUGAUGAAGCACAAGUCUGAAACAUUUGAAAAGUUCAAGCAAUUUCAGAGUGAAGUGGAAAAUCAUCGUAACAAGAAGAUCAAGUUCCUACGGUCUGAUCGUGGGGGUGAAUAUCUGAGUUUCGAGUUUGGUGCUCACUUAAGACAAUGUGGAAUUGUUUCGCAGUUAACACCGCCUGGAACACCACAGCGUAAUGGUGUGUCCGAACGUCGUAAUCGUACUUUGUUAGAGAUGGUGCGAUCUAUGAUGUCUCUUACUGAUUUGCCGUUAUCAUUUUGGGGUUAUGCAUUAGAAACAGCUGCAUUCACUUUAAAUAGGGCACCAUCAAAAUCCGUUGAGACGACACCAUACGAACUGUGGUAUGGCAAAAGGCCAAAGUUGUCGUUUCUUAAAGUUUGGGGAUGUGAUGCUUAUGUCAAAAAGCUUCAGCCUGAAAAGCUGGAACCCAAAGCGGAAAGGUGCGUCUUCAUAGGUUACCCAAAAGAGACAGUUGGGUACACCUUCUAUCUCAAAUCCGAGGGCAAAGUGUUUGUUGCUAAAAACGGAGCUUUUCUCGAGAAGGAGUUUCUCUCGAGAGAAUUGAGUGGGAGGAAGAUAGAACUUGACGAGGUUGUCGAACCUCUCAUCCCUCUGGAUGGUGGCGCAGGGCAAGGGGAAACCUCUGUCGUUGCGACGCCGGUUGAGGAGGAAGUUAAUGAUGAUGAUCAUGAAACUCCAAUUCAAGUUUCUGUUGAACCACGCAGGUCGACGAGAUCACGCGCUGCUCCAGAGUGGUACGGUAAUCCCGUCUUAUCAAUCAUGUUGUUAGACAACAAUGAACCUGCAAAUUAUGAAGAAGCAAUGGUGGGCCCAGAUUCCAACAAAUGGCUAGAAGCCAUGAAAUCCGAGAUAGGAUCCAUGUAUGAGAACAAAGUGUGGACUUUGGAGAUACUACCUGAGGGCCGCAAGGCUAUUCAGAACAAAUGGAUCUUUAAGAAGAAGACGAACGCUGACGGUAAUGUGACCGUUUAUAAAGCUCGACUUGUGGCAAAGGGUUUUUCACAAGUUCCAGGAGUUGACUACAAUGAGACCUUCUCACCCGUAGCGAUGCUUAAGUCCGUCAGAAUCAUGUUAGCAAUAGCUGCAUUUUUCGAUUAUGAAAUCUGGCAGAUGGAUGUCAAAACGGCGUUCCUUAACGGUUUCCUUAAGGAAGAGUUGUAUAUGAUGCAACCCGAAGGUUUUGUCGAUCCUAAAAAUGCUGACAAGGUGUGCAAGCUCCAGCGAUCCAUUUAUGGACUGGUGCAAGCAUCUCGGAGUUGGAACAAACGCUUUGAUGAGGUGAUCAAAGCAUUUGGGUUUAUACAAGUGGUUGGAGAAUCUUGUAUUUACAAGAAAGUGAGUGGGAGCUCUGUGGCGUUUCUAAUAUUAUAUGUGGAUGACAUAUUACUGAUUGGAAACAACGUAGAGCUUUUGGAGAGCAUAAAAGGUUACUUGAAUAAAAGUUUCUCUAUGAAGGACCUAGGAGAAGCUGCUUACAUUCUAGGCAUUAAGAUCUAUAGGGAUAGAUCAAAACGCCUGAUAGGACUUUCACAAAGCACAUACCUUGAUAAAGUUUUGAAGAGGUUCAAAAUGGAACAGUCCAAGAAAGGGUUCUUGCCAGUUUUACAAGGUACGAGAUUGAGUAAGACUCAGUGCCCAGCAACUGAUGAAGAUAGAGAGCAUAUGCGCUCCGUCCCCUAUGCUUCAGCCAUAGGUUCUAUCAUGUAUGCGAUGUUGUGCACUAGACCGGAUGUUAGCCUGGCCAUAAGUAUGGCAGGUAGGUUCCAGAGUAAUCCAGGAGUGGAUCACUGGACAGCGGUCAAGAAUAUCCUGAAGUACCUGAAAAGGACUAAGGAGAUGUUUCUCGUGUAUGGAGGUGACGAAGAGCUCGCCGUAAAAGGUUACGUCGAUGCAAGCUUUGACACAGAUCCGGACGACUCUAAGUCGCAAACCGGAUACGUAUUUAUUCUUAAUGGGGGUGCAGUAAGCUGGUGCAGUUCCAAGCAAAGCGUCGUAGCAGAUUCUACAUGUGAAGCAGAGUACAUGGCUGCCUCGGAGGCGGCUAAAGAGGGUGUCUGGAUGAAGCAGUUCAUGACGGAUCUUGGAGUGGUGCCAAGUGCAUUGGAUCCAAUAACCUUGUUCUGUGACAACACUGGUGCCAUUGCCUUGGCAAAGGAACCAAGGUUUCACAAGAAGACCAGACACAUCAAACGACGCUUCAACCUCAUCCGCGACCACGUCGAGGAGGAGGACGUAAAUAUAUGCAAGGUGCACAUGGAUCUGAAUCUAGCAGACCCGCUGACUAAACCUCUUCCACGGCCAAAACAUGAUCGACACCAGAACUAUAUGGGUGUUAGACUUAUUACAAUGUAAUUCACAUGGUGAUGUGAGGGCUAGAUUAUUGACUCUAGUGCAAGUGGGAGACUGUUGGAAUUAUGCCCUAGAGGCAAUAAUAAAUGUAUAGUUAUUAUUAUAAUUCCUGUAUCAAGAUAAUAGUUUAUUAUCCAUGCUAUAAUUGUAUUGAAUGAAGACUCAUUUACAUGUGUGGAUACAUAGACAAAACACCGUCCCUAGCAUGCCUCUAGUUGGCUAGCCAGUUGAUCGAUGAUAGUCAGUGUCUUCUGAUUAUGAACAAGGUGUUGUUGCUUGAUAACUGGAUCACGUCAUUGGGAGAAUCACGUGAUGGACUAGACCCAAACUAAUAGACGUAGCAUGAUGAUCGUGUCAUUUUGUUGCUACUGUUUUCUGCGUGUCAAGUAUUUAUUCCUAUGACCAUGAGAUCAUAUAACUCACUGACACCGGAGGAAUGCUUUGUGUGUAUCAAACGUCGCAACGUAACUGGGUGACUAUAAAGAUGCUCUACAGGUAUCUCCGAAGGUGUUAGUUGAGUUAGUAUGGAUCAAGACUGGGAUUUGUCACUCCGUAUGACGGAGAGGUAUCUCAGGGCCCACUCGGUAAUACAACAUCACACACAAGCCUUGCAAGCAAUGUAACUUAGUGUAAGUUGCGGGAUCUUGUAUUACGGAACGAGUAAAGAGACUUGCCGGUAAACGAGAUUGAAAUAGGUAUGCGGAUACUGACGAUCGAAUCUCGGGCAAGUAACAUACCGAAGGACAAAGGGAAUGACAUACGGGAUUAUAUGAAUCCUUGGCACUGAGGUUCAAACGAUAAGAUCUUCGUAGAAUAUGUAGGAUCCAAUAUGGGCAUCCAGGUCCCGCUAUUGGAUAUUGACCGAUGAGUCUCUCGGGUCAUGUCUACAUAGUUCUCGAACCCGCAGGGUCUGCACACUUAAGGUUCGACGUUGUUUUAUGCGUAUUUGAGUUAUAUGGUUGGUUGCCGAAUGUUGUUCGGAGUCCCGGAUGAGAUCACAGACGUCACGAGGGUUUCCGGAAUGGUCCGGAAACGAAGAUUGAUAUAUAAGAUGACCUCAUUUGAUUGCCGGAAGGUUUUCGGAGUUACCGGGAAUGUGCCGAGAAUGACGAAUGGGUUCCGGGUGUUCACCGGGGAGGGGGGGCAACCCACCCCAGGGAAGCCCAUAGGCCUUGGGGGUGGCGCACCAGCCCUUGGUGGGCUGGUGGGACAGCCCAAGAAGGCCCUAUGCGCCAAAGGAUAAGAAAUCAAAGANGGGGGGGGGGGCAACCCACCCCGGGGAAGCCCAUAGGCCUUGGGGGUGGUGCACCAGCCCUUGGUGGGCUGGUGGGACAGCCCAAGAAGGCCCUAUGCGCCAAAGGAUAAGAAAUCAAAGAGAAAGAAAAAAAAGGGGGAGGUGGGAAAGGAGAGAAGGACUCCACUUUCCAAUCCAAGUUGGAUUCGGUUUGGAAGGGGAGGACUUCCCCCCUUGGUUCGGCCGACCCCCUUGGGUCUCCUUGAGCCUCAAGGCAAGGCCCCUCCCCUCCCACCUAUAUAUACGGAGGUAUUAGGGCUGAUUUGAGACAACUUUUGCCACGGCAGCCCGACCACAUACCUCCACGGUUUUUCCUCUAGAUCGCGUUUCUGCGGAGCUAGGGCGGAGCCCUGCCGAGAUCAGAUCACCAUCAACCUCCGGAGCGUCGUCACGCUGCCAGAGAACUCAUCUACCUCUCUGUCUCUCUUGCUGGAUCAAGAAGGCCGAGAUCAUCGUCGAGCUGUANNNNNNNNNNNNNNNNNNNNNNNNNNNNNNNNNNNNNNNNNNNNNNNNNNNNNNNNNNNNNNNNNNNNNNNNNNNNNNNNNNNNNNNNNNNNNNNNNNNNUCCCUUAGACCCAAGGCUAGCUCCUCCCCUCCUCCUAUAUAUACUGGUGGUUUUAGGGCUUUUGAGAAACAACUUUUUCCACGUGCAACUCAAACCUAUAUCACGUAGUUCUACCUCUAGAUCGGAUUUCUACGGAGCUCGGGUGGAGCCCUGCAGGAGUAGAUCAUCACCAACACUGGAGCACAGUCACGCUGGCAGAGAACUCAUCUACUUAUUUGUCUCUCUUGCUGGAUCAAGAAGGCCGAGAUCGUCAUCGAGUUGUACGUGUGCUAAACGCGGAGGUGCCAUCUGUUCGGUGCUAGAUCGGAACGGAUCGUGGGACGACGGUGAUUUGAAUCACGAAGUUGUACCACUACAUCAACCGCGUUUCUUAACGCUUCCCGCUUAGCGAUCUACAAGGGUAUGUGGAUCUAAUCUCCUCUCGUAGAUGAACAUCACCAUAAUACGUCUUCGUGUGCGUAGGAAAAUUUUUGUUUCCCAUGCAACGUUCCCCAACAGUGCGUCGGCGGAACGAUGGAGAAAUUCGUGAUUCUAGAUCUUCUGUAAGGGUUUCCUAUCGGAGAGGUAAAUAUAGGUCGAGGGAGGGCACUAGAGGGCAUGAGCCCCACCGAGGUGACCUGGUGGCACGUCCAGGAGGGGGUCGCGCAGGGAGGUCGCCUGGGCAGGCCCUGGCUCCCCUCUCGCCCACCUUUGGUGCUCGUGAAGCUUCCGUCACGCUGAUUUUUAUAUAUUUUUCUCGGGAUUUUUGGGACUUUGUAAAUUGGGGUAAAAGUCCAUGCAAAACAGACAUCAGCAGAUAGAAACUGGCACUGGGUGCACUGAGUUAGAAGGUAGUCCAAAUAUGUGUAAAAAGGUAUGAAAGUGUAGCAAAACAUAUAACAAUGUCACCCAAAAGAUCAUGGAACAAACAAAAAUUAUAGAUACGUUUGGGACGUAUCAACGGGGCGAUUGGCGCCGGACCCGGGGCCAUGAGCAGCGGAGAUGGAACCAUCGUGGGUGGCGCGAUGGUUGGUGGUGUGGCCAUGGGUGCGACCACUCGGGCUGGAAGUUGUGCGGCGACGGUGGGUGGUGUCGCCGGAGGGGCUGCGGUCACUGCAAGAGGGGGUGCAGAGACUGGUGGCGAGGAGGUGGUAGGUGACGUGGCAGUGAGCGGUGCAGAGGCAACAGUGGACGCCGCAGGCGACGCGGCGAUGACUAGUGCAGCAGCGAAGCUCUUUGUCUGAGCUGACGUGGCGGCAAACUGCGGCGAGGCAGCCGUUGUCGGCGGAGCUGCCACGGUGGCCUGCGGCGCUGAGGCGGUGAAGAUUGGUGGCUGAUGACGAGUUGAUGGAUAUACUUCUCACCCCUCGUUGGUUACCCCAAGUGGAAGGUGGAGAUGUAGUCAGCAGUAGAUUUCCCUUACACGGGGACUAUAAGGUUUAUCGAACCAGGAGGACUCCGAGGAUCAACAGGUAGGUGUCUGCUGCUCUGGCGCUAGCAAAAGACGUGGACCUAUACACACAACAAAUAACUUUCCUCCCAACGAGUUCAGAGAGGUUGUCAAUCUCUCCGGCCUUGUAGUUUGCAAAGGAUCAUAAUAGAAGCGUGAAUAAUAAUAGUGAUUGAACAGAAAAGUAAAUAAAAGCAGUAAAUGGUGGAGGUGUAACCAAUGGUGGUAAUAUGGACCAGAGUCUCAUGAUGUUCACUAUUGUUGUCUCUCUCCCAAAAGACGAUAAACAACUAUGUUGGGUAAACAAAUUACAGUUGGGAAUUGACAGAAUUAUAAACGCACCGCAAUGCUAAUCAUGCUACUAGAAAGUUAGAGGCUCAAAAGUAAUGGGCACUACGCCAAGACAAGUAGACCGUUUAUCCAUCAGCAUCUACUCUCUAAUCAUCCACCUCGAGAUAUCUAUCCAAAACAUCUCGCUGGUAUUAAGUUGCGAGCCCCACCCAAAGUGUAAACUCAAAGCAAUGGACAACUGCAUUAACGAACUUUGCGUAAGGUAAACAAUCCUUGCAGCCGUGGUCACAAGCACCGUUGUUUUCUCCCUGGUGGCAACAACACAUCCCCUAGUCUCAUGUUUCUGUCACUCAAGCUAGACAUCAGGAGGCAUGAAUCCACAAUCAAGCAUAACGCUCCCUCUUGGAGUUACAAUCUACUACUCGGCCAAAGCAAUAAAAAGCAACGGAGAACAUGCAUGAAUCACUCUAGAACAUAAUAUAAAAGGAUAACCAAAUAUAUAACUCAUCACAAUCUGAACAUGAUCUCAUAAUCCAUUGGAUCCCAACAAACCAAGCAUAGCAAUAGCAGGAAAAUUACAUAGAUGCCUUGAUCAUGUAGGGCAGCUCUGAAGGGCUAAGCAUUGAAGCACAAGAUUGGAGAGAAGACAUCACAUAGCUACUCGUCAUGGACUCAUGGUCAAAGGAGGACUACUCACGGCACGUCGGGGUAGCGUCCAUGGUGGUGGAGAAGAUCCCGGAGGUCAAUCAUCCCUCCGACAGGGUGCUGGGAAGAGGUCUUCUAACGCUCCCAAUCUUGGAAGCGUUGCGGCGGCGGAACGAUGGAGAAAUUCUCGAUUCUUAAUCUCUUGGAAGGGUUUCCUAUCGGAGAGUUAAAUAUAGACCGAAGGUGGGCACUAGAGGGCGUGGGCCCCACCCAGGCGACUUGGUGGUGCGGCCAGGUGGUGGGCCAUGCAGGGAGGCCGCCUGGGCGAGCCCUGGCUCCGCUCUACCCCCCACUUGAUGCCUCUCGAAGGUCGUCACGCUGAUCUUUAUAUAUUUUUCUCGGGAUUUUUGGGACUCAGUAAAUUGGGGUAAAAGUCCCUCAAAAAAGACAUCAGCAGAUAGAAACUAACACUCGGUGCAUUGAGUUAGUAGGUUUUUGCAAACAUGUGUAAAAAGGUAUGAAAGUGUAGCAAAACAUAUAACAAUGUCACCCAAAAGAUCAUGGAACAAACAAAAAUUAUAGAUACGUCUCGGACGUAUCAACAUCCCAAGCUUAAUUCCUGCUCGUCCUCGAGUAGGUAAAUGAUAACACAAAUAAUUUAUGUGGUGACAUGCUAACACACAUAUAAGAACUUCAAAGUAAAGAAAGUAAAAUAUGCAAUUCAAGUCAAGACAAUAACACGCAAGAGUCUAUAUUUAGUAUUGAAAAUAACAAAGUAAGAACAUAAAGGUGCAAGAGCUCUCGCUGUCCAUGACUCGAAUGUCUCUAAAUGGUGUUUACGUGCAAGAAGUGUGAGAUGGGUUUAGAUCAUAAGAAUAGUUUAUAGUUUAAUUUAUAACUCAAUCUACUAUUACUUCACACUUGGUCUCCUUUGGAAUCGUAUUUUGACUCAUCCCGCGACCACUAGUCAGGCACAAAUCAAAAUGAUCCUCUCCCUUUCGACUUUGAGCACUCAUGCAAUGGAUGAGCGCAAGCAAGAUAUGUUGGCACUUAGGAUGGCAAAGAGAAUAAUGAUGGGGAAGGAAGACAAAAAGGUGUGAAAGGCUCACAUCAAUGAGGACAAUCAUCGGCGAGAGAAAGCCAAAUGAUAGAUAUGAUGCGAGGAGUAGGGAUUGCCAUGCAACGGAUGCACAUAUGAUCUAAGGUAAGAUCUCCAAUGAAACUAGUGGGGGUGCAUCCAACUUGCUUGCUCAUGAAGACCUAGAGCUCAUUUGAGGAGGCUCAUCAUUGAAAUAUACAAGCCAAGUUCUAUAGUGUAUGGGUCCCGACAUAGUUAUGCAUGAAUGAUAAUCUCUAUGGAGUACAAAUAUAACAAUGGAGUACGAGUGUGGAUCUUUCAAAAGGAAUAGUAGUGUUGCCCCCUUCUCUCUUUUUAUUUCUUUUUUUAUUUUUUUNCCUCUUUGGGAUCUUUUCAUUUGUCCUCUUUGGGAUCUUUAAUUUGUCCUCUUUGGGAUCUUUUCCUCACUUAAGGGCAACACUCUAUGUUUUACAAGAAUAAAAGAAGAUCUUCACACUUUAUAAGAAGUACUCAACAUAAAGACAAAUGAAAGCUAUCAUGAUGUAUGCAAAUGUACACCUCUACCAGUGUAGCAGGAUAUGCAAUGAAACUAGCGCGUCAUGUAGCAAUAAUAAGGGCAAGGCCCAACUAGCAUGCGGCUCCUCGAUCAAGCAAAAGCAUGUAUGACAUGAAUAUCAAGUCAUGAUAUGUUGGAUGUUGCAUGGAAUGUAUCUCGAAAAGGCUAUGGAAAUGCCAUAAUAUGUAGGUAUGGUGGCUGUUUUGAGGAAAGAUAUAAUGAGGCUUAUGAUGACAGAGCGUAUCAUGCCACGGGGUUGGAUGCAUCGGCGAAGUUUGCACCAACUCUCAAGAUGAGAAAGGGCAAUGGACGGUACCGAAGAGGCUAGCGAAAUAUGGAUGGUGGAAAUGCCAACAAUCGAAUACUCGCAUUAAUCUGAAGAACUCAUGCACUUAUUUUCGGUAACUCUCCAUCUAGUGAGGAGAUUCACAAAGAGACAAGCACCCCGUGGAGGAGUGUUUGGGGGUUUGGUUAUCCUUGCGCAUCCUCGACUCAUGGUAACGUGUGGGUACUCUAUAUAUUCCAACCCCUCCAGAGGUUAGUGAUCCAUCUAGUAGCUAGAGUUCUCAACGAACUUUUUGUUUUUGAAAAUACACACGGAUUUCCCAAAAUAUGACACAUAUCACUAAUAGACUCAAGCUCUUGGCACCAAUAGUCCAAACAUUACUCAAAUCAAUACCUCAAAACUAUUGCAAGUUACUAGUAUAGUUAAAUAGCAACCUCAAUUACCUACUCAUGCAAGACACACAACUCAGUGCAACAAGCCAACUCUCUAAACAAGAUGAACAUGAUAACUCAAGAGAGUUCCAAAAUCAACCUAAAUAAAAGAUCUUGAAAAUAUAAAGCAUGAAAACUAAGAACUAAGCAUGACAGCAGCUAUGAAAAGAUAAAGAAUACACAAAAAAGAUAAGCAUGAAAACCUAUGUUGUGUUCUAGAGUGGAAUGGAGCGUGUUUCUCUCCGAAACAAAGAAAGGUAGGUUCCAACUUGUUAUGAACAGCAAGAAAAACUAAAACAAACUACAAAUUAAAGAGCGGGACGCUCCAAGCAUAGCACAUAACAUAUGAAGUGAUAAAAAUAUAACAUGGAGAAGGACGAACUGAUGAUUGUUGAUGGACAAGGCGAUCCACGGGGGCAUCCCCGAGCUUAGACGCUCGAGUCUCCUUGAAUAUUUCUUGGGGGUGCAUGGGGGUAUCUCCAAGCUUGAGCGCUUGACACUCCUGGAUCUUCUUUCAUCAUCUUCCAUCGCAUAUUUGAAAACUGCCUUCAUAUGAAACUCAUCAUAAGCUGAUUAGAGUGGUUAGUGCCCAUGAUAAAAUAAUUUAUUAUCUACUGGAAAUAAAGAUUUUCAUGAAGAGCUACAGUUUCUCAAGAUUGCCAAAAAGUUUUUGCAAAGAAAAAACAAGAUUAAGAUUUGCAAAACAAUGAAAACGCAAAACGUGGCGGAAUCUGUGAAAAACAGAAGUGCAGGUAGUAAAUAAUUGUUUUGGGGGACUUCUGCAACUCAAAUCAAAAAACUCAGAACAGACGCCGGACAGACAAUUACAUAGAGCAUACUUUCAAAACAAUUCAGAUCAAAAAGAUGAUCUGGUGAUUUUUGGCGAAUUUGUGUGUCAAGCAGACAGUAUCUGUUUCUUGACAACAUGUCACAACUUUUGAUCUUUCUUGCAAUCGGAGGGUAAAACUUGGCACAAAGCUUAAAAAUAAAGAUACAAUGAUGCUGCUACAGUAGUAACACACAUCAAGACCACUAAAAACUGAAAGUAAAGAUAACAAGGGUUGUCUCCCUAGAGCUUUUCUUUAUAGCCAUAAAGAUAGGCUUAAGAUUUUAAUGAUGCUCUCGUAGGAAUAAGAGUUGUAGAACAAAAGAGAGCAUCAAGAAGCAAGUACCAAACACAUUUAAGUCUAACAUGCUUCCUAUGCAUAGGAAUGUUGCAAUAAAAUAAUUCAUUGAAGCACAAAGCAAUAAGCAUAGGAAGGCAAAACAAGUGCAACUUCAAAACCUUCAACAUAAAGAGAGGGAACUUGAUGUUAUUGAAAUAUCUAUAAGCAUAUGUUACCUUCUCAUAAUAAUUUUCAGUGGGAUCAUGAAUAAACUCAACAAUAUAAGUAUCACAUAAGGCAUUAUUUCCAUGAUCCAAAAUCAUAAAAGUAUCAUUACUCUUCUUAUAAGCAAAAUCUUUCUUAUUAGGAAUAGUGAAAGUAAAGCAAUCAUUAUCAUAAUGGUAAUCAUCAUGUUUAGGAAGCAUAGUAUCAUCAAAGCAAAUUUUCUCCUCAAAAGUUGGGGGACUAAAAAUACUUGUUCAUCAAACCCGUCAUCCCCAAGCUUAGAGCUUUCCAUGUCAUUAGCAAUAUUGAUAUUCAAAGUAAGCAUACUAAUAACGUUGUCACCAUAAUAAUUGUUAUGCAAAUAAUAAAGUUCCAUAGGUUUUUUAAUUUUCUCCUUAAACACUUCAUGCCCUAGUUCAAGAUAAAGUUUAUAAAGCUCUCUCAUAUUUUUGUUGUUUUCCAUUAAGCCUAACUAGUGAAAUAAAAACAAGAAACAAAAAGAUUUAAUUGCAAGAUCUAAAAAAAUACCUUCAAGCACUCACCUCCCCGGCAACGGCGCCAGAAAUUUGCUUGAUGACGAGUUGAUGGAUAUACUUCUCGCCCCUCGUUGGUUACCCCAAGUGGAAGGUGGAGAUGUAGCCAGCAGCAAAUUUCCCUUACACUCGGACUGUAAGGUUUAUCGAACCAGGAGGACUCCGAGGAUCAACAAGUAGGUGUCCGCUGCUUUGGCGCUAGCAGAAGAUGUGGACCUGCACACACAACAAAUAACUUUGGUCCCAGCAAGUUCAGAGAGGUUGUCAAUCUCUCCGGCCUUGUAGUUUGCAAAGUAUCAAAACACAAGCGAGAAUAGUAAUAGUGAUUGCAACGAAAAAGUAAAUAAAAGCAGUAAAUGGUGGAGGUGUAAACAAUGGUGGUAAUAUGGACCAGAGUCUCAUGAUGUUCACUAGUGAUGUCUCUCUCCCAAAGGACGAUAAACAACUAUGAUGGGUAAACAAAUUAAAGCUGGGCAAUUGCCAGAAUUAUAAAGGCACCGCAAUGCUAAUCAUGCUACUAGAAAGUUAGAGGCUCAAAAGUAAUGGGCGGUAUGCCAAGACAAGUAGACCGUUUAUCCAUCACCAUCUACUCUCUAAUCAUCCACCUUGAGAUAUCUAUCCAGAACAUCUCGCUGGUAUUAAGUUGCGAGCCCCACCCAAAGUGUAAACUCAAAGCAACGGACAACUGCAUUAACAAACUUCGCGUAAGGUAAACAAUCCUUGCAACCGUGCUCACAAGCACCGUUGUUUUCUCCCUAGUGGAAACAACACAUCCCCUAGUCUCAUGUUUCUGUCACUCAAGCUAGACAUCAGGGGGCAUGAACCCACAAUCAUGCAUAACGCUCCUCUUGGAGUUACAAUCUACUACUCGGCCAAUGCAAUAAAAAGCAACGGAGAACAUACAUGAAUCACUCAAGAACAUAAUAUAAAAGGAUAACCAAAUAUAUAACUCAUCACAAUCUGAACAUAAUCUCAUAAUCCAUCGGAUCCCAACAAACCAAGCAUAGCAAUAGCAGGAAAAUUACAUAGAUGCCUUGAUCAUGUAGGGCAGCUCACAAGGGUUAAGCAUUGACGCACAAGAUUGGAGAGAAUACAUCACAUAGCUACUGGUCAUGGACUCAUGGUCCAAGGAGCACUACUCACGACACGUCCGGGAAGCAUCCAUGGUGGUGGAGAAGCUCCCGGAGGUCAAUCCUCCCUCCGACAGGGUGCCGAGAAGAGGCCUUGUGAUGCUCCCGAUCUCAGAAGCGCUGCGGCGGCGGAACGAUGGAGAAAUUCACGAUUCUGGAUCUCCUGGAAGGGUUUCCUAUCAGAGAGGUAAAUAUAGGCCGAAGGAGGGCACCAAUGGGCGUGGGCCCCACCCAGGUGACCUGGUGGCACGACCAGGGGGUGGGCCAUGCAGGGAGGCCGCCUAGGCGAGCCCUCGCUCCCCUCUGGCCCCACUUGAUGCCUCUCGAAGCUUCCCUCACGCUGAUUUUUAUAUUUUUUCUCCGGAUUUUUGGACUCGGUAAAUUGGGGUAAAAGUCCCAUGCAAAAAAGACAUCAACAGACAGAAACUGGCACUUGGUGCACUGAGUUAGUAAGUUAGUCCAAAUAUAUGUAAAAAGGUAUGAAAGUGUAGCAAAACAUAUAACAAUGUCACCCAAAAGAUCAUGGAACAAACAUAAAUUGUAGAUACGUUUGGGAUGUAUCAGCAGCGCUGCGGACACCUGGGACAGCGAGGCAGCCAUUGUCGGCCGAGCUACCGCGGCGGCCUGCCCGCCGAGGCGGUGAAAAUUGGCGGUGUUGCGGACACCUGGGAUGAUGAGGCGGUCGUUGUCGGCGGUGAUGAGCACGCAAAGAAGCGAGACGAAGAUGAUGAUGAUGUCCUUAUGGUCAGAGGCGGAGCUAGGUAGGAAUGUUGAGGGGGCCAAAAGUCAAAACAUGAACAAUUGAGAGGGUAAAGAUUAAUCUUUUCCUUAUCUAAUCCUUGCACAGUAAACUUUCUUCACUGCUUUGCUUGGGGGGCACGGUCCCCCUCAGGACUGCACUAUGCUCCGACACUGCUUGUGCUCGACGAUGAUCCGAGCACCCGGCAUGGACAGAAACGUCACCUCCUAGAGGAGCCUCCUGGCCGUCAUGGGUGGCUCCAUCAUCAUGUAUGUGUUUGGACUGAUGGGAUGGGUGGGGAGUGAGACGGGGGUAGGUGGAUACGAUGUGGGGAAUAAGGUAGUUUGUGCUGAAAGCUAGUGAGUGUAGCCUGAAGCGAGUGGGCUCUAGUCCUGGGAUUUUAUAGGCCUGCAAUCUAAAACAUGUGCGCCCCCGUGUCUCGUUCGGGCGCUCGAUGGGGUCGCAUCCAAUGAUAGGCGCUCGUCACGUGCCACCUAGUCAGGGCCAGACCGAAGCGCUCACCUGGUCGGGCCGCGCUGUGCAUGGUGACACGGUCGUCCCGUCCGGGCGCACAUGUCAUAGCCACAUCGCAGUUUACGGUAGUGGGUGUAGUGAGGGGGUUCAAAUUUUGAGCCACAAUUUUUGCCCCGUUUCUCCCCCUCAUCCAACUUCUCCUCGGUCCUUUACGUUGUCAUCACUGUUGCGCUCGAGCGAGGGAGAGACGCAGGCAUGACGCGGUUGAAGACGGGGCGGUGUGAGAGUUUUCGACGGUGCAUGUGAAGCAAUCUAGCUUCCCCGCCCUCCUCCCCGCGUUUUUUUGCCGGCUAUGUCGAGCUCAACGUCUAGGUCGAGGGCGCACGAAGAGGGGCCGCGGGGAGGCAUUGUUUUUGGGCGCCGAGGUGGUGGGGAAGGCGGUGAAGGCGAGGUGCACGACGCCCACACUAUCGCACGAAGAGGGGCCACAUGGCAGCGAGUAUGUCGAGGCCAUGCAGAGAGGAUCCGCGUGGUGACAACAUUUUGGGGCGGCGAGGUGAUGAGGAUGGCGUCGACGGCGAGGCGACGGAGGAGGAAUGAGCAAAGUAGGUAUGCGUCGGGUGGUCGGGGUAGAGGAACCAUUUUUUAAUUUUUUAGGAAGGAAAACCGUUUUAAAGCAAAUAUCCGUUUUUCCGUCCUAAUCCAAGAAAAAUCGACACCCUAUGCUAAACCGGACCCAUCGCUCUCGUCUAUCCUAGUCCUGGUCAAACGGACCGGUUCGGCCCGACACGACCCGACCCAUCAUAAUCAUGGCCGCCAUGACCUGACCCGCCAUAGCACAAUUAUUAGUCGGAUUGUGUCGUGCCGGCGCACAUGCUGAUCCCUCUAGCCCAGACAUGGCUCAGGAGCUAUACGGCCGGCCCGUCAACACGCGAGGCCCGCUGGCGUGAGGCUAUAUUAGCCUUUUAGGCUGAUUUUUGAGCUGAUUUUGACCUGUGGGGCUCUUUUGUAUGUCAUAUAUAUAUAUAUUAAAAAAUAUAAAUAACUUUUCUUUUGAAGAAACAACCCGCUUUAUUUCAUAUCAUAAUGUUUUGGGGGUUACAAAGGUUGUCCGGAGGACUAUUAAACCAAAGAUGACGGCCUAUAGCUAAGGUGGUGGCCAUCCUUGCUAGGUAAUGUGCCUCCCUAUUACUAUCACGCUGCUCAUGAACAAACUCGCAGCUCACGCAUGUUCACGCAUGUAGUUGAAACAUAAACAACAUAGCCUCUAUGAUGUUCAUGUUCAUGGUGAUUUAUGUCCUACUCAUGCUUGCACUCAAUGUUAGUUAAUCUCGAUGCAUUUUGAUGACUGUUGUUGCUCUCUAGUUGGUCGCUUCCCAGUCUUUUGCUAGCCUUCACUUGUACUAAGCGGGAAUACUGCUUGUGCAUCCACCUCCAUAAACCCAAAGUUGUGACAUAUGAGUCCACCAUACGUACCUAUGUGCGGUAUCUACUUGCCGUUCCAAGUAAAUUUGCAUGUGCCACUCUCUAUACCUUCAAGAAAUAAUCUGUUUUGCAUGCCCGAACUGCUCAUGUGGUGACAGGGGGCUAUUGGUAUCUUCCAUGCUAGACGUGUUAUCCUUGAUAUGUGUUUACUCACUAUUAUUCACGAGAAAGGGACCGGUAAUUGGAAUUCCCAGUUCCAUGCUCAAAUCGAAAAGAUAAUUGCAAACAAAACCCCCCCAGGAUUGAUGUUGGUAUGGAUGGUACCCGAGGAUUUGGCUAGCCGUGGAGUGUGAUUGAUUGGUGGUUGGGGGAGCCAAAACUUUAGUUUUCUGUUUGGGAACCGCCUAUAGCAUGUGUAGCGUGGAAGAUGUUGAGAACUCUUAGUCAUUGCGUUGACAAUGAAAGAUGCCACCCAAAAUUAUUAUCUCUAUUUUCAAAGCUUGAGCUCUAGCACCUCUGCAAAUCAAUGCUUCCCUCUACGAAGGGCCUAUCUAUUUAUGUUCCUGUUGAGUCAUACUCCUCUUACAAAAGCACCAAUUAGAGAGCACCUCGAUCAUUUUUAUGCUUUGCUUUUAACCAUGUUGAGUAUGAAUGUGACUGGGUCUUCAUUGCCUUGAAUUACAAUGUUUAGUCAGCCCUUGGUCUUUGAAGGUGCUCUGCAUUUAUGUUUUGCGGUCUCAGAAAGAGCUAGCGAGAUACCAUCUAUUCAUACUGCUUCAUGAUUGUUUUGAUUGAAGUGUUGACGUUUGAGACCUAUUAUUAUUUGCUCGCUAGUUGAUUAUGCCAUUGAUAUGAGUUUACCGUGAGACCUAGAUGUCAUUUGCUUAUGUGGUUUACUUGUGAUCUUGCUGAAAUUCUGGUUAUGAGUUAGACAUAGUUGCAACAACAAGAUCAAACAGAGUCGUCAAAGUUUUUCUUUUGUCUCUUUUAGUUUGUCAACUGAAUUGCUUGAGGACAAGCAAGACUUUAAGCUUGGGGGAGUUGAUAAGUCUCCGUCGUAUCUACUUUUCCAAACUCUUUUGCCCUUGUUUUGGACUCUAAUUUGCAUGAUUUGAAUGGAACUAACCCGGACUAACGCUGUUUUCAGCAGAAUUGCCAUGGUGUUGUUUUUGUGCAGAAAUAAAAGUUCUCGGAAUGUCCUGGUAAUUUACGGAGAAUUUUUCUGGAAUAAAAGAAAAAUACCUGCGCAAAGAUCCACCGGAGGGGGCGUGCCAGUGGGCCACAAGCCCCUGGGCCGCGACCACCCCCUAGGGCGCGCCGUGAGGGCUUGUGGGGCCCACGUGGCACCACCGCCCCCAAACUCAGCUCUAUAUCUUCCGUCUCGCCCGGAAAAAAUCAGGGAGAAGCAUUCAUCGCGUUUUAUGAUACGGAGGCGCCGCCACCUCCUAUUCAGGGCUCCGCAGAGGGGUAAUCGUAGCCAUCGUCAUCAUCAACCUUCCUCCAUCCACAAUUCCAUAAUGCUCUUCACCGUUUGUGAGUAAUCACAUCGUAGGCUUGCUGGACGGUGAUGAGUUGGAUGAGAUCUAUCAUGUAAUCGAGUUAGUUUUGACGGGGAUUGAUCCCUAGUAUCCACUAUGUUCUAGAUUGAUGUUGCUACUACUUGGCUAUGCUUAAUGCUUGUCACUAGGGCCCGAGUGCCAUGAUUUCAGAUCUGAACCUAUUAUAUUGUCGCCAAUAUAUGUGUGUUUUAGAUCCUAUCUUGCAAGUUGUAGUCACCUACUAUGUGUUAUGACCCGGCAACCCCGGAGUGACAAUAGCCGGAACCACUCCCGGAGAUGACCAUAGUAUGAGGAGUUCAUGUAUUCACCAAGUGUUAAUACGUUGGUCCGGUUCUUUAUUAAAAGGAGAACCUUAAUAUCCCGUAGAUUCCAUUAUGACCCCGCUGCCAUGGGAGGGAUGAACAAUAGAUGUCAUGCAAGUUCUUUUCCCUAAGCACGUAUGACUACAUACGGAAUACAUGCCUACAUUAGAUUGACGAACGGGAGCUAGUUACUUAUCUCUCCGUGUUAUAGCUGUUACAUGAUGAAUCACAUCCGUCAUACUCAUCCAUCACCGAUCCACUGCCUACGAGUCUUUUACUACUGGUCCUUGCUACGUUACUUUGCUGCUACUGCUGUCGCUACUGCUGUUACUUGUUGCUGCUGUCACUACUUCUGUUCCUUGCUGCUGCUGUCACUACUGAUGUUACUUGCUACUUUGCUGUUACCUGUUGCAAGACUUUUCUGGAGCCGUUGUCGGGGAAGAAUAGUCCCCCGUCCACGUGCUAUUUACUGGCGCCAUUGAUACAACAGUUAGGAAUAGUCUGCCGUCAACAGAUCUUUUUCUCACACCGUUGCUAUCAUACCACUUUGCUACUGAUACUUUGCUUGCAGACACUAAUCUUUCAGGUGUGGUUGAAAUUGACAAACUCAGCUGCUAAUACUUGAGAAUAUUCUUUCGCUUCCCCUUGUGUCGAAUCUAGAAAUUUGGGUUGAAUACUCUACCCUCGAAAACUGUUGCGAUCCCCUACACUUGUGGGUUAUCAGGACCAUUUCCUGGCACCAUUGCCGAGGAGGCACAACUAUAUUCUCUGAGUCACUUGGGAUUGACGUCUGCUGGUCACUAUGAGGAAUCCGAAAGAUCCAAGAACUGAAAUCUUGCCUUCCACUACAAGGAGAGGUAAGGAACUGCCAUCUAGCUCUGCACUUGAUUCACCUUCAGUUAUGAGUAAGUUUGCGACUUCGCCUCCUGCUAGAAAUCUUGAUAUGUCGCAUGUGCUUGAUGAUGCUACUGUUGGAAUUAUGCCCUAGAGGCAAUAAUAAAUGUAUAGUUAUUAUUAUAAUUCCUGUAUCAAGAUAAUAGUUUAUUAUCCAUGCUAUAAUUGUAUUGAAUGAAGACUCAUUUACAUGUGUGGAUACACAGACAAAACACCGUCCCUAGCAUGCCUCUAGUUGGCUAGCCAGUUGAUCGAUGAUAGUCAGUGUCUUCUGAUUAUGAACAAGGUGUUGUUGCUUGAUAACUGGAUCACGUCAUUGGGAGAAUCACGUGAUGGACUAGACCCAAACUAAUAGACGUAGCAUGAUGAUCGUGUCAUUUUGUUGCUACNNNNNNNNNNNNNNNNNNNNNNNNNNNNNNNNNNNNNNNNNNNNNNNNNNNNNNNNNNNNNNNNNNNNNNNNNNNNNNNNNNNNNNNNNNNNNNNNNNNNGCAUGCAAGCUUGGAGAUACCCCCAUGCACCCCCAAGAAAUAUUCAAGGAGACUCGAGCGUCUAAGCUCGGGGAUGCCCCCGUGGAUCGCCUUGUCCAUCAACAAUCAUCAGUUCGUCCUUCUCCAUGUUAUAUUUUUAUCACUUCAUAUGUUAUGUGCUAUGCUUGGAGCGUCCCGCUCUUUAAUUUGUAGUUUGUUUUAGUUUUCUUGCUGUUCAUAACAAGUUGGAACCUACCUUUCUUUGUUUCGGAGAGAAACACGCUCCAUUCCACUCUAGAACACAACAUAGGUUUUCAUGCUUAUCUUUUUUGUGUAUUCUUUAUCUUUUCAUAGCUGCUGUCAUGCUUAGUUCUUAGUUUUCAUGCUUUAUAUUUUCAAGAUCUUUUAUUUAGGUUGAUUUUGGAACUCUCUUGAGUUAUCAUGUUCAUCUUGUUUAGAGAGUUGGCUUGUUGCACUGAGUUGUGUGUCUUGCAUGAGUAGGUAAUUGAGGUUGCUAUUUAACUAUACUAGUAACUUGCAAUAGUUUUGAGGUAUUGAUUUGAGUAAUGUUUGGACUAUUGGUGCCAAGAGCUUGAGUCUAUUAGUGAUAUGUGUCAUAUUUUGGGAAAUCCGUGUGUAUUUUCAAAACAAAAAGUUCGUUGAGAACUCUAGCUACUAGAUGGAUCACUAACCUCUGGAGGGGUUGGAAUAUAUAGAGUACCCACACGUUACCAUGAGUCGAGGAUGCGCAAGGAUAACCAAACCCCCAAACACUCCUCCACGGGGUGCUUGUCUCUUUGUGAAUCUCCUCACUAGAUGGAGAGUUACCGAAAAUAAGUGCAUGAGUUCUUCAGAUUAAUGCGAGUAUUCGAUUGUUGGCAUUUCCACCAUCCAUAUUUCGCUAGCCUCUUCGGUACCGUCCAUUGCCCUUUCUCAUCUUGAGAGUUGGUGCAAACUUCGCCGAUGCAUCCAACCCCGUGGCAUGAUACGCUCUGUCAUCAUAAGCCUCAUUAUAUCUUUCCUCAAAACAGCCACCAUACCUACAUAUUAUGGCAUUUCCAUAGCCUUUUCGAGAUACAUUCCAUGCAACAUCCAACAUAUCAUGACUUGAUAUUCAUGUCAUACAUGCUUUUGCUUGAUCGAGGAGCCGCAUGCUAGUUGGGCCUUGCCCUUAUUAUUGCUACAUGACGCGCUAGUUUCAUUGCAUAUCCUGCUACACUGGUAGAGGUGUACAUUUGCAUACAUCAUGAUAGCUUUCAUUUGUCUUUAUGUUGAGUACUUCUUAUAAAGUGUGAAGAUCUUCUUUUAUUCUUGUAAAACAUAGAGUGUUGCCCUUAAGUGAGGAAAAGAUCCCAAAGAGGACAAAUUAAAGAUCCCAAAGAGGACAAAUGAAAAGAUCCCAAAGAGGAAAACUGAGAGAUAAAUUGAAAGAGUCAAAGAGGCCACACAAAAAUUAAAAAAUAAAAAAGAAAUAAAAGAGAGAAGGGGCAACACUACUAUUCCUUUUGAAAGAUCCACACUCGUACUCCAUUGUUAUAUUUGUACUCCAUAGAGAUUAUCAUUCAUGCAUAACUAUGUCGGGACCCAUACACUAUAGAACUUGGCUUGUAUAUUUCAAUGAUGAGCCUCCUCAAAUGAGCUCUAGGUCUUCAUGAGCAAGCAAGUUGGAUGCACCCCACUAGUUUCAUUGGAGAUCUUACCUUAGAUCAUAUGUGCAUCCGUUGCAUGGCAAUCCCUACUCCUCGCAUCAUAUCUAUCAUUUGGCUUUCUCUCGCCGAUGAUUGUCCUCAUUGAUGUGAGCCUUUCACACCUUUUUGUCUUCCUUCCCCAUCAUUAUUCUCUUUGCCAUCCUAAGUGCCAACAUAUCUUGCUUGCGCUCAUCCAUUGCAUGAGUGCUCAAAGUCGAAAGGGAGAGGAUCAUUUUGAUUUGUGCCUGACUAGUGGUCGCGGGAUGAGUCAAAAUACGAUUCCAAAGGAGACCAAGUGUGAAGUAAUAGUAGAUUGAGUUAUAAAUUAAACUAUAAACUAUUCUUAUGAUCUAAACCCAUCUCACACUUCUUGCACGUAAACACCAUUUAGAGACAUUCGAGUCAUGGACAGCGAGAGCUCUUGCACCUUUAUGUUCUUACUUUGUUAUUUUCAAUACUAAAUAUAGACUCUUGCGUGUUAUUGUCUUGACUUGAAUUGCAUAUUUUACUUUCUUUACUUUGAAGUUCUUAUAUGUGUGUUAGCAUGUCACCACAUAAAUUAUUUGUGUUAUCAUUUACCUACUCGAGGACGAGCAGGAAUUAAGCUUGGGAUGUUGAUACGUCCGAGACGUAUCUAUAAUUUUGUUUGUUCCAUGAUCUUUUGGGUGACAUUGUUAUAUGUUUUGCUACACUUUCAUACCUUUUUACACAUGUUUGCAAAAACCUACUAACUCAAUGCACCGAGUGUUAGUUUCUAUCUGCUGAUGUCUUUUUGAGGGACUUUUACCCCAAUUUACUGAGUCCCAAAAAUCCCGAGAAAAAUAUAUAAAGAUCAGCGUGACGACCUUCGAGAGGCAUCAAGUGGGGGUAGAGCGGAGCCAGGGCUCGCCCAGGCGGCCUCCCUGCAUGGCCCACCACCUGGCCGCACCACCAAGUCGCCUGGGUGGGGCCCACGCCCUCUAGUGCCCACCUUCGGUCUAUAUUUAACUCUCCGAUAGGAAACCCUUCCAAGAGAUUAAGAAUCGAGAAUUUCUCCAUCGUUCCGCCGCCGCAACGCUUCCAAGAUUGGGAGCGUUAGAAGACCUCUUCCCAGCACCCUGUCGGAGGGAUGAUUGACCUCCGGGAUCUUCUCCACCACCAUGGACGCUACCCCGACGUGCCGUGAGUAGUCCUCCUUUGACCAUGAGUCCAUGACGAGUAGCUAUGUGAUGUCUUCUCUCCAAUCUUGUGCUUCAAUGCUUAGCCCUUCAGAGCUGCCCUACAUGAUCAAGGCAUCUAUGUAAUUUUCCUGCUAUUGCUAUGCUUGGUUUGUUGGGAUCCAAUGGAUUAUGAGAUCAUGUUCAGAUUGUGAUGAGUUAUAUAUUUGGUUAUCCUUUUAUAUUAUGUUCUAGAGUGAUUCAUGCAUGUUCUCCGUUGCUUUUAUUGCUUUGGCCGAGUAGUAGAUUGUAACUCCAAGAGGGAGCGUUAUGCUUGAUUGUGGAUUCAUGCCUCCUGAUGUCUAGCUUGAGUGACAGAAACAUGAGACUAGGGGAUGUGUUGUUGCCACCAGGGAGAAAACAACGGUGCUUGUGACCACGGCUGCAAGGAUUGUUUACCUUACGCAAAGUUCGUUAAUGCAGUUGUCCAUUGCUUUGAGUUUACACUUUGGGUGGGGCUCGCAACUUAAUACCAGCGAGAUGUUUUGGAUAGAUAUCUCGAGGUGGAUGAUUAGAGAGUAGAUGCUGAUGGAUAAACGGUCUACUUGUCUUGGCGUAGUGCCCAUUACUUUUGAGCCUCUAACUUUCUAGUAGCAUGAUUAGCAUUGCGGUGCGUUUAUAAUUCUGUCAAUUCCCAACUGUAAUUUGUUUACCCAACAUAGUUGUUUAUCGUCUUUUGGGAGAGAGACAACAAUAGUGAACAUCAUGAGACUCUGGUCCAUAUUACCACCAUUGGUUACACCUCCACCAUUUACUGCUUUUAUUUACUUUUCUGUUCAAUCACUAUUAUUAUUCACGCUUCUAUUAUGAUCCUUUGCAAACUACAAGGCCGGAGAGAUUGACAACCUCUCUGAACUCGUUGGGAGGAAAGUUAUUUGUUGUGUGUAUAGGUCCACGUCUUUUGCUAGCGCCAGAGCAGCAGACACCUACCUGUUGAUCCUCGGAGUCCUCCUGGUUCGAUAAACCUUAUAGUCCCCGUGUAAGGGAAAUCUACUGCUGACUACAUCUCCACCUUCCACUUGGGGUAACCAACGAGGGGUGAGAAGUAUAUCCAUCAACUCGUCAUCAGCCACCAAUCUUCACCGCCUCAGCGCCGCAGGCCACCGUGGCAGCUCCGCCGACAACGGCUGCCUCGCCGCAGUUUGCCGCCACGUCAGCUCAGACAAAGAGCUUCGCUGCUGCACUAGUCAUCGCCGCGUCGCCUGCGGCGUCCACUGUUGCCUCUGCACCGCUCACUGCCACGUCACCUACCACCUCCUCGCCACCAGUCUCUGCACCCCUCUUGCAGUGACCGCAGCCCCUCCGGCGACACCACCCACCGUCGCCGCACAACUUCCAGCCCGAGUGGUCGCACCCAUGGCCACACCACCAACCAUCGCGCCACCCACGAUGGUUCCAUCUCCGCUGCUCAUGGCCCCGGGUCCGGCGCCAAUCGCCCCGUUGAUACGUCCCAAACGUAUCUAUAAUUUUUGUUUGUUCCAUGAUCUUUUGGGUGACAUUGUUAUAUGUUUUGCUACACUUUCAUACCUUUUUACACAUAUUUGGACUACCUUCUAACUCAGUGCACCCAGUGCCAGUUUCUAUCUGCUGAUGUCUGUUUUGCAUGGACUUUUACCCCAAUUUACAAAGUCCCAAAAAUCCCGAGAAAAAUAUAUAAAAAUCAGCGUGACGGAAGCUUCACGAGCACCAAAGGUGGGCGAGAGGGGAGCCAGGGCCUGCCCAGGCGACCUCCCUGCGCGACCCCCUCCUGGACGUGCCACCAGGUCACCUCGGUGGGGCUCAUGCCCUCUAGUGCCCUCCCUCGACCUAUAUUUACCUCUCCGAUAGGAAACCCUUACAGAAGAUCUAGAAUCACGAAUUUCUCCAUCGUUCCGCCGACGCACUGUUGGGGAACGUUGCAUGGGAAACAAAAUUUUCCUACGCACACGAAGACGUAUUAUGGUGAUGUUCAUCUACGAGAGGAGAUUAGAUCCACAUACCCUUGUAGAUCGCUAAGCGGGAAGCGUUAAGAAACGCGGUUGAUGUAGUGGUACAACUUCGUGAUUCAAAUCACCGUCGUCCCACGAUCCGUUCCGAUCUAGCACCGAACAGAUGGCACCUCCGCGUUUAGCACACGUACAACUCGAUGACGAUCUCGGCCUUCUUGAUCCAGCAAGAGAGACAAAUAAGUAGAUGAGUUCUCUGCCAGCGUGACUGUGCUCCAGUGUUGGUGAUGAUCUACUCCUGCAGGGCUCCACCCGAGCUCCGUAGAAAUCCGAUCUAGAGGUAGAACUACGUGAUAUAGGUUUGAGUUGCACGUGGAAAAAGUUGUUUCUCAAAAGCCCUAAAACCACCAGUAUAUAUAGGAGGAGGGGAGGAGCUAGCCUUGGGUCUAAGGGAGCCCCAAGGGCAUCAGCCGAUUGGGAGGAGGUGGAAUUCCCACCCCAAUUGAGUUUGGGGAAGGAGUCCACUCCUUCCUUCCCACCUCCCUCUUUCCUUGUUUUUCUUUCCUUGGUUUUUCCACUUGGGGCGCCAUGGCCCUCUUGGGCUGGCCUCACUAGCCCACUAAGGGUUGGUGCGCCACCCUAGGGUCACUAGGCUCACUCCCGGGUGGGUGGGCCCCUCCCGGUGAAUAUCCGGAACCAAUUCAUCACUCCAGGUACACUGCCGGUAAUGCCCGAAAACUUUCCGGUGACCAAAUGAAACCAUCCUAUAUAUCAAUCUUCCUUUCUGGACCAUUUCGGAAACCCUCAUGAUGUCCCUGAUCUCAUCCGGGACUCCAAACAACCUUCGGUCAUCAACACAUAUAACUCAACUAUACUAAAACAUCAUCGAACCUUAAGUGUGCAGACCCUACGGGUUCGAGAACUAUGUAUACAUGACCCGAGACACUCCUCGGUCAAUAUCCAAUAGCGGGACCUGGAUCUCCAUAUUGGAUCCUACGUAUUCUAUGAAGAUCUUAUCGGUUGAACCUCUGUGCCAAGGAUUCAUAUAAUCCCGUAUAACAUUCCCUUUGUCCUUCGGUAUGUUACUUGCCCGAGAUUUGAUCGUCGGUAUCCGUAUACCUAUUUCAAUCUCGUUACCGUCAAGUCUCUUUACUCGUUCCAUAAUACAAGAUCCCAUGACUUACACUUGAGUCACAUUGCUUGCAAGGCUUGUAUGUGAUGUUGUAUUACCGAGUGAUCCCCAAGAUACCUCUCCGUCACACGGGGUGACAAAUCCCAGUCUUGAUCCAUGCUAACCCAACGGACACCUUUGGAGAUACUUGUAGAGCACCUUUAUAGUCACCCAAUAACGUUGUGACGUUUGAUACACACAAGGUAUUCCUCCGGUGUCAGUGAGUUACAUGAUCUCAUGGUCAUAGGAAGGAAUACUUGACACGCAGAAAACAAUAGCAACAAAAUGACACGAUCGCAUGCUACGUUCAUAGUUUGGGUCUAGUCCAUCACAUGAUUCUCCUAAUGAUGUGAUCCAGUUAUCAAGUGACAACACUUGCGUACGGUCAGAAAACCUUAACCAUCCUUGAUCAACUGGCUAGCCAACUAGAGGCUUGCUAGGGACAUUGUUUUUCUAUAUAUCCACACAUGUAUCUAUGUUUUCAUUCAAUACAAUUAUAGCAUGGAUAAUAAAUGAUCUUGAAACAGGAAAUAUAAUAAUAACUAUUUUAUCAUUGCCUCUAGGGCAUAUUUCCAACAGUCUCCCACUUGCACUAGAGUCAAUAAUCUAGUCCUCACAUUGCUAUGCGAUUUACAUUGUAAUGAAUCUAACACCCAUACAGUUCUGGUGUUGAUCAUGCUUCUCUCGUGGAAGAGGUUUAGUCAGCGGAUCUGCUACAUUCAGAUCUGUGUGCACUUUGCAAAUAUUUACGUCCUUUCCUUCGACGUAGCCGCGGAUGAGGUUGAAGCGUCGUUUGAUGUGUCUGGUCUUCUUGUGAAACCUUGGUUCCUUUGCUAAAGCAAUGGCACCAGUGUUGUCACAAAAUAGAGUUAUUGGAUGCUCGACACAACUCCAAGAUCCGUCAUGAACUGCUUCAUCCAGACACCCUCCUUAGCUGCCUCUGAGGCAGCCAUGUACUCCGCUUCACAUGUAGAAUCUGCUACAACACUUUGCUUGUAACUGCACCAGCUUACCGCACCCCACUAAGAAUAAAUACGUAUCCGGUUUGAGACUUAGAGUCAUCUGGAUCAGUGUCAAAGCUUGCGUCGAUGUAACCCUUUACGACGAGCUCUUCGUCACCUCCAUAAACGAGAAACAUUUCCUCAGUCCUUUUCACGUAUUUUAGAAUAUUCUUGACCGCCAUCCAGUGAUCCACUCCUGGAUUACUUUGAAACCUGCCUGCCAUAAUUAUGGCCAAGCUGACGUCAGGUCUAGUGCAUAGCAUUGCAUACAUGAUAGACCCUAUGGCUGAAGCAUAGGGGACGGUACUCAUAUUUUCUCUAUCUUCCGCAGUUACUGGACACUGAGUCUUACUCAAUUUUAUACCUUGUAAUACUGGCAAGAACCCCUUCUUGGAGUGUUCCAUUUUGAACUUCUUCAAAACUUUAUCAAGGUAUGUGCUUUGUGAAAGUCCUAUCAGGCGUCUCGAUCUAUCCCUAUAGAUCUUAAUGCCUAGAAUGUAAGCAGCUUCUCCUACGUCCUUCAUAGAGAAACACUUGUUUAAGUAAUCUUUUAUGCUCUCUAAAAACUCCACAUUGUUUCCAAUCAGCAAUAUGUCAUCCACCUAUAAUAUUAGAAACGCCACAUAGCUCCCACUCACUUUCUUGUAAAUACAAGAUUCUCCAACAACUUGCAUAAACCCAAACGCUUUGAUCACUUCAUCAAAGCGCUUAUUCCAACUCCGAGAUGCUUGCACCAGUCCAUAAAUGGAUCGCUGGAGCUUUCAUACUUUGUUAGCAUUCUUUGGAUCGACAAAACUUCGGGUUGCAUCAUAUACAACUCUUCCUUAAGAAAACCAUUAAGGAACGCCGUUUGGACAUCCAUCUACCAGAUUUCAUAAUCAAAAAAUGCAGCUAUUGCUAACAUGAUUCAGACAGACUUAAGCAUCGCUACCGGUGAGAAUGUCUCAUCCUAGUCAACUCCUUGAACUUGUGAAAAACUCUUUGCCACAAGUCGAGCUUUAUAAACAGUCACAUUACCGUCCCCGUCCGUCUUCUUCUUAAAGAUCCAUUUGUUCCGAAUAGCCUUGCGACCUUCAGGUAAUACUUCCAAAGUCCACACUUUGUUUGCAUACAUAGAUCCUAUUUCAGACUUCAUGGCCUCCAGCCAUUUGUUGGAAUCCGGACCCACCAUUGCUUCUUCAUAAUUCGCAGGUUCAUUGUUGUCUAACAACAUGAUUGAUAAGACAUGAUUACUGUACCACUCAGGAGCAGUACGUGAUCUUGUCGACCUACGAGAUCCGAUAGGAACUUGAUCCGAAGUUUCAUGAUCAUCAUCAUUAACUUCCUCCUCAACCGGCAUCGCUUCGACAGAGGUUUCCCCUUGCCGUGCGCCACCAUCUAGCGGGAGUAGAGGUUCGACAACCUCAUCAAGUUCUAUCUUCCACCCACUCAAUUCUUUCGAGAGAAACUCCUUCUCAAGAAAAGAUCCAUUCUUAGCAACAAACACUUUGCCCUCGGAUUUGAGAUAGAAGGUGUACCCAACGGUCUCCUUUGGGUAACCUAUGAAGACACACUUUUCCACUUUGGGUUCCAGCUUUUCAGGCCGAAGCUUUUUGACAUAAGCAUCACAUCCCCAAACUUUAAGAAACGACAACUUUGGCCUCUUGCCAUACCACAGCUCGUAUGGUGUCGUCUCAACGGAUUUUGACGGUGCCCUAUUUAAAGUGAAUGCAACUGUCUCUAAUGCAUAACCCCAAAACGAUAACGGCAAAUCGGUAAGAGACAUCAUAGAUCGCACCAUUUAUAACAAAGUAUGAUUACGACGUUCGGACACACCAUUACGCUGUGGUGUUCCAGGCGGUGUCAAUUGUGAAACAAUUCCACAUUGUCUUAUGUGAGCACCAAACUCGAAACUCAGAUACUCACCCCCACGAUCAGAACGUAGGAACUUGAUCUUCUUGUUACGAUGAUUUUCAAAUUCACUCUGAAAUUGCUCGAACUUAUCAAACAUUUCAGACUUGUGCUUCAUCAAGUAGAUAUAUCCAUACCUACUCUAAUCGUUAGUGAAGGUGAGAAAAUAAUGAUAUCCACCGUGUGCCUCCACACUCAUCGGACCACACACAUUGGUAUGUAUGAUCUCCAACAACUCACUUGCAUGCUCCAUUGUUCCGGAGAACGGAGUCUUAGUCAUCUUGCCCAUGAGGCAUGGUUCGCACAUGUCAAGUGAUUCAAAAUCAAGUGACUCCAAAAGCCCAUCGGAAUGGAGUUUCUUCAUGCGCUUUAUUCCAAUAUGACCUAAGCAGCAGUGCCACAAAAAUGUGGCGCUAUCAUUGUUAACUCUACAUCUUUUGGUCUCAAUGUUAUGUAUAUGUGUAUCAUCACCAGCAAGAUUCAAUAUGCACAGUCCUCUCACAUUGGGUGCAUGACCAUAAAAGAUAUUACUCAUAGAAAUAGAACAACCAUUAUUCUCUGACUUAAAUGAGUAACUAUCUCGCAAUAAAAAGAUCCAGAUAUAAUGUUCAUGCUUAACGCAUGCACUAAAUAACAAUUAUUUAAGUUCAUAACUAAUCAUGAUGGUAACUGAAGUGAGACUGUCCCGAGAGCGAUUGCAUCAACCUUGGAACCAUUUCCCACGCGCAUUGUCACUUCAUCCUUCGCCAGCCUUCGUUCAUUCCGUAGUUCCUGCUUUGAGUUGCAAAUAUGGGCAACAGAACCGGUAUCAAAUACCCACGCACUACUACGAGAGUUGGUUAAGUACACAUCAAUAACAUGUAUAUCACAUAUACCUGAUUUUCUUUGGCCGCCUUCUUAUCAGCCAAAUACUUGGGGCAGUUGCGCUUCCAGUGACCCAUCACUUUGCAAUAAUAACACUUUGUUUCCGGCUUAGGUCCAGCCUUGGGUUUCUUCGUCGGAUUGGCAACAGGUUUGCUGCUCUUCUUGGAGUUACCCUUCUUGCCUUUGUCGUUUCUUUUGAAACCAGUGGUCUUAUUGACCAUCAACACUUGAUGCUCUUUCGGGAGUUCUGACUCUGCGACUUUCUAUUGGAAAUAUGCCCUAGAGGCAAUGAUAAAUAGUUAUUAUUAUAUUUCCUGUUUAAAGAUAAUCAUUUAUUAUCCAUGCUAUAAUUGUAUUGAAUGAAAACAUAGAUACAUGUGUGGAUACAUAGACACAACAAUGUCCCUAGCAAGCCUCUAGUUGGCUAGCCAGUUGAUCAAUGUUAGUCAAGGUUUUCUGACUAUAUGCAAGUGUUCUCACUUGAUAACUCGAUCACAUCAUUAGGAGAAUCAUGUGAUGGACUAGACCCAAAUUAUGAACGUAUCAUGUUGAUCGUGUCGUCUUAUUGCUAUUGUUUUCUGCGUGUCAAGUAUUCAUUCCUAUGACCAUGAGAUCAUAUAACUCACUCGCACCGGAGGAAUACUUUGUGUGCAUCAAACAUCACAACGUAAUUGGGUGACUAUAAACGUGCUCUACAGGUAUCUCCAAAGGUGUCCGUUGAGUUAGCAUGGAUCAAGACUGGGAUUUGUCACUCCGUGUGACGGAAAGGUAUCUCGGGGCCCACUCGGUAAUACAACAUCACACACAAGCCUUGCAAGCAAUGUGACUCAAGUGUAAGUCACCGGAUCUUGUAUUACGGAACGAGUAAAGAGACUUGCCGGUAACGAGUCUAACAUUCCCUUUGUCCUUCGGUAUGUUACUUGCCCGAGAUUUGAUCGUCGGUAUCCGUAUACCUAUUUCAAUCACGUUACCGGCAAGUCUCUUUACUCGUUCCGUAAUACAAGAUCUCGUGACUUACACUUGAGUCACAUUGCUUGCAAGGCUUGUAUGUGAUGUUGUCUUACCGAGUGGGCUCCGAGAUACCUCUCCGUCACACGGAGUGACAAAUCCCAGUCUUGAUCCAUGCUAAUCAACGGACACCUUUGGAGAUACCUGUAGAGCACCUUUAUAGUCACCAAGUAACGUUGUGACAUUUGAUAUACACAAGGUAUUCCUCCGGUGUCAGUGAGUUACAUGAUCUCAUGGUCAUAGGAAUGAAUACUUGACACGCAGAAAACAAUACCAACAAAAUGACACGAUCACAUGCUACGUUCAUAGUUUGGGUCUAGUCCAUCACAUGAUUCUCCUAAUGAUGUGGUCUAGUUAUCAAGUGACAACACUUGCGCAUGGUCAGAAAACCUUAACCAUCCUUGAUCAACUGGCUAGCCAACUAGAGGCUUGCUAGGGACAUUGUUUUUCUAUAUAUCCACACAUGUAUCUAUGUUUUCAUUUAAUACACUUAUAGCAUGUAUAAUAAACGAUUAUCUUGAAACAAAAUAUAAUAAUAACUAUUUUAUCAUUGCCUAUAGGGCAUAUUUCCAACACGCAGUGCUUCCGAUAUCGGGAGCGUUAGAAUACCUCUUCCCGGCACCCUGCUAGAGGGAGGAUUGACCUGCGGGAGCUUCUCCACCACCAUGGAUGAUUCCCGGACAUGCCGUGAUUAGUCCUCCUUGGACCAUGAAUCCAUGACCAGUAGCUAUGUAAUGUCUUCUCUCCAAUCUUGGGCUUCAAUGCUUAGCCCUUGUGAGCUGCCCUACAUGAUCAAGGCAUCUAUGUAAUUUACCUGGUGUUGCUAUGCUUGGUUUGCUGGGAUCCGAUGGCUUAUGAGAUUAUGUUCAGAUUGUUAUGAGUUAUAUAUUUGGUUCUCCUUUUAUAUUAUGUUCUUGAGUAAUUCAUGCAUGUCCUCCGUUGCUUUUUAUUGCUUUGGCCGAGUAGUAGAUUGUAACUCCAAGAGGGAGCAUUAUGCAUGAUUGUGGGUUCAUGCCCCCUAAUGUCUAGCUUGAGUGACAGAAACAUGAGACUAGGGGAUGUGCUGUUGCCACCAGGGAGAAAACAACGGUGCUUGUGACCAUGGUUGCAAGGAUUUUUUACCUUACGCAAAGUUUGUUAAUGCAGUUGUCCGUUGCUUUGAGUUUACACUUUGGGUGGGGCUCACAACUUAAUACCAGCGAGAUGUUCUGGAUAGAUAUCUCAAGGUGGAUGAUUAGGGAGUAGAUGCUCAUGGAUAAACGGUCUACUUGUCCUAGCGUACUGCCCAUUACUUUUGAGCCUCUAACUUUCUAGUAGCAUGAUUAGCAUUGAAGUGCGUUUAUAAUUCUGUCAAUUGCCCAACUGUAAUUUGUUUACCGAGCAUAGUUGCUUAUCGUCUUUUGGGAGAGAGACAUCAGUAGUGAACAUCAUGUGACUCUGGUCCAUAUUACCACCAUUGCUUACACCUCCACCAUUUACUGUUUUUAUUUACUUUUCCGUUGCAAUCACUAUCACUAUUCCCGCUUAUGUUUUGAUCCUUUGCAAACUACAAGGCCGGAGAGAUUGACAACCUCUUUGAACUCGUUGGGAGCAAAGUUAUUUGUUGUGUGUGCAGGUCCACGUCUUCUGCUAGCGCCAGAGCAGCGGACACCUACUUGUUGAUCCUCGGAGUCCUCCUAGUUCGAUAAACCUUACAGUCCCCGUGUAAGGGAAAUCUGCUGCUGGCUACAUCUCCACCUUAUACUUGGGGUAACCAACGAGGGGCGAGAAGUAUAUCCAUCAACUCGUCAUCAAGAAAAUUUCUGGCGCCGUUGCAUGGGACUCCAGUCUUCAAGAUAGGGGAGUUGCACACUAUCUUUUACCUUUGCUUUUAGUCUUUUAGUUUGCUUUCUAGUUUUUGCUUUAGAGUCUUAUACCAAAAACCACAAAAAUGGUUUCUUUGUUCUUGCUUGUUGCUGCUGCUAUGGGUUCCACUGAGAACACCAAGUUGUGUGAUUUCACUAGUCACAACAACAAUGAUUUUACCUUCACUUCUAUUGCUCCAAUUGCCACUAUAUGUAUUUGUAAAAGUAACAUACCUUGUGAUUAUGUUAGUAAUUAUGGAGAAUUAUGCCCUUGGCAUGGUCUCCCCGGGAAGGAACCGGAUCUUUGGUUUGAAGUUGCUCCUAAACGUCCCCAAACUUGGGAAGACAUCCAAACUUUUAUAACAAAGAGCAAAUCAAAUAUAGAGGAUGACACUACAAUUUUACUUUAGCGAUGAUAUUAAUUUUGAUAAUUGUAGUCUUUUCGAAGUUAUCACUUUUUGCAAAGAAUGGCUAAAGACCCCCACACUAGUACACUCAAUAUUGCCUUCACCGAGCAUAUUACCAAUGAUCUUAUCAAAGCUAGGGAGGAGAAGCUCAAGCUAGAGACUUUUAUUCCUAGAAAACUAUAAGAUGGUUGGGAUCCUAUGGUCAAGAUUAAAUUAAAUAAUAUCUCUUGCUUUGCUUUAUGUGAUAUUGGAGCUAGUGCUUCCGUUAUGCCCAAAAGAAUGUAUGAUAUGCUUGAUAUUAAACCUUUUGAUCAAUGUUCUUUUGGUGUUUGUCUUGUUGAUUCUUACAUAAAUAAACCUUUAGGGAGGAUUGAUGAUGUUCUUAUUUUUGUCAAUGAUAAUUAUGUUGCCGUUGAUUUCCUUAUUAUGGACAUUGAGUGUGAUCCCUCAUGUCCAAUUAUUUUGGGACGUCCUUUUCUCCGCACCGUUGGUGCAAUCAUUGACAUGAAAGAAGGGACCAUUAGAUUCCAAUUUCCCCUAAAAAGGGAAUGGAACACUUCCCUCAAAAGAAGAUUAAGUUACCUUAUGAGUCUGUUAUUCAGGCAAGUUAUUCUUAUGGAGUUGAUAAUACUUGAUUUUUUUGCAUCAUGCCUUGCUCAAAGGCAUAAAAGAAAGCGCUUGUUGGGAGGCAACCCAAUUGGUUUUACUUUCAGUUUUAGUGGUCUUGGUGCUUGGUACUACUGUAGCAACAUCAUUGUAUCUUUAUUUUCAGGCUUUGUGCCAAGUUUUAGCCUCCGAUUGCAAGAAAGUUUAAAAGUUGUGACAUGUUGUCCAGAAACAGAUUAUGUCUGCUUGACAAAAAUUCGCCAAAAAUCACCAGAUCAUCUUUUUGAUCUGAAUUGUUUUGACAGUAUGCUCUAUAUAAUUGUCUUUCUGGCAUAUGUUCUGAGUUUUUUGAUUUGAGUUGCACAAGUGCCACGAAAAAUUAUUUACUACCUGUUGUUUUGUUUUUCCCAGAUUCUGCCCUGUUUUGCGUUUUCAUUGUUUUGCAAAUCUUAAGCUUGCUUUUCCUUUGAAAAACGUUUUGGCAAUCUUGAGAAACAAUAGCUCUUCCUGAAAAUCUUUAUUUCCAGUAGAGAAUAAAUUAUUUUAUUAGGGGCACUAACCACUCUAAUCAGCUUAUGACGAGUUUCGUAUGAAGGGAGUCUUCAAGUAUGCGAUGGAAGAUGAUGAAAGAAGAUCCAAGAGUGUCAAGCGCUCAAGCUUAGGGAUGCCCCCAUGCACCCCCAAGAAAUAUUCAUGGAGACUCAAGCGGCUAAGCUUGGGGAUGCCCCCGUGCAUCCCCUUCUCCAUCAACAAUCAUCAGUUCGUCCUUCUCCAUGCUAUAUUUUGAUCACUUCAUAUGUUAUGUGCUAUGGUUGAAGCGUGCCGUGAUACGUCUCCAACGUAUCUAUAAUUUUUGAUGGUUUCAUGCUAUUAUCUUGUCAAACUUUGGAUGUUUUGUAUGUCUUUUUAUCUUUUUGGGACUAACUUAUUAACUCAGUGCCAAGUGCCAGUUCCUGUUUUUUCCAUGUUUUUGACCCUUUUCACAGGAGGAUUUUAAACGGAGUCCAAACGGAACGAAACUUCCAAAAAGAUUUUUUUCGAAACAGAAGAAGAUCGGGAAGCUUGAGAACCAAGGCAGGGGCCUCCAGGGACCCCACAAGCCCCUAGCCGCGGCCAGGGGGCCCGCGCCUCCCAGGCUUGUGGGCUCCCUGGGCCACCUCUGCCCUAGGUCUUCCGCCUAUAUAUUCCCUAAAAUCCGAGAAAAAAUGAGGAGAUCAUCGAAAGUACUUUUCCGUCGCCGCAAGCUUCUGUCUCCGCAAGAUCCCAUCUGGGGCACGUUCUGGUGCCCUGCCGGAGGGGGAUUCGGAUACGGAGGGCUGAUGUCUACUACGCAAUCUUCUCCUUGUAGACGUUGUUGGGCCUCCAAGUCCAGAGGUUUGUAGGACAGUAGCAAUUUUCCCUCAAGUGGGUGAUCUAAGGUUUAUCAAUCCGUGGGAGGUGUAGGAUGAAGAUGGUCUCUCUCAAACAACCCUGCAACCAAAUAACAAAGAGUCUCUUGUGUCCCCAACACACCCAAUACAAUGGUAAAUUGUAUAGGUGCACUAGUUCGGCGAAGAGAUGGUGAUACAAGUGCAAUAUGGAUGGUAGAUAUAGGGUUUUGUAAUCUGAAAUUACAAAAACAUCAAUGUAACUAAUAGUAAAAGCGAGCACGAACGGUAUUGCAAUGCAUGGAAACAAGGCCUAGGGUUCAUACUUUCACUAGUGAAGUUCCCUCAACAAUGAUAACAUAAUUGGAUCAUAUAACUAGCCCUCAACAUGCAACAAAGAGUCACUCCAAAGUCACUAAUAGAGGAGAACAAACGAAGAGAUUAUUGUCGGGUACGAAACCACCACAAAGUUAUUCUUUCUGAUCAAUCUAUUCAAGAGUCCGUAGUAAAAUAACACGAAGCUAUUCUUUCCGUUCGAUCCAUCAUAGAGUUCAUACUAGAAUAACACCUUAAGACACAUAUCAACCAAGACUCUAAUGUCACCUAGAUACUCCAUUGCCACUUCAAGUAUCCGUGGGCCUGAUUAUACGAUAUGCAUCACACAAUUUCAGAAUCAUCUAUUCAACCAACACAUAGAACUUCAAAGAGUGCCCCGAAGUUUCUACCGGAGAGUCAAAACGUGUGCCAACCCAUAUGCAUAGGUUCCCAAAGUCACAAACCCGCAAGUUGAUCACCACAGAUAGACACGUGCAAGACAUACAUAAAGUGUUCUCAAAGACUCAAUCCGAUAAGAUAACUUCAAAGGGGAAACUCAAUUCAUUACAAGAAGAGAGAGGGGGAGAACAUCAUAAGAUCCAACUAUAGUAGCAAAGCCCGCGGUACAUCGAGAUCAAGACAUCUCAAGAACACGAGAGAGAGAGAGAGAGAGAUCAAACACAUAGCUACUAGUACAUACCCUCAGCCCCGAGGGAGAACUACUCCCUCCUCGUCAUGGAGAUCGCUGGGAUGAUGAAGAUGGCCACCGGAGAUGGAUCCCCCCUCCGGCCGGGUGUUCGAACAAGCUCCAGAUUGGUUUUUGGUGGCUACAGAGGCUUACGGCGGCGGAACUCCCAAUCUAGGUUUCUAUUGGGGGGUUUCUGUAUUUAUAGGAAUUUAUGGCGGUGGAAUUACGUCGGUUGGGCCCACGAGGAGGUCACAAGCCUGGUAGGUGCGGCCUAGGGGGAGGGGACGCCUCCUGGGCUUGUGACUCCCUUGUGGCUCUUCUGGCCUUCUUCCAAAGCUUCGGGGGUCUCUUUUGGUCCAAAAAAUCAUCGCAAAGUUUUAUUCCAUUUGGACUCCGUCUGAAAAAGGGUCAAAAACACGGAAAAAACAUAAACUGGCACUUGGCACUCAGUUAAUAGGUUAGUCCCAAAAAGAUAUAAAAUAGCAUAUUCAUGCAUAUAAAACAUCCAAAGUUGACAAGAUAAUAGCAUGGAAUCAUCAAAAAUUAUAGAUACGUUGGAGACAUAUCAAGCAUCUCCAAGCUUAACUCCUGCUCGUCCUCGAGUAGGGAAGUGAUAAAGACCGAAUUUUUGAUGUGGAAUGCUACCUAACAUAUUUGUCCUUUGUAACUUGUUUCUUGUGGCAUGAAUGUUCAGAUCCGUAAGAUUCAAAACAAUAGUUUACUAUUGACAUGAAAAUAAUAAUACUUCAAGCAUACUAGCAAAGUAAUCAUGAAAUUUUGAAAUAACAAGGCCAAAGAAAGUUAUCCCUACAAAAUCAUAUAGUCUGGCUAUGCUCCAUCAUCCCCACACAACGAAUUUAAAUCAUGCACAACCCCGGUAUUGGCCAAGUAAUUGUUUUUGCACUCUUACUUUCUCAAACUUUUUCAACUCUCACGCAAUACAUGAGCGUGAGCCAUGGAUAUAGCACUAUAGGUGGAAUAGAGUGUGGUGGAGGUUGUGAGGCAAAAAGGAGGAGAUGGUCACAUUGACUCGGCGUAUCAAUGCGCUAUGGAGAUGCCCAUCAAUAGAUAUCAAUGUGAAUGAGUAGGGAUUGCCAAGCAACGAAUGCACAAGAGCUAUAAGUGUGUGAAAGCUCAAAAGGAAAACUAGUGGGUGUGCACCCAACUUGCUUGCUCACGAAGACCUAGGGCAAUUUUGAGGAAGCCCAUCAUUGGAAUAUACAAGCCAAGUUAUAUAAUGAAAAUUACCACUAGUUUAUGGAAGUGUCAAAACAAGAGACUCUCUAUCAUGAAGAACAUGGUGCUUUUUGAAGCACAAGUGUGGAAAAGGAUAGUAGCAUUGUCCCUUCUCUCUUUUUCUCUCAUUUUUUGUUUGAGCUCUUUGGCCUCUUUUUUUGGUGGGCAUCUUUGGCCUCUCUUUUUCCUCACAUGGGACAAUGCUCUAAUAAUUAUGAUCAUCACACUUUUAUUUACUUACAACUCAAUACUGAACAAUGAUGACUCUAUAUGAAAUGCCUCCAGCAGUGUACCAGGAUGUGCAACGAUCUAGCUUAGCUUAUGACUCUCUAGCUAUCUUACAAUCAUGCAAUGGCAAUAUGAGAGUGACAGCACAUGUAAUGAGACGGAACGGUGGGAGUUGCAUGACAAUAUAUCUCGGAAUGGCUAUGAAAAUGCCAUAAUAGGUAGGUAUGGUGGCUGUUUUGAGGAAGGUAUAUGGUGGGUUUGUGCACCGGCGAAAGUUGCGCGGUACUAGAGAGACUAGCAAUGGUGGAAGGUAAAAGUGAAUCUAUACCAUGAACUCACAUUAGUGAUGAAGAACUCAUAUACUUAUUGCGAAAGUUUUAUUAGUAAUCGAAGCAAAGUGCUAAGCGCAUACUCCUAGGGGAAGGGUUGGUAGGUGUUAACCAUCGCGCGAUCCCGACCGCCACACAAAGGAUGACAAUCAAUAAAUCAAUUAUGCUCCGACUUCCUAACUGGCGGUUCACCAUACGUGCAUGCUACGGGAAUCACUAAGUUCAACACAAGUAUUUCUAGAUUCACAACACCCUACUAGCAUAACUCUAAUAUUACCAUAUCCAUAUCUCAAAACCAAUUGAGAGGAAUCAAACUUCUCUUACUAAUCAAUGCACAUGAAUAUGAAGGGUCUUAUCCUCUUUGGAUGCCUAUCAUAUUAGGACCAGAUUCAUAACCUAAGCAAGGUACCAUGCUGUUUAAGACUCUCAAAAUGAUCUAAGUGAAGCACGAGAGUUCAACUAGUUCUAUAAAAUGGAACCAUUGCAAUGCUCUACAAAGAUAUAAGUGAAGCAGAGCAAAAGACAAACUACUCCAAAAGAUAUAAGUGAAGCUCAAUGAGUAGUUGAAUAAUUAUUUGGCUAUGUGAAGACUCUCCCAUCUAGGAAUUUCAGAUCCUAAGUACCUUAUUCUAACAAAUAAAAUGACGCUCCAAGCAAAACACAGAUCAUGUGGUGAAUAAAAAUAUAGCCCCAAGUAAAGUUACCGAUGGAUUAAAGACGAAAGAGGGGAUGCCUUCCCGGGACAUCCCAAAGCUUAGGCCUUUUGUAUCCUUGAAUAUGGCUUGGGAUGCCUUGGGAAUCCCCAAUAUUAGGCUCUUGCUACUCCUUGUUCCAUAGUCCGUCGAAACUCUACCCAAAACUUGAAAACUUCACAACACAAAACGUAACGGAACUUCGUGAGAUGGGUUAGUAUGAUAACGAGCAAAUCAAUCACUUGGGUACUGUCAAAACAAGACUCAUAAUUAUUUUCACACAAUGCCUACUGUAUCUUACUAUUUCCACAAUUUAUGUUACUCAAAAUAAUCUAUGGAAACACCAAAACAAGCAAACUAUGUAUUGAAAACAGAAUCUGUCAAAAACAGAACAGUCUGUAAUGAUCUGAAUGAGAACCAUACUUAUGCACCUCCAAAAAUUCUGAACAAUUACGACAAUUAGGGAAAUUUGCAUCAAUCAUCAGAAAAAUAAUCAACUCAAAAGCUCUCUCUAGAUAGAAAUUAAAAUUAAUUUCGUGAGCAAAAAGUUUCUGUCUUUUUCAGCAUGAUUAAACAGCUAUCACCCAAUCUAAUCAUAAAGGCUUUACUUGGCACAAACACUAAUUAAAACACAAAAAACACAAUCAUAACAGGAUUACGAUGGUGUGGACAAAACAAAAUAGAAAUCAAAAAGAAAAAUAAAUUCAUUGGGUUGCCUCCCAACAAGCGCUAUUGUUUAACGCCCUUAGCUAGGCAUUGAUUUCAAUGAUGCUCACAAAAAGGUAAGGAUUGAAACACAACGAGAGCAUCAUGGAGCAUAUGGCUAGCACAUUUAAGUCUAACCACUUCCUAUGCAUAGUGAUUUUGUGAACAAACAACUUGUUGGAGAAAGAAUCAACUAGCAUAGGAAGGCAAAACAAGCAUAGCUUCAAAAAUUUCAACACAUGGAGAGGAAGCUUGAUACUGUUGCAAUAAGUAGAAGCAUAUGAUCCUAUCUCAUAGUAAUUUUCAGUAGCAUCAUGAAUGAAUUCAACAAUAUAACCAGCACCUAAGGCUUUCUUUUCAUGAUCUACAAGCAUAGGAAUUUUACUACUCUCCACAUAAGGAAAUCUAUUCUCAAGAAUAGUAGUGGGAGUAUCGUAAAAGACUUGAGCACUACAAAUUGUGUCCACAAUGAAAAAGCAAGGUUUAGCAAAGGGGUUCUCGAGAGUAUGACAAGUUUUAUCAUCCCUCUUCUUUAUAGCAUAAGUAUCCUCACAAUAAUCAUCAUAGAUAGGGGGCAUGCUUUCAUCAAAAUGAUUUUGAUCAUUCAAAGUGGAAGAACUAAAAGAUCAUCUUCAUCAAAUAUAGCAUCCCCAAGCUUGUGGCUUUGCAUAUCAUUAGAAUCAUGGGUAUUCAAAGAAUUCAUGCUAACAACAUUGCAAUCAUGCUCAUCAUUAACAUAUUCUAUGCCAAGCAUUCUAUGUAAUUCUUCUUUCAACACUUGAGCACAAUUUUCCUUCCCAUCAUGCUCACGAAAGACAUUGAAAAGAUGGAGCAUAUGAGGCAUCCUCAAUUCCAUUUUUUGUUUUCUAGAGAAAUAACAAGAAACAAAAGAGUUUGAUUGCAAGAUCUAAAUAUAUACCUUCAAGUGCUAACCUCCCCGGCAACGGCGCCAGAAAAGAGCUUGAUGUCUACUACGCAACCUUCUCCUUGUAGACGUUGUUGGGCCUCCAAGUCCAGAGGUUUGUCGGACAGUAGCAAUUUUCCCUCAAGUGGGUGACCUAAGGUUUAUCAAUCCGCGGGAGGUGUAGGAUGAAGAUGGUCUCUCUCAAACAAUCCUACAACCAAAUAACAAAGAGUCUCUUGUGUCCGCAACACACCCAAUACAAUGGUAAAUUGUAUAGGUGCACUAGUUCGGCGAAGAGAUGGUGAUACAAGUGCAAUAUGGAUGGUAGAUAUAGGUUUUUGUAAUCUAAAAUUACAAAAACAGCAAGGUAACUAAUAGUAAAAGCGAGCACGAACAGUAUUGCAAUGCGUAGAAACAAGGCCUAGGGUUCAUACUUUCACUAGUGAAGUUCUCUCAACAAUGAUAACAUAAUUGGAUCAUAUAACUAGCCCACAACAUGCAACAAAGAGUCACUCCAAAGUCACUAAUAGCGGAGAACAAAUGAAGAGAUUAUUGUCGGGUACGAAACCACCACAAAGUUAUUCUUUCUGAUCAAUCUAUUCAAGAGUCCGUAGUAAAAUAACACGAAGCUAUUCUUUCCGUUUGAUCCAUCAUAGAGUUCGUACUAGAAUAACACCUUAAGACACAUAUCAACCAAGACCGUAAUGUCACCUAGAUACUCCAUUGUCACCUCAAGUAUCCGUGGGCAUGAUUACACGAUAUGCAUCACACAAUCUCAGAAUCAUCUAUUCAACCAACAAUUAGAACUUCAAAGAGUGCCCCGAAGUUUCUACCGGAGAGUCAAAACGUGUGCCAACCCAUAUGCAUAGGUUCCCAAUGUCACGAAAGCCACAAGUUGAUCACAAAAACAUACAUCGAGUACUCACAUGAAUAUCCAAACGUGUGCCAACCCAUGUGCAUAGGUUCCCAAUGUCACAAACCCGCAAGUUGAUCACCACAGAUAGACACGUGCAAGACAUACAUCAAGUGUUCUCAAAGACUCAAUCCGAUAAGAUAACUUCAAAGGGGAAACUCAAUUCAUUACAAGAAUGGAGAGGGGGAAGAACAUCAUAAGAUCCAACUAUAGUAGCAAAGCCCGUGGUACAUCGAGAUCAAGACAUCUCAAGAACACGAGAGAGAGAGAUCAAACACAUAGCUACUGGUACAUACCCUCAGCCCCGAGGGAGAACUACUCCCUACUCAUCAUGGAGAUCGCCGGGAUGAUAAAGAUGGCCACCAAAGAUGGAUUCCCCCUCCGGAGGGUGUCGGAACAUGCUCAAGAUUGGUUUUGGUGGCUACAAAGGCUUACGGCGGCGGAACUCCCGAUCUAUGUUUCUUUUUGGCGGUUUCUGUAUUUAUAGGAAUUUAUGGCGGUGGAAUUACGUCGGUUGGCCCACGAGGAGGUCACAAGCCUGGUAGGUGCGGCCUAGGGGGUGGGGCGCCUCCUGGGCUUGUGACUCCCUCGUGGCUCUUCUGGCCUUCUUCCAAAGCUUCAGGGGUCUCUUUUGGUCCAAAAAAUCAUCGCAAAGUUUUAUUCCAUUUGGACUCCGUCUGAAAAAGGGUCAAAAACACGAAAAAAACAGAAAUGGCACUUGGCACUGAGUUAAUAGGUUAGUCCCAAAAAAGAUAUAAAAUAGCAUAUUCAUGCAUAUAAAACAUCGAAAGUUGACAAGAUAAUAGCAUGGAACCAUAAAAUUUAUAGAUACAUUGGAGACGUAUUAAGGGCUUCUUCAUCAACACCAUGACCUCUCCGAUGAUGCGUGAGUAGUUCACCAUAGACCUACGGGUCCAUAGCUAGUAGCUAGAUGGCUUCUUCUCUCUCUUGGAUCUUUAAUACAAAGUUCUCCAUGAUCUUUAUGGAGAUCUAUCUGAUGUAAUCUUCUUUUGCGGUGUGUUUGUCGAGAUCCGAUGAAUUGUGGAUUUAUGAUCAGAUUAUCUAUGAAUCUUAUUUGAGUUUCUUCUGAUCUCUCUUAUAUGCAUGAUUUCAUAUCCUUGUAAUUCUCUUCGAGUUGUGGGUUUUGUUUGGCCAACUUCAUCUAUGAUUCUUGCAAUGGGAGAAGUGCUUAGUUUGGGUUCAUACCGUGCGGUGACCUCACCCAAUGAGAGAAGGGGUAGCGAGGCACGCAUCAUGUUGUUGCCAUCAAGGGUAAAAGAUGGGGUUUUCAUCAUUGGUUUGAGUUUAUCCCUCUACAUCAUGUCAUCUUACUUAAGGCGUUACUCUAUUCGUCAUGAACUCAAUACACUAGAUGCAUGCUGGAAAGCGGUCGAUGUGUGAAGUAAUAGUAGUAGAUGCAGAAAGUAUCGGUCUACUUGUCUCGGACGUGAUGCCUAUAUGUAUGAUCAUUGCCUUAGAUAUCGUCAUGACUUUGCGCGGUUCUAUCAAUUGCUCAACAGUAAUUUGUUCACCCACCAUAAUAUUUGCUAUUUUGAGAGAAGCCUCUAGUGAACACUAUGGCCCCCGGGUCUACUUCACACCAUAUUUUCAGCCUUACUCUUUUACUUCGUUGCACUUUCCGCCUUCAGAUCUCACUUUGCAAUCAAUCUUGAAGGGAUUGACAACUCCUUUAUAGCGUUGGGUGCAAGCUCGUUUGUGUUUGCGCAAGUACUCUGGACUUGACGAGAUUCUCCUACUGGAUUGAUACCUUGGUUCUCAAACUGAGGGAAAUACUUACUGCUCCUUUGCUGCACCACCCUUUCCUCUUCAAGGGAAAACCAACUCAAGCCCAGCCUGCGUCAACGUGUCAAUCUCUGGCACUGUUGUCUGUUGCCGCAUCAUCCCGCUCUUUACUUUUAGUUUGUUUUAGUUUUGCUUGAUGUUCAUAACAAGUUGGAAUCUAGCCUUCUUUGUUUGGGAGAGAAACACGCUCCACUCCACCCUACAGCACAACAUAGGUUUUCAUGCCUAUCUUUUUGUGUGUUCUUUAUCUUUUCAUAGCUGUUGUCAUGCUUAGCUCUUAGUUUUCAUGCUUUAUCUUUUUAAGAGCUUUUAUUUAGGUUCCUUUUGGAACUCUCUUGAGUUAUCAUGAUUAUCUUGUUUAGAGAGUUGGCUUGUUGCACUGAGUUGUGUGUCUUGCAUGAGUAGGUAACUCAGGUUGCUAUUUAAGUAUAGUAGUAACUUGCAAUAGUUUUGAGGUAUUGAUUUGAGUAAUUUUUACUAUUGGUGCCAACAGCUUGAGCCUAUUAGCGAUAGGUGUCGUAUUUUGGGAAAUCCGUGUGUAUUUUCAAAACAAAAAAAUUAGUUGAGAACUCUAGCUACUAGAUGGAUCGCUAACCUCUGGAGGGGUUGGAAUAUAUAGAGUACCCUCACGUUAUCAUGGGUCGAGGAUGCGCAAGGAUAACCAAACCCCCAAACACUCCUCCUCGGGGUGCUUGUCUCUUUGUGAAUGUCCUGACUAGAUAGAGAGUUACCGAUAAUAAGUGCAUGUGUUCUUCGGACUAAUGCGAGUAUUCAAUUGUUGGCACUUCCACCAUCCAUAUUUUGCUAGCCUCUUAGGUACCAUGCAUUGCCCUGUCUCAUCUUGAGAGUUGGUGCAAACUUCGCCGGUACAUCCAAACCCUUGGAAUGAUACGCUCUGUCAUCAUAAGCCUCAUUAUAUCCUUCCUCAAAACAACCACCAUACCUACCUAUUAAGGCAUUUCCAUAGCCUUUCCAAGAUACAUUGCCAUGCAACAUCCACCAUCUCAUGACUUGAUCUUCAUGUCAUACAUGCUUUUGCUUGAUCGAGGAGGCGCAUGCUAGUUGGGCCUUGCCCUUAUUAUUGCUACAUGACGCGCUAGUAUCAUUGCAUAUCCUUCUACACUGAUAGAGGCAUACAUUUGCAUACAUCAUGAUAGUUUUCAUUUGUCUUUAUGUUGAGUACUUCUUAUAAAGUGUGAAGAUCUUCUUUUAUUCUUGUAAAAUAUAGAGCGUUGCCCUUAAGUGAGGAAAAGAUCCCAAAGAGGACAAACUAAAAUAUCCCAAAGAGGACAAAUUGAAAGAUCCCAAAGAGGACAAAUGAAAAGAUCCCAAAGAGGAAAAAUGAGAGAUACAUAGAAAGAGCCAAAGAGGCCACAAAAGAAUAAAAAAUAAAAAAGAGAGAAGGGGGCAACACUACUAUUCCUUUUGAAAGAUCCACACUUGUACUCUAUUGUUAUAUUUGUACUCGAUAGAGAUUAUCAUUCAUGCAUAACUAUGUGGGGACCCUUACACUAUAGAACUUGGCUUGUAUAUUCCAAUUAUGAGCCUCCUCAAAUGAGCUCUAGAUCUUCAUGGGCAAGCAUGUUGGAUGCACCCCACUAGUUCCAUUGGAGAGCUUGUUGGAAAUAUGCCCUAAAGGCAAUAAUAAAAUAGUUAUUAUUAUAUUUCCUGUUUGAAGAUAAUCAUUUAUUAUCCAUGCUAUACUUGUAUUGAAUGGAAACAUAAAUGCAUGUGUGUAUAUAGACAAAAUUAUGUCCCUAUUAAGCCUCUAGUUGACUAGUCUGUUGAUCAAGGAUGGUCAAGGUUUCCUAACCAUAGACAAGUGUUGUCACUUGAUGACGGGAUCACAUCAUUGGGAGAAUGAUGUUAUGGACAAGACCCAAACUAUAAAUGUAGCAUGUGAUCAUGUCAUUUUGUUGCUAUUGUUUUCUGCAUGUCAAGUAUUCAUUCCUAUGACCAUGAGAUCAUGUAACUCACUGACACCGGAGGAAUGCCUUGUGUGUAUCAAACGUCGCAACGUUACUGGGUGACUAUAAAGGUACUCUACAGGCAUCUUUGAAGGUGUCCGUUGAGUUAACAUGGAUCAAGACUGGGAUUUGUCACUCCUUAUGAUGGAGAGGUAUCUCGGGGCCCACUCGGUAAUACAACAUCACAUACAAGCCUUGCAAGCAAUGUGACUAAAGAGUUAGUCAUGGGAUCUUGUAUUCCGGAACGAGUAAAGAGACUUGCCGGUAACGAGAUUGAAAUAGGUAUGGGGAUACCACGACCAAAUCUCGGGCAAGUAACAUACCGAAGGACAAAGGGAAUGAUAUAUGUGAUUGUUUGAAUCCUUGACAUAGAGGUUCAACCGAUAAGAUCUUCAUAGAAUAUGUAGGAUCCAAUAUGGACAUCCAGGUCCCGCUAUUGUAUAUUGACCGGGGAGUGUCUCAGGUCAUGUAUGCAUAGUUCUCAAACCCGUAGGGUCUGCACACUUAAGGUUCGGUGACGUUUCAGUAUAGUUGAGUUAUAGGUGAUGGUGACCGAAGUUUUGUUCGGAGUCCCAGAUGAGAUCCCGGACGUCACCAGGGUUUUCGGAAUGGUCCAAAAAUGAAGAUUGACAUAUAGGAAGUUGGUAUUUGGAUUCCGGAAGAAUUUCGGGCAUUGCCGACAGUGUACCGGGAGUGACGAAUGGGUACCGGGGCCCACCGGGUGGGCCCACCAUGCCCCAAGGGGUCCACAUGGGUUUAUUGGAUGCGCAAUAAGUCAUAAUGGGCUGACAAGUCAUCCAAGGAAAUCCCAUGAAGAAAAGGUGGAAAAUCCAAAAGAGGUGGACAAUUUAGGAAGGAGUCCUAGUCCAAGUGAGAUUGGAGGAGGACUCCUCCCUCCUCCACUUCGGUCGAAGCCAAGGAGGCUCCCUUGAGCCUCAAGGCUAGUCCCUCCCCUCCUCCUAUAUAUACUAGAGGUUUUAGGGUUUUUGAGACACAACUUUGCCACGUGCAACCCUAAACCUCUAGUUCGUAGUUCUUCCUCUAGAUCGGAUUUCUACGGCGCUUAGGCGAAGCCUUGCAGCAAUAGAUCACCACCACCACCGGCGCGCUGUCACGCUGCCGGAGAACUCAUCUACUUCCCCGUCUCUCUUGCUGGAUCAAGAAGGCGGAGAUCGUCAUCGGGUUGUACGUGUGCUGAACGCGGAGGUGCCGUCCGUUCGGUACUAGAUCGGGACGGAUCGUGGGACGGUGACGAUUUGGACCGCGAAGACAUUCCACUACAUCAACUGCGUUUCUUAACGCUUCCCGCUUAGCGAUCUACAAGGGUAUGUAGAUCCGAUCUCCCUCUCGUAGAUGAUCAUCACCAUGAUAGGUUGAUACGUCUCCAACGUAUCUAUAAUUUUGAUGGUUCCAUGCUAUUAUCUUGUCAAACUUUGGAUGUUUUGUAUGCCUUAUAUAUCUUUUUUGGGACUAACUUAUUAACUCAGUGCCAAGUGCCAGUUCCUGUUUUUCCGUGUUUUUGACCCUUUUCAGAGGAGGAUUUUAAACGGUGUCCAAACGGAAUAAAACUUCCGAAAAGAUUUUUUUCGGAACAGAAGAUACGCACGAGACUUGAGAACCAAGGCAGGGGCCACCAGGGAACCCCACAAUCCCCCUAGGCGCGGCCAGGGGGCCGCGCCUAGCAGGCUUGUGGGCCCCCUGUGGCUCGUCUACCCUACCUCUUCCGCCUAUAAAUUCAGAAAAAUCCAAAACUGCGAGAGAGAUCCACGAAAAUACUUUUCCGCCGCCGCAAUCUUCUGUCUCCGCAAGAUCCCAUCUCUGGCAUGUUCUGGUGCCCUGCCGGAGGGGGAUUCGGAUACGGAGGGCUUCUUCAUCACCAUGACCUCUCCGAUGAUGCGUGAGUAGUUCACCAUAGAUCUUCGGGUCCAUAGCUAGUAGCUAGAUGGCUUCUUCUCUCUCUUGGAUCUUCAAUACAAAGUUCUCCAUGAUCUUCAUGGAGAUCUAUCCGAUGUAAUCUUAUUUGCGGUGUGUUUGUCGAGAUCCGAUGAAUUGUGGAUUUAUGAUCAGAUUAUCUAUGAAUCUUAUUUGAGUUUCUUCUGAUCUCUUAUAUGCAUGAUUUCAUAUCCUUAUAAUUCUCUUCGAGUUGUGGGUUUUGUUUGGACAACUUAAUCUAUGAUUCUUGCAAUGGGAGAAGUGCUUGGGUUUGGGUUCAUACCGUGCGGUGACCUCUCCCAGUGACAGAAGGUGCAACGAGGCACGCAUCGUGUUGUUGCCAUCAAGGGUAAAAGAUGGGGUUUUCGUCAUUGAUUUGAGUUUAUCCCGCUACAUCAUGUCAUCUUGCCUAAGGCGUUACUCUGUUCGUCAUGAACUCAAUACACUAGAAACUUGGAGGAGAUGAUUUAAUUAGGGUUAUGAAGACACUGUAUAAAUUUCAUACCAUCUGGAUAAACCAAAGUAGUACUUCCUUCACAAAGUAUUCCACUGGACAGAAUCUUAGGAAAAUUACUGGGAAUAAUUGGCUAGAUAAAAUGAGCUCAACAUUGGUUGAGAGAUGUUUUAUAGGUAGGAGAAUGUCCUGGUAAAAUUUCAGAAUUUAUGGAGCAACAUAAAAUAUAGUUGCUUCUCAAUCCAAAAUAAUGACUAGAGACAAAGAUUUGAUGCUAUGGUCACAUGGUUGAGGGAGUGAUGCUCAAAUUUGGUGCAGAGGCAUUAUUUGAGCAUAUUGAGAUGAUGACAAAGUUUCAACUCAUUUGAAUACUCUUAGAUAACACUUUCUUCACAAAGCUUCCUCUGGAUCAGAAACUUUGGAAAUCUGCCAAGAAAUAAUUACUAGCUAAAUUGAGUUGAAUUUUGGCAUGAGGCAAUGAUAUGGAUAGUAAAGAGUGCCCACAAAUUUUGAGAUCAAGCAAGCAAAUAUAAAGGGUACUUGCUUCACAACUUGGCAGAUAGGGCAGAAUCAGAAAAGGAAUAUCUGAGGAGUAUUUUUGAACAUGGCAAGGAAAGAUUUUUUCAUAUCUUAGGAAGAUAUGACCCAAGAGAUUUAUGAGAAUUAUUUGGGAAUUUUUAGAAAGAUAGAAAUGGGGGUUGCUUCACAACCCAAGGCAAACAUGAUUAUUCCUUUAAAAGAAAAGGAAUAUUCCCAGGGAAAAGAAUAUUGGGAUCGGCUCAAGAUGGAAAUGCCAAGGUCUUGGGAUGCUUUGGGGAUUGGCAAGCCACUAGGGAAGAGGAAUCAAGGGUGAUCCCUUUAGGUUUCAAAACUAUCAAACCACACAAAAGCAAAAUCAGACCAAAAUCAAAGGAAAAAAAGGGCAAAAUCCAGGGUGUCACAAACCUAGCCCUCUUAAAUAAAUCUCGUCCUCGAGAUUUGGUUGCUCAAGGUUCAAGCAUUAAUAACCCUACUUGAGGAAACCGUUUCCAACUCGGGUUUCCUUUUGUCUUGGUAUAAUGCUCUCGGUAUCAACCAACUGUCUGUCUGGCUCCGAGGGGGUUUGUUUCACUGGAUCCUCAUAUGUCACUCUAACUUCCAUCCGUCUAUGUGUGCUGACUUUAUUGACGGAGGUGCUGGCAGAAAGAUCUUGUUCACGGCAGAUGGUCUUUUGACAAAUUCCCGUACAUGCUCUCAGGUUGUUGUGUGCUACUUCUUGAGUUUGCGUUGGUUUUCCCUUGAAGAGGAAAGGGUGAUGCAACAAAGUAGAUAUAAGUAUUUCCCUCAGUUUGAGAACCAAGGUAUCAAUCCAGUAGGAGUAUCAAGAUGAGGCACCAAUGAACCUGCGCAAAACAAACAAACUUGCACCCAACGCUAUAAAGGGGCUGUCAAUCCCUUCAUGAUUACUUGCAAAGUGAGAUGUGAUAGUGAUGAAAGGUAAAUAUAAAUAAAAGUGCAGCAAGGCACUUUUGGUUUUUGUAUGUAGAUCUGAAUAUAUAAUGUGUAAAAUAGACCCGGGGGCCAUAGUGUUCACUAGAGGCUUCUCUCAUGAUAACAAGUAUUACGGUGGGUGAACGAAUUACUGUCGAGCAAUUGAUAGAAUCGCGCAAAGUCAUGACGAUAUCUAAGGCAAUGAUCAUACAUAUAGGCAUCACGUCCGAGACAAGUAGACCGAUACUUUCUGCAUCUACUACUAUUACUCUACACAUCGACCGCUAUCCAGCAUGCAUCUAGUGUAUUAAGUUCAUAACAAACAGAGUAACGCCUUAAGCAAGAUGACAUGAUGUAGAGGGAUAAAUUCAUGCAAUAUGACAUAAACUCCAUCCUUUUACCCAUGAUGGCAACAACACGAUGCGUGCCUCGCUACCCCUUCUGUCACUAGGUGAGGACACCACACGGUAUGAACCCAAAACCAAGCACUUCUCCCAUUGCAAGAAUUAUAGAUCAAGUUGGCCAAACGAAACCCACAACUCGAAGAGAAUUACAAGGAUACGAAAUCAUGCAUAUAAGAAAUCAGAGGAGACUCAAAUAACAUUCAUAGAUAAUCUGAUCAUAAAUCCACAAUUCAUCGGAUCUCGACAAACACACCACAAAAGAAAGUUACAUCGGACAGAUCUCCAUGAAGAUCAUGGAGAACUUUGUAUCGAAGAUCCAAGAGAGAGAAGAAGCCAUCUAGCUACUAGCUAUGGAGUUGAUGAAUAAGCCUUCCGUGUCCGAGCCCCCUCCGGCAGGGCACCAGAAUGGUCCCCAGAUGGGAUCUCGCGAAGACUGAAGCUUGCAGCGGCGGAAAAGUAUUUUCGUGGCUCUCCUUGUUGGUUUCGGGAUUUUUGGGAAUUUAUAGGUGAAAGAGGUAGGGCAGAGGAGGCAAGGGGGCCCAUGAGCCUGCUAGGCACGCCCCCGCUGGGGCGCGCCUAGGGGGCUCGUGACCUCCCACGAGACCUCCUGCCUUGGUUCUCAAGUCUUCUCGGUAUCUUCUGUUAUGGAAAAAUCAUCCCGCAGGUUCUAUUCUGUUUGGACUCCGUUUAAUAUCCUUUUCUGAAAAAGGUCAAAAACACGGAAACAACAGAAACUGGCACUAGGCACUGAGUUAAUAGGUUAGUCCCAAAACUCAUAUAAAAUGGCAUAUAAAUGCAUAUAAGACAUCCCAAGUUGAUAAUAUAAUAGCAUGGAACAAUAAAAAUUAUAGAUACGUUGGAGACGUAUCAAGCAUCCCCAAGCUUAACUCCUGCUCGUCCUCGAGUAGGGAAGUGAUAAAGACCGAAUUUUUGAUGUGGAAUGCUACCUAACAUAUUUGUCCUUUGUAACUUGUUUCUUGUGGCAUGAAUGUUCAGAUCCGUAAGAUUCAAAACAAUAGUUUACUAUUGACAUGAAAAUAAUAAUACUUCAAGCAUACUAGCAAAGUAAUCAUGAAAUUUUGAAAUAACAAGGCCAAAGAAAGUUAUCCCUACAAAAUCAUAUAGUCUGUCUAUGCUCCAUCAUCCCCACACAACGAAUUUAAAUCAUGCACAACCCCGGUAUUGGCCAAGUAAUUGUUUUUGCACUCUUACUUUCCCAAACUUUUUCAACUCUCACGCAAUACAUGAGCGUGAGCCAUGGAUAUAGCACUAUAGGUGGAAUAGAGUGUGGUGGAGGUUGUGAGGCAAAAAGGAGGAGAUGGUCACAUUGACUCGGCGUAUCAAUGCGCUAUGGAGAUGCCCAGCAAUAGAUAUCAAUGUGAAUGAGUAGGGAUUGCCAAGCAACGAAUGCACAAGAGCUAUAAGCGUGUGAAAGCUCAAAAGGAAAACUAGUGGGUGUGCACCCAACUUGCUUGCUCACGAAGACCUAGGGCAAUUUUGAGGAAGCCCAUCAUUGGAAUAUACAAGCCAAGUUAUAUAAUGAAAAUUACCACUAGUAUAUGGAAGUGUCAAAACAAGAGACUCUCUAUCAUGAAGAACAUGGUGAUUUUUGAAGCACAAGUGUGGAAAAGGAUAGUAGCAUUGUCCCUUCUCUCUUUUUCUCUCAUUUUUUGUUUGAGCUCUUUGGCCUCUUUUUUUGGUGGGCAUCUUUGGCCUCUCUUUUUCCUCACAUGGGACAAUGCUCUAAUAAUGAUGAUCAUCACACUUUUAUUUACUUACAACUCAAUACUGAACAAUGAUGACUCUAUAUGAAAUGCCUCCAGCAGUGUACCAGGAUGUGCAACGAUCUAGCUUAGCUUAUGACUCUCUAGCUAUCUUACAAUCAUGCAAUGGCAAUAUGAGAGUGACAACACAUGUAAUGAGACGGAACGGUGGGAGUUGCAUGGCAAUAUAUCUCGGAAUGGCUAUGAAAAUGCCAUAAUAGGUAGGUAUGGUGGCUGUUUUGAGGAAGGUAUAUGGUGAGUUUGUGCACCGACGAAAGUUGCGCGACACUAGAGAGGUUAGCAAUGGUGGAAGGUGAGUGUGCAUCUAUACCAUGGACUCACAUUAGUCAUGAAGAACUCAUAUACUUAUUGUGAAAGUUUUAUUAGUAAUCGAAACAAAGUGCUAAACGCAUACUCCUAGGGGAAGGGUUGGUAGGUGUUAACCAUCGCGUGAUCCCGACCGCCACACAAAGGAUGACAAUCAAUAAAUCAAUUAUGCCCCGACUUCCUAACAUAGCGGUUCACCAUACGUGCAUGCUACGAGAAUCACUAACCUCAACACAAGUAUUUCUAGAUUCACAACACCCUCCUAACAUAACUCAAAUAUUACCAUAUCCAUAUCUCAAAACUAAUUGUGAGGAAUCAAACUUCUCUUACUAAUCAAUGCACUUGAAUAUGAAAGUUUUUGUUAUAUCCUCUUUGGAUGCCUAUCAUAUUUAGGACUAAUUUCAUAGCACACGCCAAUUACCAAGUUACUUAGAGAGAGCACUCUCAAAAUGAUAUAAGUGGAGAUCGAGAGUUUUUAUUUCUACAAAAUAUGACACCGCCAUGCUCUAAAAAGAUUUAAGUUAAGCACUAGAGCAAAAUCAUCUAGCUCAAAAGAUAUAAGUGAAGCUCAUGGGAGAAGAAUUAUCUAGCUCAAAAGAUAUAAGUGAAGCUCAUUCGAGCUAAAUUUCCUGGCUCUAAAGAUAUUAGUGAAGCUCAUGGGAGCUAAAUUGCGUGGCUCAAAGGAUAUUAGUGAAGCUCAUUGAGUAUUCUAACAAAUUCACGAUGAGUGCAUGUCCCUCUCAAAAAGGUGUGCAGCAAGGAUAAUUGUGAUAAAACAAAAGUAAAGACUCGUAUAAUACACGACACUCCAAGCAAAACACAUGUCAUGUGGUAAAUAAAAUAUAGCUCCAAGUAACAUUACCGAUGGAUUGAAGACGAAAGAGGGGAUGCCUUCCCGGGGCAUCCCCAAGCUUCGACUUUUUGAUGUCCUUGAAUUUGGCUUGGGAUGACUUGGACAUCCCCAAGCUUAGGAUCUUUCCACUCUUUAUUCCAUUGUCCAUAAGAACAUCACCCAAAACUUGAAAACUUCACAACACAAAACUUAAACAGAAACUCGUGAUAUCAUUAGCAUAGGAAAACAAACCACCAACUUUUUAGGUACUGUAGUAAACUUUAUUUCCAUUUAGAUUGAUGUUACAUUACUGUAUUAUCACUUCUCCAUGGCUCGUACCCCCCCCCCCGGAUACUAACCACAGUUUCAUCAAAAUAAGUAAUCAACACAACAAAACAGAACAGUCUGUAGCAAUCUGUAUAUUUCGUAUACCUCUACUAUCCCAAAAAUUCUGAACAAUUAUGACAAUUAGGGAAAUUUUCAUAUCAAUCAGCAGCAAAAAGAAUCAACUCAAAAGCUCUUUCUGGAUAGGAACUAACAAUAAUUUCGUGAGCACAAAGUUUCUGUCUUUUUCAGCAUGAUUAAACAACUAACACCAAAACUAAUCAUAAAGGUUCUAAUUGGCACAAACACUAAUUAAAACAUAAAAACACAAUCAUAACAGAAUCAUGAUGGUGUGGACUCAACAAAACAGAAAGUGAAAAGCAAAAAUAAAUUUAUUCAUUGGGUUGCCUCCCAACAAGCGCUAUCGUUUAACGCCCUUAGCUAGGCAUAAUGCAAUAGAAUCAAGUAUCAUCAUCUUUAGUGCUCAAACCAUAAGUAGCUCUCAUAAUGGAUUCAUAAGUCAAUCUUAUUUUCUUUCUAGGAAAGUGUUCCAUGCCCUUCUUUACUAGAAAUUGAAAUUUAAUAUUCCCUUCCUUCAUAUAAUUAACAACACCAAUAGUCCUAAGGAAAGGUCUACCAAGAAUAAUGGGACAUGUUGGAUUGCAAUCAAUAUCAAGCACAAUGAAAUCUACGGGCACAUAGUUCCUAUUUGAAAUAAUAAGAACAUCAUUGAUCCUUCCCAUAAGUUUCUUAAUAGUAGAAUCCCCAAGAUGCAAAUUAAGAGAGCACUCAUCAAUCUCAUUGAAGCCUAGAACAUCACAUAAAGAUUUUGGAAUUGUGGAAACACUAGCACCCAAAUCACACAAAGCAUGGCAUUCAUAAUUUUUAAUCUUGAUUUUUAUAGUAGGUUCCCACUCAUCAUGAAGUUUUGUAGGAAUAGAUAUUUCCAACUCAAGUUUCUCUUCAAGAGACUUCAUCAUAGCAUCAACGAUAUGAUCGGUAAAAGCCUUAUUUUGGCUAUAAGCAUGUGGAGAGUUUAGCAUGGAUUGCAUCAAGGAAAUACAUUCAAUCAAAGAGCAGCUAUCAUAAUGAAAUUCCUUGAAAUCCAACAUAGUGAUUUCAUCACUAUUCAAAGUUUUUAUAUCCUCUACUCUACUUUUAGUAUUUUUAGCAUCAAGAUAAAUAGACUCCGAAUCAUUGGGGUGUUUCUCAACCAAAGUGGAUUCACAUCCGGCCCUAUUAUCAUUAGGAUUGACAUUAGAAAACAAGGAUUCAAUAGGAGUCACACCAAGCACUUUAAGAUCUUGGUGAUUCUCAUCACGAGAACACGCCCUUUUAAGCCAUUCAUGUCUAGCACGAAUUUGGGCGGUUCUUUCUUUACUCUCAUUCAUAGAAACACGCAUAGCUUUCAAAGUUUAAUCCAUAUUAAUCUUGGGAGGAACACAUCUCAAUUUCAAAGCAUCAAUAUCAAGAGACAUUCUAUCAACAGUCCUAGCCAAGUCAUCAAUUUUAAGCAGUUUUUCUUCUAUGGAAGCAUUGAAAAUGUUUUGCGAAGUAAUGAACUCUUUAAUAUUACUCUCAAGAUCAGAGGGAAUUUUAUUAUAAUUUCCAUGAGCAUUGUUGUAGGAGUUGCCAAAAUUAUUAGAGGGAUUACUAGGAAAGUUACAUCUAUAAGCAUUGUUGUUACCAAAAUUAUUCCUACCAAAAAAUUAACAUCGAAAGUUUCAUUGCAAUUCUCAAUCAAGGAAGAUAAAGGCAUACCAUUUGGAUCUAGAGGAGCACUUUUACUAGCAAACAACUUCAUUAACUCAUCCAUCUUAGCACUCAAAGAGUUAAUUUCUUCUAUAGCAUGCACUUUUUCCUAGUAGGUGACCUUUCAGUGUGCCAUUGAGAAUAAGUUUUCAUGAUAUUAUCUAGGAGUUUUGUAGCUUCUCCUAGUGUGAUUUCCAUAAAAGUUUCACCAGAGGCAGAAUCCAAGAUAUUUUUAGAAGCAAAAUUCAAACCAGCAUAGAAACUUUGUAUAAUCAUCCAAAGACUCAAGCCAUGAGCGGGACAAUUUCUAAUCAUCAAUUUCAUUCUCUCCCAAGAUUGUGCAACAUGUUCAUGAUCUAGUUGCUUAAAAUUCAUGAUAUCAUUACGGAGAGCGAUAAUCUUAGCACGUGGAAAAUACUAUUUUUGGGUAAAGAUGAAAACCAAGCUUUUUCUCGAUCUCGUAAUGAGAACGGAAAUAGCAUCAAUUUAAUCAUAUCAUUAUCCACAUCUUUCUUCUUUUGCAUAUCGCAUAACUCAAUAAAGGUAUUAAGAUGGGAUGCGACUUAUUCACUAGGAAGGCCGGAAAAUUGCUCUUUCAUAACAAGAUUCAACAAGGGAGCAUUAAUUUCAUAUGAAUUCGCACUAGUGGCGGGAGAAAUUGGAGUACUAAUAAAAUCAUUGUUAUUAGUGUUGGAGAAGUGACACAAUUUAGUGUUUUCAGACAUGGUGACUUAGCAAGCAGACAAGCACAAGCAAAAGAAAGGGCGAACAAAAAGGCAAAUAUUUUGUAACUUUUGUUUUGGAAGUGGGGGAGAGGAAAACGAGAGGCAAAAGGCAAAUAAUGUAGAUGCAAGAGAUGAGUUUGUGAUAGGUACUUGGUAGAUAUGCUUCACUUGAAUACUCCCGGCAACGGCGCCAGAAAUUCUUCUUGCUACUUCUUGAGCUUGCGUUGGUUUUCCCUUGAAGAGGAAAGGGUGAUGCAGCAAAGUAGAGAUAAGUAUUUCCCUUAGUUUGAGAACCAAGGUAUCAAUCCAGUAGGAGUAUCAAGAUGAGGCACCAAUGAACCUGCGCAAAAACAAACAAACUUGCACCCAACGCGAUAAAGGGUUGUCAAUCCCUUCACGAUUACUUGCAAAGUGAGAUCUGAUAGUGAUGAAAGGUAAAUAUAAAUAAAAGUGAAGCAAGGUAUUUUGGUAUUUUUGUAUGUAGAUCUGAAUAUAUAAUGUGUAAAAUAGACCCGGGGGCCAUAGUGUUCACUAGAGGCUUCUCUCAUGAUAGCAAGUAUUACGGUGGGUGGACGAAUUACUAUCGAGCAAUUGAUAGAAUCGCGCAAAGUCAUGACAAUAUCUAAGGCAAUGAUCAUACAUAUAGGCAUCACGUCCGAGACAAGUAGACCGAUACUUUCUACAUCUACUACUAUUACUCUACACAUCGACCGCUAUCCAGCAUGCAUCUAGUGUAUUAAGUUCAUAACAAACAGAGUAACGCCUUAAGCAAGAUGACAUGAUGUAGAGGGAUAAAUUCAUCCAAUAUGAUAUAAACCCCGUCUUUUUACCCUUGAUGGCAACAACAUGAUGCGUGCCUCGCUACCCCUUCUGUUACUAGGUGAGGACAUCGCACGGUAUGAACCCAAACCAAGCACUUCUCCCAUUGCAAGAAUUAUAGAUCAAGUUGGCCAAACAAAACCCAUAACUCGAAGAGAAUUACAAGGAUACGAAAUCAUGCAUAUAAGAAAUCAGAGGAGACUCAAAUAACAUUCAUAGAUAAUCUAAUCAUAAAUCCACAAUUCAUCGGAUCUCUACAAACACACCCUAAAGAAAGUUACAUCGGAUAAAUCUCCAUGAAGAUCAUGGAGAACUUUGUAUUGAAGAUCAAAGAGAGAGAAGAAGCCAUCUAGCUACUAGCUAUGGAUCCGAAGGCCUGUGGUGAACUACUCACGCAUCAUCGGAGAGGCAAUGGUGUUGAUGAAGAAGCCCUCCGUGUCCGAAUCCCCUCCGGCAGGGCACCAGAACGGUCCCCGGAUGGGAUCUCGCGGAGACAGAAGCUUGCGGCGGCGGAAAAGUAUUUUCGUGGCUCUCCCUGUUGAUUUCGGGAUUUUUGGGAGUUUAUAGGCGAAAGAGGUAGGGCAGAGGAGGCAAGGGGGCCCACGAGCCUGCUAGGCGCCCCCUGGGGUGCGCCUAGGGGGCUCGUGACCUCCCACGAGACCUCCUGCCUUGGUUCUCAAGUCUUCUGGGUAUCUUCUGUUAUGGAAAAAUCAUCCCGCAUGUUUUAUUCCGUUUGGACUCCGUUUAAUAUACUUUUCUGCAAAAGGUCAAAAACACAGAAAAACAAAACUGGCACUAGGCACUUAGUUAAUAGGUUAGUCCCAAAAAUGAUAUAAAAUGGCAUAUAAAUGCAUAUAAGACAUCCCAAGUUGAUAAUAUAAUAGCAUGGAACAAUCAAAAUUAUAGAUACGUUGGAGACGUAUCAUUGUCCAACAUUCUGGUCGUUCCGUUUGUCGAUGUAUUUUCUUGAAUAGUAGGCCACGUAAUGCUUUAACACUGUUGUUGCAAUUGAACUGCUGAGUUGUCCUCACGGAUUUGAAUAUCCCCUUGUGACGAUUCUGAGCAUAUCUGGUUUCACUGAGCGGGUUGACUCGAUAUAGGGUCCUUGCAAAUGGGAUUGAUCCCAUGGGUGUGUACCGACGGUGAUUGGUAUCGAUCCAUACUGUUUUGAGCAUUUGUACCAUGUUGAUCUUGCAACCAUUAUUAUACUUGUAUGGACAAUCUUGCUCUUUCAUUAUGGUUCUCUUUGCCUGGAUUCUUAGUUGAAAGAGCUUGGUCUUAUGUGUUCUUGAUUCCUUGGAUGACCAUGGGUGCUGCCCGGUACCAUAUUUCGACAGGCCUAUUAACAAGUUGUAGUUGUAGGGUAAUGACCAUUUGAACCCUUGAAUAAAACCGGCAAAUAAACCAGUAGCCACCAGAACGGUCUUUGCAACUCAGAUCUGGGACAUUACUGGAGUAACUCAACCCCGACUCAAGAUGACUGAAUAGCAGCUGAGAGCAUGAGACGGUGUCGAUAAGAAGAAAGUAGUAGUUCCCCAAGACGUCCGAGAAACAGCUCAGAGCAUAGGGUCACUACCACGGAAAGAAAUUCAACAACUGUCCGAGACGGUCGAAAAGCAGCUCAGAACACGGGCCAGUUGCUGACAAGAGAAAUAAAAGUCGGCAUCUACCUCGGACGACCAAAAAUAGCUUAGAACACAGGCGUGGUGCCAUCACCAAAGAAAGACGGGCAAGGGUUCAUCCGUGUCCCAUACAACUUAUACAUAGGUUGUUGGUCAUCUCACCGAAGUCUAUAGCUGGCGUUCUUCUUCUCACGUAGUUCAUGCAAUAGUCAGAUUCUCACCGGGCUGACAUCUCUGUAUGAUUAACUCACGUGACUUUAGUAGCAUGUCCACCAUAUAUAUUGAGUAUAUGCGGAUGAGCGCUUGAUUCCUGAAGCAGGCUUGUGUCUUAACUGACUAUUUUUCCUUCUGACCAACUGCUAUGGAUUUGAUCCUUGAGAUGCAUGGUCAUAUGCUGCCAACUAUCGGUGGAGUAACUUGUACGAGUGAGAGUGCGAUGCCUUCCCAACAAGGGUUACUUAGUUCGUCUCGUAAGUCAUCAAAAGUAUCGUGUCAAGAAAGACCGGGUAGAUUGUGCUCGACGCUUUUAUCGGGGUAGUCCCUUAUGCCGGAAACUUGCUGUGAUAAAUUACUGGAGGAGCAUGGGUGUCUUGAGCAAAGAUCCGUGUGUCGUAUUGAUGAAGUCAUAUGAACCUUGCGUCAUAAGAUUUGCUGGUAGCUUGGGGGAAAUUGGGUUGCUUAUACCUGAAGCUUUCUUUUUGCCAUAUGCAAGCUAAGUGCAUGUAUAUAUCCUUAACGUUCCUACUGUCGAUUACUUGCUGUAUGCUACAGGGUAUUCGGCUAUCCUUCUUGCUGAACACUAAGUUCAUAGCACAUUCCGACUUGCUUCCGAAAUAUAGCAGAUUUCAAAUUGUAUUCAUAACAGACUCAACCGUGUAUACGAACCAUACCUUUUACUCGAAUUGUACACAUCUUUGCCUUCUUGUUGAUUCCAUGAUUGCUUCUGCGAAGGUGGUACCGAUGUAUGAUUGGUGCUGAUAACUCAUCCAGUCAGGAUAUCAUUUUUACUCAGGUCCGAUAUUCCCGAUAUAAUGCAGUCUUCUGAAAAUUCUAUAUUGUUGAACUGAGCUUCCAAAUGACUGUCUCUUCACUGAUUCCUUUGAGUCCAAUGUUGCCGAGCAACUUCCAUAAGGGGGAAAUAAGGUAACACCAAGGGCCCAAAGAAAGAAGAAAAUGACCAACACAGAAAGGAGCAAGAUCACACACAGGCAAUGUCAUAUUCUACAUCUAUUCACAACAAUGAUAUGCAUUCCUACUUAAGCACAAAAUAUCUCGCAAGAACUCCGGUACUACGGUCUAAUAUGGUGUGGUUGUGGGCACGAAGGUGAAUCAAUGUGUGGAAGGGAGUUGGUGUAAACAAAGCUACACCAAACAAGGGCUUACAUCGGUUCUGUCUGGACAGACACGGUGGCAAGGACGAACUUGGUGAUCGUGGGCCGGAACACACGGGUCUCGACCACGUCAUCAUCAAGCGUACGGGGAAAACCGUACUCGUCUAGAGGAUGGAGGGCAGGGCGGGAUAGCUAUGGAAAGAAGGCUUGCGGGCAUUGCCCUUUUCUGAUAAGCAAGAUCAGUAAGGGUUACCAACGCGGCUAGAGGGAUGGACAAGAUCCAGGAUAGAAGCAUGUCUAUCAUCGAGACCAUAGGGCGGCUGAAGAGAAUGAGUUGGUGUGGUACCGGUGCAUUAAUCCAACAAGGGAUCGACACAUCCAGGCACCUCGGCAUCACUCCACUGGGGCGGAGAUGACACCACACCAAGGAACAAGAAUGCAAGCUUGAGAGAGCAUGUGGUGAAUCGAAACCGAUGCCACCUACACUCACCAGAUCCGUAGUUAGUAAUAAAAUAUCUAGUCUAUAUGAAUGCUAUGCUCAAUCAAAUGAUACAAACAAGUGCAACAAUCCAACUAGAUCCUAUACUACUGGUUACUAACGCUCGCCCGGUCUAGGGUGUCCUACAGCGAGACCUGCUCUGAUACCAACUCUUGUGGCACCCCGGCUGAGAGGAAAUCGGAACGCCCAUAUUCCAGCCCAAGGACAAGUCUUCUAGAAUACGGCACCAUUGGCAUAGAACAAAUCAGCUCUUUAUUACUAUGGAAAAGAUUACAAGGGUUCUUAGAUUACAUCGCCACGACGAUACUUCAUCUGCCUAUGGUAAAUCCUAUACUAGCAGCGGAACAACAACAUAUGUGAUGAACUCCACUCCGCAUGGACUCUGGCUGGAACGCGCAUCCUAGCUCGCAACUCGGAAUCCUCGACAAGCAAGAAAUCAUGGCAUGACCUGCAAACUGGCAUGACAAGCCAGGUGAGUAUUUUGAAUGUACUCGCAAGCUCACAACAAAUAUUAGCAUUAAGGCAAGACAACAUCAUAGCAAUCAAGAUUAGGUAAAGAUUUAUUAUCACUAAGGGGUAGUGGAAAAUAACUAUACCAGGCUACGCUCAUCGUACUCUGGUGAUACCAACUCUUGUGAUCUUACCAAGAACCUUUAACGAAUAUCCUCAAGACGGGUACAAACACUUAUCAUCGGCAUGCUGCCCAACUGCUAUCAUACUCAGACGAGUUCUUCCAUCAUUACUAUCAUAGUUAUGGUUGACCACCUACUCGGGUCUCGAUGGGCUGUCCAAUACCGUGGACGUCGCUAUUCGAAUAGAUUUGACACUCUACAGAGGUUGCACACUUUACCCACAUCAUGGAGCACUGACCUCGUGAUCCCAUUCUGGUGGACCAGCAUUGCUCUGACGAAACUUGCCUGACCCGUGACUCUUUCAUCAUACCCCCGGCAUUCAUCCUCCCCCGGAGUCCUGCCCUGGGUGGGCCCUGUGUCCUCAUGACACUGCUACUGCAACAAAAGACCUUCCAACAGCGCCAGAAACAAGCGUGCUGAUGGGAGACUAUUCUUGUCUUGAUACUCCUCAGCAACGGCACCAGGAAUCCUUCUGCUACGGCUACGCCUUUAGGGACUUCCUUGGAAAAUAUGCAAAUGAUUCCCCGGUGGCCUUGGAGCCUUGCGUUGGUGUUCCCUUGAAGCGGAAAGGAUGAUGCAGCACAGUGGCAGUAAGUAUUUCCCUCGGUUUUGAGAACCAAGGUAUCGAUCCAGUGAAGAAUUAUCACAAGUACCUGCACAAACACAAAGAGCUUGCACCCAACGCUAUGAAGGGGUUGUCAAUCCCUUAUAGAUUGUUUGCCAAGUAAGAAUUGAAAGCAAAAAGAAACAAAGCAAAGUAAAAGCGAAAGUGGAAACGAUAGGUGUGAAUAGACCUCGGGGCCGUAGUGUUCACUAAUGGCUUCUCUCAUGAAAGCAAGUAGACGAUGGGUGAACGAAUUACUGUCGAGCAAUUGAUUGAACCGAGCAAAGUCGUGACGUUAUCUAUGGCAAUGAUUAUAUCUAUAAGCAUCAUGUCCAAAACAAGUAGACCGAUACUUUCUGCAUCUACUACUAUUACUCCACACGUCGACCGCUAUCCAGCAUGCAUCUAGUGUAUUAAGUUCAUGAGAACAGAGUAAUGCCUUAAGCAAGAUGACAUGAUGUAGAUGGACAAUCUCAUAUCUACGAUAAAAGCCCAUCUUGUUACCCUUGUUGGCAACAACACGAUGCAUGCCUUGCUGCCCCUUUUGUCACUGGGAAAGGUCACCACACGGUAUGAACCCAAACUAAGCACUUCUCCCAUUGCAAGAAUCAUAGAUCUAGUUGGCCAAACAAAACCCAAGGCUCGGAGAGACUUACAAGGAUAUCAAAUCAUGCACAUAAGAAAUCAGCAAAGACUCAAAUAUAUAUCAUAGAUAAUCUGAUCACAAAUCCACAUUUCAUCGGAUCUCGACAAACACACCGCCAAAGAGGAUUACAUCGGAUAGAUGUCCAUGAAGAUCUUGGAGAACUUUGUAUUGAAGAUCCAAGAGAGAGAAGAAGCCAUCUAGCUACUAACUACGGACCCGUAGGUCUGAAGUGAACUACUCACGAGUCAUUGGAGGGGCGAUGAUGUUGAUGAAGAAGCCCUCCAACUCCAAAGUCCCCUUCGGCAGGGCACCGGGAAGGGUCUCCAGAUGAGAUCUCGCGGAAACGGAAGCUCGCGGCGGCGGAAAAGUGUGUUCGUGGACUCCCUGAUUUUUUCUGGAUUUUUAGGGAAUUUAUAGGCCAAAGACCUAGGGCAGGGGAGUGCCAGGGGGCACAAGCUUGGUUGCCGCGGUCUCCCCCUGGCUGCGGCAACAGGGCUUGCGGGCCCCCUAUGGGCCCACUGCCUUGGCCCUCAAGCCUCUCGAUCUUCUUCCAUUAUGGAAAAAUUUAUUUCGGGGAUUUUAUUCCGUUUGGACUCCGUUCCAAAAUCAGAUCUGAAAAGAGUCAAAAACACAGAAAAACAAGAACUGGCGCUUGGCACUGAAUUAAUAAGUUAGUCCCAAAAAGAUAAAAAAGGUAAACAAAACAUCCAAAGUUGACAAGAUAACAACGUGAAACCAUCAAAAAUUAUAGAUACGUUUGAGACGUAUCAAGCAUCCCCAAGCUUAACUCCUGCUCGUCCUCGAGUAGGGAAGUGAUAAAGAAUGAAUUUUUGAUGCUUUCAUGCUACGUAGCAUAGAUGUCCUUUGUAACUCCUCUUAUGUGACGUGAAUGUUCAGAUCCAUUAGAUUCAAAACAAUAGUUUGCUAUUGACGUGGAAACAAUAAUACUUUAAGCAAACUAGCACGGUAAUCAUGAACUUUCAAAAUAACAAGGCCAAAAGAAAGUUAUCCCUACAAAAUCAUAUAGUCUGGCUAUGCUCUAUCAUCAUUGCACAACGAAUUUAAAUCAUGCACAACCCCGGUAUUGGCCAAGUAAUAGUUUUCACACCUUUACUUUCUCAAACUUUUUCAACUCUCACGCAAUACAUGAGCGUGAGCCAUGGUUUUAGCACUAUAAGUGGUGUGGAGUGUGGUGGAGGUUGCAAGACAAACAAGGAGAAGAUGGUCACAUUGAGUAUGCAUAUCAAUGAGCUAUGGAGAUGCUCAUCAAUAGAUAUCAAUGUGAAUGAGUAGGGAUUGCCAUACAAAUGAUGCACUAGAGCUAAGAGUAUGUGAAAGCUCUUAAAGAAAACUGGUGGGUAUGCAUCCAACUUGCUUGCUCACGAAGACCUAAGACAAAUUUGAGGAAGCCUAUCAUUGGAAUAUACAAGCCAAGUUAUAUAAUGAGAAUUUCCCACUAGCCAUAUGGUGGUGACAAAACGAGAGACUCUCAAUCAUGAAGAUCAUGGUGCUUAAUAAGCACAAGUGUGGAAGGAUAGUAGCAUUGUCCCUUCUCUCUUUUUCUCUCAUUUUUUUGGAUGGGAUCUUUGGCCUCUUUUUUAUAUAUAUAUUUUUUGGUGGGCAUCUUUGGCCUCUUUUUGUAUAUGGGCUUCGCUGGCCUCUUUUAUUUCCUCACAUGGGACAAUGCUCAAUCAAUGAUGAUCAUCACACUUACAACUCAAAACUUAGAGCAAUGAUGACUCUAUAUGAAAUGCCUUCGGCAGUGUACUGUGACAAUGAUCUAGCAUGGCAUAGACAUUAAUGGAAACAUCAUGCUAGCUAUCUUACGAUCAUGCAAUGGCAAUGUAGACGUGGUGGCACAUGUCAUGGUGGUAGUUGCAUGGCAAUAUAUCUCAGAAUGACUUUGAAAAAGCCAUAGUAGGUAGGUAUGGUGGCUGUUUUGAGGAAGGCUAAUGGUGGGUUUUGUGCACCGGCGAAAGUUGCAUGACACUAAAGAAGAUAGUGAUGGUGGAAGGUGAAAGUGCAUCUAAACCAUGGACUCAACAUUAGUCAUGAAGAACUCAUAUACUUGUUGCAAAAGUUUUAUUAGUAAUCGAAACAAAGCAUUCAACGCAUACUCCUAGGGGAAGGGUUGGUAGGUAUAAACCAUCGCGCGAUCCCGACCGCCACACAAAGGAUGACAAUCAAUAGACUAAUCAUGCUCAGACUUCAUCACAUAGCGGUUCACCAUACGUGCAUGCUACGAGAAUCACUAACUUCAACACAAGUAUUUCUAGAUCCACAACACCUUACUAGCAUAACUUCAAUAUUACCACAACCACAACUCAAAACUAAUUGAGAUGAAUCAAACUUCUCUAACUAUUCAAUGCACAUGAAGGUGGAAGUUUUCAUAUCCCUUUGGAUAACUACCCCCUUUGAGACUACUUUCAAAGCAUAGAUCAACUACCAAGCCACGCACUGCCGUGCUCUAAAAGAUAUAAGUGAAGCACAUAGAGCAAAAUCAACUAGCUCCAAAAGAUAUAAGUGAAGCACAUGUGAGCUGAAUUGUCUAACCAAAGGAUAUAAGUGAAGCUCGACAAAAUCACGGUGAGUGCAUGUCUCUCUCUCUAGGUGUGCAGCAAGGAUGAUUGUGACAUAACAAAAUAGAAGACUCCUACGAUACAAGACGCUCCAACCAAGACACAUAACAUGCGGUGAAUAAAAAUAUAGCCCCAAGUAACGUUACCGAUGGAUUGAAGACGAAAGAGGGGAUGCCUUCCCGGGGCAUCCCCAAGCUUAGUAUUUUACGGCAUCCUUGAAUCAACUUGGGGUGCCUUGGGCAUCCCCAAGCUUGAGCUCUUGCCACUCGUUAUCUUUUUGUCCAUAAGAACUUCACCCAAAACUUGAAAACUUCACAAGACGAAACUUAAACAGAAACUCGUGAUAACAUUAGUAUAAGAAAGCAAACCACCACUUCCUUAGGUACUGUAGAAAACUUAAAUUCUACUUAUGUUGAUGUUGGGUUACUGUAUUUUCAAUCUUCCAUGGCUAAUACCCCCGAUACUAUCCAUAGUUUCAUCAAAAUAAGCAACCAACACAACAAAAAUAGAAUCUGUUAACAGCAGACCAGUCUGUAGCAAUCUGUAUACUUCGUAUACUUAUGGUAUUUCAAAAAUUCUGAAAAAUUACGACAGUCUGUAGAAUUUGUGUAGCAAUCAGCAGCAAAAAUAAUCAACUCAAAAUAUCUUACAGAAAAGAAAAAAAUAUUUUCGUGAGCAGAAAGUUUCUGUCUUUUCCAGCAUGACCAAACGAUCAUCCCCAAGACUAAUCAUAACGGUUUUGCUUGGCACAAACGCAAAAAGAAACACAAAAACACAAUCAUAACAGAAUUAUGAAUGUGUGGAAAACAAAAACAUAAAGAAAAAGGAUAGAUUCGUUGGGUUGCCUCCCAACAAGCGCUAUUGUUUAACGCCCUUAGCUAGGCAAAAGGUGAUGGAAUCACGUAUAGUCAUCUUUGGUGCUCAAACCAUAAGUAGCCCUCAUCAUAGAUUCAUAAGGCAAUCUUAUUUUCUUUCUAGGAAAGUGCUCCAUGCCCUUCUUUAGAGGAAAUUGAAAUCUAAUAUUCCCUUCCUUCAUAUCUGUGAUAGCACCAAUAGUCCUUAGGAAAGGUCUACCAAGAAUAAUGGGACAUGAAGGAUUGCAAUCUCUGUCAAGUACAAUGAAAUCCACGAGUACAUAGUUCUUAUUUGGAACAAUAAUAACAUCAUCGAUCCUUCCCAUGGGUUUCUUGACAGUAGAAUCCGCAAGAUGCAAAUUAAGAGAACACUCUUCAAUCUCAUGAAAACCAAGAAUAUCACAUAAAGACUUUGGAAUCGCGGAAACACUAGCAUCCAAAUCACACAAAGCAUUGCACUCAUUGUUUUUAUCUUGAUUUUGAUAGUAGGUUCCCACUCAUCAUGAAGUUUUCUAGGUAUAGAGACUUCUAAUUCGAGCUUCUCUUCAAGAGAUUUCAUCAUAGCAUCUAUGAUAUGCGCGGUAAAGGCUUUGCUUUGGCUAUAAGUAUGUGGAGAGUUUUCAAUGGAUUGCAUCAAAGAAAUGCAUUCAAACAAGGAGCAACUAUCAUAAUUGAAUUCCUUGAAAUCCAAAGUGGGAGUUUAUUACUACCCAAAAUUUUGAUUUCUUCUACUCCACUCUCCACACCUUUAUCAUCAAGAUAGGUGGACUCCGAAUCAUUGGGGCGUUUUUCAACCAAAGUGGAUUCAUAUCCAGCCCCUUCAGCAAUAGGUUUGACACGCGAAAACAAAGAUUCAAGAGGAGUCACACCAAGCAUUUUAAGAUCUUCGUGAUUUGCAUCACUAGAACGCACCCUUUUAAACCAUUCAUGCCUAGUGCGAAUUUGGGCGGUUCUUUCUUUGCUCUCAUUCAUGGAGACACGCAUAGCUUUCAAAGUUUCAUCCAAGUUGACCUUGGGAGGAGCACAUCUAACUUUCAAAGCAUCAAUAUCACAAGACAUCCUAGCAACGCUUUUAGCCAAAUCGUCAAUUUUGAGUAUUUUUCCUCUAUGGACGCAUUGAAAAUCUUUUGAGAGUUCAUGAACUCUUUGAUAUUACUCUCUAAAUCAGAGGGUAAUUUGUUGUGAUUUCCAUAAGUGUUGUUGUAGGAAUUGCCAUAAUUGUUAGACGAGUUACUAGGAAAAGGCCUAGGAACAUAGUUUCCUCUAAAAGCAUUGUUGUUGCCAAAAAUUUCCUACCAACAAAGUUAACGUCCAAACUAGCAUUGCUACUCUCAAUCAAGGAAGAUAGUGGCAUGUCAUUAGGAUCUAAAGGAGCAUUUAUACUAGCAACCAAAUUCAUCAACUCGUCCAUCUUAGCACUAAGCGAGCUAAUUUCUUCUAUAACGUGUACCUUUUGCUAGCAGGUGACCUUUCAGUGUGCCACUGAGAGUAGUUGGUCAUGAUAUUGUCUAAGAGUUGUGUAGCAUCUCCUAACGUGAUUUCCAUGAACGUUCCACCUGAGGCGGAGUCCAAGAUAUUGUAAGAGGCUAAAUUAAAGCCAGCGUAAAAGAUUUGUAUAAUCAUCCACAAACUCAAGCCAUGAGCGGGACAAUUUCUAAUCAUUAACUUCAUCCUCUCCCAAGAUUGUGCAACAUGUUUAUGAUCAAGUUGCUUGAUAUUCAUGAUAUCGUUACGUAAGGAGAUAAUCUUAGCCCGCGGAAAAUACUUGGAUAUGUAAGCAUCUUUGCACUUAUCCCAAGAAUCGAUACUAUUUUUAGGCAAAGAAGAAAACCAAGUUUUUGCGCGAUCUCGCAACGAGAAAGGAAAAAGAUUCAACUUAAUCACGUCAUUAUCCACAUCUCUUUCCUUUUGCAUAUCGCAAAGCUCAAUGAAGGUAUUGAGAUGGGACGCGACAUCUUCACUAGGAAGGCGAGAGAAUUGCUCUUUCCUAACAAGAUUCAGCAAAGCUGCGUUGAUUUCAUACGAUUCCGCACUAGUGGCGGGAGCAAUCACAGUACUAAUAAAAUCAUUAUUAUUUGUACACGAGAAGUCGCAAAGUUUGGUGUUUUCAGCCAUGAUGACUUCAACAAACAAACAAGCACACAAGCAAGCAAGAAAACCGGCAAAGGAAAACGGCAAAAGGCAAAAGGCAAAAGAAAAUGGCAAAGGAGAAAGGCAAAUGAAAACGACAAAUGUGAAGUGGGGUAGAGGAAAACGAGAGGCAACUCGAAAAAAGUAAAUGCAAGAGAUGAGUUUGUGAGACCUACUUGGAUAGAUCUCUCCUUCCCCGGCAACGGCGCCAUAAAUACUUCCGCUACUGCAACAAAAGACCUUCUAACGGCACUAGAAACAAGCGUGCUGACGGGAGACUAUUCUUGUCUUGAUACUCCUCAGCAACGGCACGAGGAAUCCUUCUGCUACGGCUACGCCUUUAGGAACUUCCUUGGAAAAUAUGCAAAGGAUUCCCCCGUGGCCAUGGAGCCUUGCGUUGGUGUUCCCUCGAAGCGAAAAGGGUGAUGUAGCGCAGCGGCGGUAAGUAUUUCCCUCAGUUUUGAGAACCAAGGUAUCGAUCCAGUGAAGGAUUAUCACAAGUACCUACACAAACACAAAGAGCUUGCACCCAACGCUAUGAAGGGGUUGUCAAUCCCUUAUAGAUUGUUUGCCAAGUGAGAACUGAAAGCAAAAGAACAAAGCAAAGUAAAAGCGAAAGUGGAAACGAUAGGUGUGAAUAGACCCGAGGGCCGUAGUGUUCACUUAUGGCUUCUCUCAUGAAAGAAAGUAGACGAUGGGUGAACGAAUUACUGUCGAGCAAUUGAUAGAGCCGCGCAAAGUCAUGACGUUAUCUAUGGCAAUGAUUAUAUCUAUAGGCAUCAUGUCCAAAACAAGUAGACCGAUACUUUCUGCAUCUACUACUAUUACUCCACACGUCGACCGCUAUCCAGCAUGCAUCUAGUGUAUUAAGUUAAUGCGAACAUAGUAACACCUUAAGCAAGAUGACAUGAUGUAGAUGGACAAUCUCAUAUCUACGAUAAAAGCCCAUCUUGUUACCAUUGAUGGCAACAACACGAUGCGUGCCUUGCUGCCCCUUAUGUCACUGGGAAAGGUCACCACACGGUAUGAACCCAAACCAAGCACUUCUCCCAUUGCAAGAAUCAUAGAUCUAGUUGGCCAAACAAAACCCAAGACUCAGAGAGACUUACAAGGAUAUCAAAUCAUGCACAUAAGAAAUCAGCAAAGACUCAAAUAUAUAUCAUAGAUAAUCUGAUCACAAAUCCACAAUUCAUCGGAUCUCGACAAACACACCGCCAAAGAGGAUUACAUCGGAUAGAUCUCCAUGAAGAUCAUGGAGAACUCUGUAUUGAAGAUCCAAGAGAGAGAAGAAGCCAUCUAGCUACUAACUACAGACCCGUAGGUCUGAAGUGAACUACUCACAAGUCAUUGAAGGGCGAUGAUCUUGAUGAAGAAGCCCUCCAACUCCAAAGUCCCCUCCGGCAGGGCACCGGGAAGGGUCUCCAGAUGAGAUCUCGCAGAAACGGAAGCUUACGGCGGCGGAAAAGUGUUUUCGUGGACUCCUUGAUUUUUCCGGAUUUUAAGGGAAUUUAUAGGCCAAAGACCUAGGGCAGGGGAGUGCCAUGGGGGCCAUAAGGUUGGUUGCCGCGGCCUCCCCCUGGUCGCGGCAACAGGGCUUGUGGGCCCCCUAUGGGCCCACUGCCUUGGCCCUCAAACCUCCCGAUCUUCUUCCGUUCUGGAAAAAUCAUUUCGGGGAUUUUAUUCCAUUUGGACUCCGUUCCAAAAUCAGAUCUGAAAAGAGUCAAAAACACAGAAAAACAGGAACUGACGCUUGGCACUGAAUUAAUAAGUUAGUCCCAAAAAAUAUAAAAAAGUUAAACAAAACAUCCAAAGUUGACAAGAUAACAGUGUGAAACCAUAAAAAAUUAUAGAUACGUUUGAGACGUAUCAGACACCGGCCACUGUCGUGGCCAAAACAAAACUGUCCCAAACGGGGGCGGGUACCCCAAACAACUCAACUGGCUCACAAGGUUAUGGUCGCCUACCGGGCCAGGGUAGCACGCGCGCAUAACCUUCCCUCUUUGGUGGUACCGGGGAAAGAGCAUGCGAUCAACCCAAGUCAAGGCCGUCCCAUAUCGGCAAAUGUGGUUGCACUGAUGAGCCCGGACAGGUGACUCUAGAUCAACCACUAAGUUAUCUUAUCUCCGAAUAAUAUCUCUGAUAUAGGUGACACUUCGAUGUCACGGUACUCCGAUAAUUAAUAAGCUCAAGGCACUGCUGUUGAUCCAUAUUCAUAAACUGUCGGAUGAAACCAAAGAAAUCAUAGACAAUAAUCUCAACAUCAUGGCAUCGACUAGUGUGCAAGACACUAGCCACUAACUAUCCCGUACUCAAAAUGAUAGUCGCCUAUUCAAGAGUUUAUUCAAAUAUUGCAUAGUAUACUCUAUACUACAAAUAAUUAUAAUUACGAUUAGAGUAAUAAGUUAAACUAUGAUAUUGCAUUGUAAUUAUGCAAAUGAGAGUUGUGGCUUGCGUGGGGAUGAAGGAUCCACUCGGAAGAAGUGUGAGGAGCUCGCGGAAGGAAUCCCCGGAAAUAGUUCUCUCUCGGAGGAGGGGUUGUUUACGGCUAGGGUAAUAUGGUCAUUUCCACUAUGUUAUCACAUAGUGUAAAUGGUACCAUCUUGACGGGCUCGACGAGACGAAGGUGUGGGCUUUGGAAUCACCUUAAUCGGAGCUAUAGAUAAAAAGAUAUAAGAGCUUUUCUGCCAGGGACUAAUCUGCAAUAAAAAUAUCUACAAUCGGGUCCCUGGGAGCACAGCCGCUCGCGCCUUUGAAGGAAUACGUUUCCCAGAGGGGGAAACGUAUUUCGCGUCGGGCGCUUCCACUUAAUCCAGCGUGGCUGGCUCCCUCUCACCGACGGGUGGGCCCUGGCCCCACCUGUCGGGUCUUCUCUCUCCUUCUUCCCUCCUCUUCUUCUUCCUCCCUCCUUAUCCGUGAUGCCACAGCAGAGGCUCGACUCCGGCAGCUCUCUGUCACUCCGGUGGUCCAAGGACACGGACGAGGGCAUGGAUGGGGUCGCCGGUGACCGCUGCGUCCAGGGGUGAGCAGUGCGGCCUCGGGGGGGGCGGAGACGUGGCGACGGACGACAACAGAGGGCGGCCGGUCUGGGCGAUGCAGGGGCUCCGGUGGGCGAGGGUUUGCGGGGAUGGCACGGGCGAGGCCACCGGUGAGCACUACGUACAACAGUGGACUCAGUGGAGGCGGAGAGGGCCAGGAGGACGCGAAUUUUGGAGGAGGAUGGAGAUGGCCAUGGCGGUGAUAGGCAACGGAAAGAGCUUCUUCGGCUCGGGCAAGAGGCUGGGAGGGGUCUAGGAGGGAGAGAAGGUUGUCCCUUAGCUCGAGGGGCUCCGUGGGGACCUAUAUAUAGGCGCCCGACGGCAAGUGGAUGAGAACGGCCGUGGCGACGCGUGCAUCGCGCGCCAGAGCUUUGGGAGCUUGCCUGGAGGAGGGGAGAGACAUCCAGAGAGACCAUAGAGGGGCGGAGAGGGCUCAGGCGAGAUCAAGAGGGAUCGGGAGGGUUCGAGGCGAUGGAUGCGGCAGCGACAGAGACAGCCACGUCGCGGCGCGACUGCCGUAUCGCGUAGGAGGGGACGGGAGAGGGGGAGAGGGCUCCAGGGAGAAGAGGAUGACUAGGGGAAGCUGUUGGACACGACGAGGCGUGCGGAAACGACGAGCCAAGGAGGGGCCCGAGCUAGCAAACACGCAGCUCGCGUCCAUGGAAUGACGAGGUGGUGGUCACUAAUACGUCUCGAACGUAUCUAUAAUUUUUAUGAACAUGGAUAAUAAACGAUUAUUAUGAACAAGGAAAUAUAAUAAUAACUAAUUUAUUAUUGCCUCUAGGGCAUAUUUCCAUCAGUCUCCCACUUGCACUAGAGUCAAUAAUCUAGUUCACAUCACCAUGUGAUUUCAACGAAUCCAACACCCAUAUAGUUCUGGGGUCUGAUCACGUCUUGCUCGUGAGAGAGGUUUUAGUCAACGGUUCUGAAACUUUCAGAUCCGUGUGUUCUUUACAAAUCUUUAUGUCAUCUUAUAGAUGCUGCUACUACGUGCUAUUCGGAAAUACUCCAAAUAUCUACUCUACUAUACGAAUCUGUUUCACUACUCAUAGUUAUUCGAAUUAGUGUCAAAGCUUGCAUCGACGUAACCCUUUACGACGAACUCUUUAACCACCUCCAUAAUCGAGAAAAAAAUCCUUAGUCCAUUAGUCGCUAAGGAUAACUUUGACCGCUGUUCAGUGAUUCAAUCCUGGAUCACUCUCUGUACCUCUUAACAUACUUGUGGCAAGGCACAUAUCAGGUGCAGUACACAGCAUGGCAUACUGUAGAGUUUACGGCUAAGGCAUAGGGGACGACCUUCGUCCUUUCUCUUUCUUCUGUCAUGGUCGGGCUUUUGAGUCUUACUCAUAUUCACACCUUACAAUACAACCAAGAACUCCUUUGCUGAUCUAUUUUGAACUCCUUCAAAAACUUCUCAAGGCAUGCAUUUCAUUUGAAAGUUCUAUUAAGAGUAUUGAUCUAUCUCUAUAGAUCUUGAUGCUCAAUCUUCAAAUAGCUCUAUCCAGGUCUUCCUUUGAAAAACUCCUUUCAAACAACCUUUUAUGCUUCACAGAAAUUCUACAUUACUUCUCAUCAACAAUAUGUCAACCACAUAUACUUAUCAGAAAUUCUAUAGUGCUCCCACUCACUUCUUUGGAAAUACAAGUUUCUCAUAAACCUUGUACAAACCCAAACCUUUGAUCAUCUCAUCAAAGCGUAUAUUCCAUCUCCGAGAUGCUUCCACCAGUCCAUAAAAGGAUCGCUGGAGCUUCCAUACUUGUUAGUAUCCUUAGGAUCGACAAAACCUUAUGAUUGUAUCACAUACAAUCUUUCCUCAAGGAAACCGUCGAGGAAACAAUGUUUUGUCUUCCUAUGUGUAAUAUUCCACAAAUAAUGCAGCAACUACUAACAUAUUUCCAACAGACUUUUAGCAUCGCUACGAGUGAGAAAGUCACAUCAUAGUCAACUCUUUGAUCUUGUCGAAAACAUCUUUGCGACAAGUCGAGCUUUUCUUAAUAGUGACUUAUCACCAUCAUCGUCUGUCUUCCUUCCAAAGAUCCAUCUUUACUUAAUAGUCUUACUACUAUCAAGUGGUUCUUCCAAAGUCUACACUUUGUUUUAUACAUGGAUCCUCUCUCGGAUUUCAUGGCCUCCAGCCAUUUGUCGGAAUCCGGGCCCACCAUCGGUUCUCCAUAGCUUGUAGGUUCAUUGUUGCUCAACAACAUGACCUCUAAGACAGGGUUACCGUACCACUCUGCAGCAGUACGUGACCUUGCCGACCUAUGAGGUUUGUAGUAACUUGAUCUGAAGCUCAAUGAUCGCCAUCAUCAGUUUCCACUUCAAUUGGUGUAGGCGCCACAGGAACAUCUUCCUGUGCCCUGCUACACACUGGUUGAAGUGACGGUUCACUAACCUCAUCAAGUUCCACCACCCUCCCACUCAAUUCUUUCGAGAGAAACCUUUCCUCGAGAAAGGACCCGUUUCUAGAAACAAACACUUCGCUUCCGGAUCUGAGAUAGGAGAUGCACCCAACUGUUUUGGAUAUCCUAUGAAGAUGCAUUUAUCCGUUUUGGGUUCGAGCUUAUCAGGCUGAAACUUUUUCACAUAAGCAUCACAACCCCAAACUUUUAAGAAACGAUAGCUUAGCUUUCUCCAAACCAUAGUCUAUAUUGUGUCAUCUCAACGGAAAUACGUUGUGCCCUAUUUAAAGUCAAUGCGGUUGUCUCUAAUGUAUAACCCAUAAACGAUAUUGGUAAUUCGAUAAGAGACAUCACAGUAUGCACCACAUCAAAUAGGGCGUGGCUAUGACGUUCAGACACAUCAUCACACUAUGGUGUUCCAGGUGGCAUGAACUGCGAAACUAUUUCCACAUUGUCUUAACUGCGUACCAAAACUCGUAACUCAGAUAUUCAUCUCUAUGAUCAUAUCGUAGACAGUUUAUCCUCUUGUCACGACGAUCUUCACUCUGAAAUUGCUUUGAACUUUUCAAUAUUUCAGACCUGUGAUUCAUCAAGUAAAUACUCCUGUAUCUACUCAAAUCGCGAGUGAAGUAAGAACAUAAUGAUAUCCACUGCGUGCCUUAGCACUCAUUGGACUACACACAUCAAAAAUGCAUUACUUCCAACAAGUUACUCUCUUGUUUCAUGUGGCAUGUUUUGCAUGUCUCAAGUGAUUCAAAAUCAAGUGAGUGCAAACGAUCCAUCUCUAAGGAGUUUCUUCAUGCAUUUAUACCAACAGGUAUGGUUUGCAUGUCUCAAAUGUUUCAAAAAUGAGUGAGUACAAAGAUCCAUCAGCAUGGAGCUUCUUCAUGCAUUUUAUACCAACAUGACUCAAGUGGCAGUGCCACAACUAAGUGGUACUAUCAUUAUUACUUUGUAUCUUUUGGCACCAAUAUUAUGAACAUGUGUAACACUACGAUCGAGAUUCAAUAAACCAUUGAGGGUAAUUAUUCAAGCAAAUAGAACAACUAUUAUUCUCUUUAAAUGAAUAAUCGUAUUGCAAUAAACACGAUCCAAUCAUGUUCAUGCUCAACGCAAACACCAAAUAACAAUUAUUUAGGUUUUACUACCAAUCCCGAUGAUAGAGGGAGCAUGCGAUGUUUGAUCACAUCAACCUUGGAAACACUUUCAACACGUAUCGUCACCUCGCCUUUAGCUAGUCUCCGUUUAUACCCUAGCUUUCAUUCCGAGUUACUAAUCACUUAGCAACCUAACCGGUAUCCAAUACCCUCGUGCUACUAGGAGUACUAGUAAAGUACACAUCAAUAUCAUGUAUAUCAAAUAUACUUCUGUUGAUUUUGCCAGCCUUCUUAUCUACCAAGUAUCUAGGGUAGCUCCGCCUGAGUGACCGUUCCCCUCAUAACAGAAGCACUUACUCUCGGGUUUGGGUUUAAUCUUGGGUCUCUUCAUUAGUGCAGCAACUGUUUUGCCGUUUCACGAAGUAUCCCUUCUAUCCCUUGCCUUUCUUGAAACUUACUGGUUUUACUAACCAUCAACUAUUGAUGCUCUUUCUUGAUUCUACUUUCGCAGUGUCAAACAUCGCGAAUCACUCAAGGAUCAUUGUAUCUAUCCUUGAUAUGUUAUAGUUCAUCACGAAGCUCUCACAACUUGGUGGCAGUGACUUUGGAGAACUCCUCACCAUCUUAUCUGGAAGAUUAACUCCCACUUGAUUCAAGCGAUUGUAGUACUCAGACAAUCUGAGCACACGCUCAAUGAUUGAGCUUUUCUCCUUUACUUCGUGGACAAAGAAUCUUGUCGGAGGUCUCAUACCUCUUAACAAGGGCACAAGCAUGAAAUCACAAUUUCAUUUCUUUGGAACAUCUUUUAUGUUCUGUGACGUUUCAAAACGUCUUCGGCGCCUUGCUUCUAAGCCAUUAAGUAUUUUGCACUGAACUAUCGCGUAGUCAUCAGAAACGUGAAUGUAGGAUGUUCACAACAUCCACAGGCGAUGCUCGAGGUGGAGCACACCGAGUGGUGCAUUAAGGACAUAAGCCUUCUGUGCAGCAACGAGGACAAUCCUCGGUUUUGCAGACUCAGUCCGCAAAGUUUGCUACUAUCAACUUUCAACUAAAUUUUCUCUAGGAACAUAUAAAAACAGUAGAGCUAUAGAGCAAGCUACAUCGUAAUUCGCAAAGACCAUUAGACUAUGUUCAUGACAAUUAGUUCAAUUAAUCAUAUUACUUAAGAACUCCCACUCAAAAAGUACAUCUCUCUAGUCAUUUGAGUGGUACAUGAUCCAAAUCCACUAUCUCAAGUCCGAUCAUCACGUGAGUCGAGAAUAGUUUCAGUGGUAAGCAUCUCUAUGCUAAUCAUAUCAACUAUACGAUUCAUGCUCGACCUUUCGGUCUCAUGUGUUCCCAGGCCACGUCUGCACAUGCUAGGCUCGUCAAGUUUAACCCGAGUGUUCCACGCGUGCAACUGUUUUGCACCCGUUGUAUGUGAACGUUAAGUCUAUCACACCCGAUCAUCACGUGGUGUCUCGAAACGACGAACUGUCGCAAUGGUGCACAGUCGGGGAGAACACAAUUUGAGCUUGAAAUUUUAGUGAGAGAUCACCUCAUAAUGCUACCGUCGUUCUAAGCAUAAUAAGGUGCAUAAAGGAUUAACAUCACAUGCAAUUCAUAAGUGACAUGAUAUGGCCAUCAUCAUGUGCUUCUUGAUCUCCAUCACCAAAGCACCGACACGAUCUUCUUGUCACCGGCACCACACCAUGAUCUCCAUCAACGUGUCGCCAUCAGGGUUGUCGUGCUACUCAUGCUAUUACUACUAAAGCUACGUCCUAGCAAUAUAGUAAACGCAUCUACAAGCACAAAUGUUAGUUUAAAGACAACCCUAUGGCUCCUGCCGGUUGCCAUACCAUCGAUGUGCAAGUCGAUAUUAACUAUUACAACAUGAUCAUCUCAUACAUCCAAUAUAUCACAUCACGUCGUUGGCCAUAUCACAUCACAAGCAUACCCUGCAAAAACAUGUUAGAUGUCCUCUAAUUGCUGUUGCAUGUUUUACGUGGUUGCCAUGGGUAUCUAGUGGGAUCGCAUCUUACUUACGCAAUCACCACAACAGAGAUGUAUGAAUUUCUAUUUAACCUCUCUCCAAGGACCUCCUCGGUCAAAUCCGAUUCAACUAAAGUUGGAGAAACCGACACUCGCCAGUCAUCUUUGAGCAACGGGGUUGCUCGUAGCGAUGAAACCAGUCUCUUGUAAGCGUACGAGUAAUGUCGGUCCGAGCCGCUUUGAUCCAACAAUACCGCGGAAUCAAGAAAAGACUAAGGAGGGCAACAAAUCGCACAUCACCGCCCACAAAAACUUUUGUGUUCUACUCGAGAUAACAUCUACGCAUGAACCUAGCUCAUGAUGCCACUGUUAGGUAACGUUGCAAGGGAAACAAAAAUUUCCUACGCGCACGAAGACCUAUCAUGGUGAUGUCCAUAUACGAGAGGAGAUUUGGAUCUACAUACCCUUGUAGAUCAAACAACAGGAAGCGUUAAGAAACGCGGUUGAUGUAGUGGAACGUCGUCACGUCCCUCGAUCCGCCCCACGAACCGUCCCGCAAUCCGUCCCACGAUCCGUCCCGCGAUCCGUCCCACGAACCGUCUCGCGAUCCGUUGCACGAACCGUCUUGCGAUCCAUCUCACGAUCCGUUCCGAUCUAGUGCCGAACGGACGACACCUCCGCGUUCAGUACAUGUACAGCUCGAUGACGAUCUCUGCCUUCUUGAUCCAGCAAGAGGGGGUGGAGAGGUAGAAGAGUUCUCUGGCAGCGUGACAUCGCCCCAGAGGUUUGUGGUGAUCUAUCUCACCAGGGCUCCGCACGAGCUCCCCAGAAAUACGAUCUAGAGGAAAAACCGUGGAGGUAUGUGGUCGGCCUGCCGUGGCAAAGUUGUGUCUCAAAACCCCCCAAUACCUCUAGUAUAUAUAGGAGGGAGGGGGAGGAGGCAGCCUCAAACCCUCAAGGUUUGGCCGAAAUUGGAGGUGCAGGAGUCCUACUCCAAUCCUACUUGGAGUAGGAUUCCACCUUCCCACUUGGAAACUCUUUCCACCUUGUGUUUUUCCUUGUCAAACCUUAUGGGCCUUAGUGGGAACUUAUUCCAGCCCACUAGGGGCUGGUUUAUCUCUUCCCAUAGCCCAUGAGACCCCUUAGGGCAUGACAACCCUCCCGAUGGUCCCCGGCACCCCUCCCGGCACUCCCGGCACAUUAGCGAUAAGCCCGGAACUUUUCCGGUGACCAAAACAGGACUUCCUAUAUAUCAAUCUUUACCUCCGGACCAUUACGGAGCUCCUCGUUACGUCCUGGAUCUCAUAUGGGACUCCGAACAACUUUUGGUUACCAACACCUAUAACUCAACUAUACCGAAACGUCACCGAACCUUAAGUGUGCAGAUCCUGCGGGUUCGAGAACUAUGUAGACAUGACCCGAGACACUCCUCGGUCAAUAUCCAAUAGCGGGACCUGGAUGGCCAUAUUGGAUCCUACAUAUUCUCCGAAGAUCUUAUCGGUUGAACCUCAGUGUCAAGGAUUCAUAUAAUCCCGUAUGUCAUUCCCUUUGUCCUUCGGUAUGUUACUUGCCCGAGAUUUGAUCGUCGGUAUCCGCAUACCUAUUUCAAUCUCGUUACCGGCAAGUCUCUUUACUCGUUCCGUAAUACAAGACCUCGUGACUUACACUUAGUCACAUUGCUUGCAAGGCUUGUGUGUGAUGUUGUAUUAUCGAGUGGGCCCCGAGAUACCUCUCCGUCACACGGAGUGACAAAUCCCAGUCUUGAUCCAUACUAACUCAACGGACACCUUCGGAGAUACCUGUAAAGCAUCUUUAUAGUCACCCAGUUACGUUGUGAUGUUUGAUACACACAAGGUAUUCCUCUGGUGCCAGUGAGUUAUACGAUCUCAUGGUCAUAGGACAAUACUUGACACGCAGAAAACUAUAGCGAUAAAACGACACGAUCAAUAUGCUACGUUCAUAGUUUGGGUCUUGUCCAUCACAUGGUUCUCCUAAUGAUGUGAUCCCAUUAUCAAGUAACAAUACUUGCCUAUGGUCAGGAAACCUUGACCAUCUUUGAUCAACGAGCUAGUCAACUAGAGGCUUACUAGGGACAGUGUUUUGUCUAUGUAUCCACACAAGUAUUGAGUUUCCAAUGAAUAAAAUUAUAGCAUGGAUAAUAAACAAUUAUUAUGAACAAGGAAAUAUAAUAAUAAUUAAUUUAUUAUUGCCUCUAGGGCAUAUUUCCAACAAUUACAUCAUACAUGCGGAUCAACCAUAUUCGUUCUCGGUCGUCGUUGGUUAUUGCACAUAACCAAUGCCUAGAAACUGAUUUGGAUCCAUAGUUUAUAACCGCUAAUAACCAAACUGUUUAAACCCAUAACCAACUAUACCCAAACUGGUUUCUCCACGUAACCAAACCAAAGCCAAACUAAAAAGCUGAGUCCAAUAAAAUCUAAACCAUUCAAACCCAAAGUAAGAACCGAACCAUUACACCCGGUUUUUAAUAACCACUCUUAUGUUUACGCGUAGGGAUCAUCGUCACCCACAAAGACAUCGUCAUCAUCGUCGCAUCGCUUCUCUGCACGCCCAUCAUCAUCAUCAUCGUUGCCCGCUGGUGCGCGCGCCGCGGCGCCGACGGUAGGGCACCCCGCCCUCGCCCGCCGCGGGCGUCAAGAAGUCGGUGCUCCGCGCCAUCCCCAUUGUGCCCCCGACGCCGAUGCUGACGAGGGCAACAACAAGGAGGAGGACGGCGAGUGCCCCAUCUGCCUGGACGAGUACGAGAGAGGCGAAGCCAUGCGCGUGCUGCCCCAGUGCGCCAGCCUUCCACGCCGCCUGCAUCGACAAGUGGCUGCGUGACCACUCGUCGCUGUGGCUAUGACAUGUGGCCCCGGACGGGACGACCGUGUCACCAUGCACAAUGCGGCCCGACCAGGUGAGCGCUUCGGUCUGGCCCUGACUAGGUGGCACGUGACGGGCGCCUAUCGUCGGAUGCGACCCCAUGGAGUGGCCGAAUGGGACCACGGGGCGCACAUGUUUUAGAUUUCAGGCCUAUAAAAUCCUUGGACUAGAGCCCACUCACUUCAGGCUACGCUCACUAGCUUUCAGCACAAACUACCUUAUUCCCCGCAUCGUAUCCACCUACCCCGUAUCACUCCACACCCAUUCCAUCAGUCCAAACACACACAUGAUGAUGGAGCCACCCAUGACGGCUAGGAGGCUCCUUCAGGAGGUGGCGGUUCUGUCCAUGCCGGCUACCCGGAUCAUCGUCGAGCACAAGCAGUGUCGAAGCAUAGUGUAGUCCUGAGGGGGCCGUGCCCCCCAGCAAAGCAGUGAAGAAAAUUUACCGUGCAAGGAUUAGAUAAGGAAAAUAUUAAUCUUUACCCUCUCAGUUGUUCAUGUUUUGACUUUUGGCCUCCUUAACAUUCCUGCCUAGCUCCGCCUCUGACCACAAGGACAUCAUCAUCAUCUUCGUCUGGCUUCUCUGCGCGCUCUUCACCGUCGACAAUGGCUGCCACGCCUUCUACGCCGCUUGCAUCGACAAGUGGCUGCGCGACCACUCGUCCUGCCCCUCCUGCCGCCGGAUCCUCGCCGCCGAGCGUUGCGGCUCGUGCCCCGAUCCAGCCGUGGCGACCUAGAACGGGAAGACGACUUACCAGAGGAACCAGUCAACCAAUCAAUGAGCAUUCUCUUUCGUUAAAUAUAUCGCCUGCUUAUCUUGCUCAGAAUUUAUUCGAUUUCGCUUUGUCAGAUGUAUAUAUCUGAACCAUGUGGGCGUACGUGUGUGCAUAUGCGUUGCACCUAGUGUAUUCAUCUAAGAAGAAGAGUCAUCUAAGAAAUGUAUCCUACAUGUUGUUGUUGCUGCUUAGAGUGCACCCACGAUACUCGUUAAUCUUUCAAAGUGCGCCUAGUGGAUGAUUAAGAGGCACGGAUGGAAAGGGGGUGUCCGGAUAUAUCAGGCAACAAACCCCUGUUGAAUACUAGACACAUGAUAAUCAGCUGUCGGAUCGAUGUGAUAAUGGAUGCUAACAAACAACGAUGCGCUUAAAAGGGCACUGUGUGAUGGUUGAGACGACAUUUUCUUUCUUAGCACAUGUACAAUGAAGGCAGGACCUAGGUGAUGCCCCGUGCAUCCACGUAGAUAAAAAUAAAUGAAGCUAUUUGUACUAUUUUUCUCACCCAAUACUCCAAUUUGAAACAACCACUUUACCGACCCCACCUUCUCUUUUCACACUUUUCCCUUGUCAAUCGGCAUCUUCUUCCUCGAGUUUGUCCACUCCAUCUGUUUCUCUUAUCUUUUCUCAGAGCAGAUUAGCUUCUCCCCACCAUGGAAUAAGAGGCCUCAUCAUUGAUUAUAAUUUUGUGAAACCCAACACGCGUAUCGUCUUCAUGCGUGCUUUAGCUUUGUUCGUCUUCCCAUGGCCUCAAGUGUCUUCCGAAUCUCAUGGUUCUCCAUCUCCAUGGAAGGAACAUCUACAAAUUUCUACCCCAAAACAGCUGAAGAUUGUUCCCUCCUCAAAUUUGGCACCGAGCUCUUUUUCUCCCCUAAAUCCUGGUGAAUGGAAGCUCUAGAUCUGGUCUUGUUUGCUUGUUCUGCUCAUGUGGGGUCUGGUGAGUUGUUCAUCCCGUUCUUCAUGGCACUGCCCACAUACGGUCGCCGUCCUCGUCUCGCCAAGCCUAGGAGCAUCUCCAAUAGACGCGGCAAAUAUGACGUGUGCGAGAGAAAACGCCUUUUUACGCGCGCGGGGCGGUUUGGUGCUUCAGGCGGGAGAAAAUUGGCACGUAAAAGAAACGGCGCGUGGAAAAAGCGGUAGCUUAGAUGGCAGUUUCGGCGUACGGCGUCCAACAUGUCAUAUAAAAACCGCACACGCUCGUCUGUGUCACCGCCACCGCCGUCGUCGUGCCAUUCUUCCUUGUCUUUGGAUAUAAUCUCUCUCGCCCCGGUCGCCCUUCUUCCUCGUCUCCGACGUCCUUCUCCCCGCCGCCCUUCUUCCUCACCGCCAUGAUGCCACCGUGCCCCCGGAGAAGCUCCGGCGGCGUGUAUUACGCGGAGAAACGCUCCGGUGAUACACGCUUGGGCUCGGGACGUUUGAGAACGCAAUGAGAAAUGUAGGUGCAAGGCUUUGGCGAUUUCCUAGUCAGAGAAUUCGGACACGCUGUGGGACUCGAACGAUGAGCGGUGGGCGGACAUGUUACUUAUGACAUCCGGCUGCAAGGACGAGGAUGAAGAAUAGUCUAGUUUAAACAAUCUAAUUUAGUUUUAUCUAUUUUUAAAUUUUAUCUAGUUAUAGUUUUAAGUUUUAUGUAAUAUAUCUGUAUGGUACUAUAGUUUUAUUUGUAUUAUAUGGACUAUAUAUGUGGUGUUGGCUUUUAAAGCUUAAAUAUAAUUUUAGCGCGCCUACGAGCUGCAAUGACGCGUUUCAUUUUACAUUGCCUGCUGGACCAAACUCCCUUCAAUCUCUACUACUAAUAAACAAUCCAACACAUUCAUCACUAGGUGCACCCACACUAAUGUACACAGAGCAACCCCAACAAAUCUAAGCCACAUGAUUAGACCCACUCAUUUAGAUCAAACCAUCCACAUAAUAAUCAACCCUCAUCCAAACUGCGUUUAGGAAUUUCAAUGAGCGGACGAAAACUCUGCCAGCGGCGACCCCUGCAAUCACGCAUGAAAAAAGAAACUGACUCCGAUGGAUAACUCACCCACCAUCAGCCUCAACUAGGCGCUGCUAAGAUCUCCUAAUGGCGUGCGCCUCCUCUCCCUCCUCUCCUAAUUCAUCUUCACCAUCUAAGGCCUUCGAGUAAGACACCAUUGACUCCACUACUCCGGUGGUGGUUGUGGGGUCAGCCGGAGACGCGACAACGGUGGGGAGCAACAGCGCAUCGGCAGCGGCAGCGGCUGCUGGGCAACGACGGGCGAGCAGUGGCGUGAAGCAGGCGCAGGUGGCGGUUCUGAUUGGAACGAGGCAGCAAGGCGGAGGUCGGGUGGCACCUACACAUCGGAGGUCUUGGACAAGAUUGGCUUGCUGCAGCGGCUUGUGGGCCCAGGUCCUCAACACCGGUGAGGUUUCAUGGCUGGUAAGGUUCUGAACUUUUUGCAGAGGCCGUUGCUGAACUUUUGCAGUGAUAUAAAACUUCACCCAGCACCAGGCCCACCCAAAGGGUCAGGUAGCAGCAUAGCAUCAGAUUGCAACAUUUGACGACGCGGGCAUCCGGUAGCGGCUAUUCUUUCUCGCAUACAGUAGGUAUGAAUCAUGUCGUCCUUAUUCCCCAUUCAUGCAUUACGUUCCAUAUGGAGCAACAAUAUAUUUUCUGCCUCUUUAUUUUGUGUAUAAACAAAAUCCCUAUUGUUAGGCUGCUGGCCGUUGUUAAUAUUUGCUUACUUCUUAAUCCUGAAUUUGAGGUGAUGGUUUCCUAUAUUACAUUGCUUUCAAAACAAUGUUAAACCAUGACGUCAGUUGUUAAUCUUUCCUUUGUCAUGUUUUUAAACUUUUGUUAUUCUUUUGAGUGAUUUUUUGGAUUAAUCCAGUUCCAACAGUUUAUCUAUUCCAUCUCUGAUGGAUAAAAAAGUUUGAGGCUACUAUAGGUAUAUGUGAAAUAUGCAAAUAUGUAUUCGUUGUUUCUUACCGGCUAAUGUAUUGGCAGUUUUCUUUCAGGUUUACCUCUCUUGUUUGUGCAGCAGGCUCAAGGUAUGACCAUGUUGAAGGCAACUUCCAGUUCUUCUACUUUCAUUUUUAUUUAGUUAAUGUAUUUUUUCUACCUUAUAAGAACUCGAGGUGAUUUUUGGGCUGUAGCGCAUGGGGAGCUUCACAAUUGUUGUGGUUACUCUAUUGUUUGGGUAAACAAAGUCAUGGUACGAAAAUUGUAUGUAUAGCUUGUGAUACGGGGUGAUGCAUCUUUGCGAGGUUAAUUAUGUGCCCCAUUCAUUGUUGCUUUGGCAGUUUCUGAUUUAAUGGUUUACUUUGAAGGUGCAUAGCAUUAGGGAAGAUAUGAUUACACUUAAGAUAUAAGGAGACAUAAUGACUAUAUACGAUAGUUAAAUGCACAAAGUUUGUCACUUUCGUAAAGAAUGGAGUUACGAGAAGAAAUGAAAUACGCAUGUUCAAUAUCUAACCUGGUUUCACAUUUUGUUGCAUAUGUCUCGAGAGCCGAUGAAGUUGUUGCCUAUGUGCGUGUUACUUAACUGAGAAAAAAUGAAAUAUGUAUGCUCAAUGUCUAACUUGGUUUCACAUUUUGUUGUAUAUAGCUCCAUAGCUCCGUAUGCUCAAUGUUUAACUUUCGUUUCACAUUUUGGUGUAAAUGGCUCUAGAGCCGAUGAAGUUGUUCCCUACGUGUACGUUAUUGUCAAUUUGGGGAUGAAAUUGACUAACAUACUAUUGUAUGUAAUGUUUUCUUAAGUCUCUAUGGUUGAGAAGUCUAUUAUGUGCGCAUGUUCGAUACGAGAUAUGGUGCUCAUAUGGAAAGAACUAUAUCUGCAAAGCUAUAAUAAUCUCAGAUUAUAAUUUGAGCUACGUUAUUCUUUUCUACGAUCAUACGUGCGUGCACGUGCAUACUUACUAGUGUGCUAAAAACGUCGUUUCGGCGGUGCAUAAUUUUUUAGCACGCCGCACCUGUCGGAGUUGCUCUAAAUGCCGUGCUCUCCGUCUGCCACCACUAGCUCGGCAGUUGCCACACCAUACGAGCACCGGCGUUGUCCACGAUGGUGCUAGACUAUGACGCAUCGAAGCCUGUCCAAAAGUGUGUUUAGCUUAAGGGCAUGUCCAAUGGGUAGCCCCAACACGAAUGCUCCACAGGUCAGCCAGGUUCGGAUGUCACCAUGACAUAAAAGUGGUAGCUUGCAGAUGACAGGUGACUGUUGUAGAGGAGCCGGCUUCCUCGAGCGAAAAAGCAAGAAAAGAGUAGAAAAGCCAGAGAGAGCACAAGAGAGAGAGAGAGAGAAAGUGCGUGCUCGAGAGAAGAUGCAUCAGCCUCAGCUUGGAAAUACAGAGAGGGGGUUGGGCCCAAGCCCUGGUGGCCUCAUGCUUUUGCGUUGGGAGAUUAAAGUCGAGCUCAUAGCCUUAGGGGUGUUUCUUUCCAGGGACUUUUUGGUGUAGGGACUAAAAAAGUCCCUUUUAGUCCCAUGUGAAAUAAAAAGGAGGGACUUUUAGGGAUUAAAAGGGGAUAUUUGGGACUAAAGGAAGAAGUCCCUAUGGGAGGGACUUUUUGGGACUUUUUUGGCACUUUUUCCAACAGUGCCCCUACUUUUAGCAUGUCAUUUAAUAACUUCUAGUAUAUUACUAGGGGUAAUAUGGUCUUUUUGCAUGUCAUUUAAUGACCUCUAGUCCAUGUUUAGUCCUUGGAAAGAAACGGGUAGGGACUAGAGACUUUUUAGUUGGGACUAAAAAAGUCCUAGGACUUCUUAAAGAAACAUGGCCUUAACCUAUUCAGUCUAUGUGGUUAGCGUGGGGCAUCACAAAACGGAUGCUACCGUAGUUCAUGUCCUAAGGCUUUGUUUGGUAGGAGUGGAUUGGGGAGGUUUGAAGAGGAGGGGAUUUGAGGGGAUUUGGUGAAUCCCUUCCUUUCACCCAAUACUCUCAAAUCCUCGGGGUUUGCUUUCACCAGUACCUCGAGGAGAAUCCUGAAACACAUAGAUAAGAAGGGAUUGAAGGAGAAGGAAGGGGAUUCCGCUAAGCAAACCCCUCUUACCAAAUGGACGCUCGAGGUUCUAUGGGGUUCUGACCCUCCCGUGGAUUUUCCUCUCGAAACGUCCCGAAUCCCUCGGUGUCAAACGAGGCCUAAUGGUUUUUCUUCUUUUCUCCUGACGACAGAUAAGAUAAUUUGGUCUCUUUUUUAUUCUUGGAAUCUGGAAUCGUGUGCUCAAAGUGAAAAACAGUUUUCGCUGGGGGACUGGUGGGAGUAGGUGCUUGUUGUUUAUAACGGUCUACAUGUCCACGACCGAUCGUUAACUGCUAACACGGUUAUGUUAUAUAGUCAUUAGUGGAAAACCGGUCUUUAAUCCCGGUUCGUAAGGGCCUUUAAUCUUGAUCACACAAUCGGGACUAAACAGUCAGUAUUAAAUGCCUCUUUUCUAGUCUCGGUUAUGUUAUGAACCCGGACUAAAGGGUGGCCACUUUGAAGCACUUGGGCAGGAAGACCCUUUGUCCCGGUUCGGGACACCAACCGGGACUAAAGGAGGCCACGCGUCAAGCGUCGUCAAGCGCUGGGGUUUAGGUUUUUAGAGGGGUUUUAGGUUUUGGUGGGGCCAUGUUUUUUGAGAGGGGUUUUAGGGUUUUGGUGGAGCACUAAAGUCCGCCAUGCGUCGGGCACGGGGGUAUUAAUAUACAACACCAGUAUAAAUUAUAUUGUAUUUUCACUCGGUUACACAAAUUAAUAUACAACAUGAGUACAAAUUAUAGAAGAACAACAUCCAAUAUCAGCACAAAUUAGAUGAUGCAAGAUUAGAAGAAAAUACGAUGUUGCGAUUUGCAAGAUCGUAUUUUCCUCUAAUUCAACUUGGUCUCUUGCAUCCAUCUUAUUUAUACGAACAUAUGUCAUAUAACAACUCAUCAUGAUCUUAAUCAACUCCUCAUCAUUCUAGUUGUUAUCAUACUAAACACCUCUUCAUCAUUUGAGGUAAAAUAACAUAGAAAGGUGAACUCCUCAUCAUUCAUGUUGUUAUGAUACUAGCAAGAGCGACCAAGUUAUCACAAGUUAGAAACACUAACUACUGCCCUCUUCUGGGUAAAAUAGCAUAAAUAAGGUGAACUCUUGCAUCUCCCAAUUGAAAAAUAAAGAUCAACCUAUCUCCAACUUGUGGCAUGCGUAAGUUAUCACUUUCAAGUGGUUGUGUGGAUGCUUUUAUUGCCUUGUUUCAUCCUUUGAUUUUCAGGGUUUUCUUCACUUCGAGAUGUUCUGUAUUUACGAGGGUAACCCAUCCAAAUUGGACGUAAUCUAACCAUAUGCAAAUCACCAUUGGUAAACAUCCAUUCAGGCGCGGUCUCUGAUGGGAGUACGUAUUGAAGAACAUAAGUAAUAAUAACAUAGUUAACAAACUAGUUUUCUUAAGAACAAUGUAUAAAAAGAUGGACUAGUGACGUAAUGGUAAAAAAUUCUUACAAAGUUGUGUGAAGUGAUGUCAUAAGGGUUCAACUAGUGCAAUACUGGCACAUAUCCACGAUAAAUGUUGCCAGUCAUGUAAUAUUUAGCAUGAUACUGAACAUCAUGAAUAAAUGAGAUCAGCUGAUUUUCUCCAACCAAGUAAGCUCGGAGUCAUAACUGUAGUAUGUUCGAUCUAUUAUCUGCCAUGUAGUUCUUGUAGCAGAGAAAUAAGCUAAUAAUUAAAAUAAAGAAAUUUAGUCGGGAUGAGUAUCAAAUACUUUUCAAUAAUCAAUAUAAAUUACCUAAAAAUUUGUUGAUAAACUCACCUGGAGGUAGAACUGGAAUAAAGUCAUUCACAUGCACCUAAAUUUCUAUAUUAUUAUCACGAACAUCGUCAUUACAAAGAUCGAAGGUAAUGUUCAUGUACUCAUCCAACCCAUACGCCUUGAGAAAUGCUCUCCAAUUAGAACAACCAGAAUAUGUGUCAUAUUCUUCAUUUUUAACCUUAACAACAAAAGUGUAACGCUCCGUUCUUUGGUGAGCUAUCCUAGGCUCUAUACUAUCCUUUUCUUUGAAAUGGAACUUGUCCAAGACAACGAAUCUUGCAUGACAGGGAAUGCACUAGUCGAAUAUAUAAAAGAAAAUUAGAAAUUAAUUGAAUCAAAAAACACGUCAUACUUCAUUAACAAAAAAUACAUGUUGUCUUUACAUACCGUAAUAAUUUCAAAGUCAUCGUGUAGCUUGACGAUGAAGGACGUAUCGUUGUCUCGGUGAGGAUAACAGUCACAUAUACCCCUAUCAUCCUAGCACAAAGGGAACUCAUGGAUCCUCCCCUCGACGUCAGACGACGUCGACAUUUCCUGUGUUCAUGAUUCUAAGAUUAAAAAUUAAUGACAAUUUUUUUCUUAAUGCUCAUUGAUACCCUAGUUUUUACCACACAUUUUAAAUGUAUUGACAUUUGUGUAUGAGGAGAUUAAAAAUCUCACUCGCGGUCAAAAACAACAGAAAAUAAGAAUUCAUCGGGGCUCUUCACGAAUACAUCUUGAAUAAUACUCUAGUUACUGCAACAAUAAUAUCACAUAAUAUCAGUAAUACAUCCCGCCCAAUCAAAUUGGACGUCGACUCGCGGUUUCUAAGCUGUCGGUGGUGAACACCCAAAGAGAAUGAACCAUCACAUGAUCAUAGCUCGGGUGAGAUCCUUGAAGAAACUGCCAGGUAUUGGAGAACCUGACGUCCAACGAACCAUGUAGCGAUGGACGUGUUCAUCCUCCUUCAUGACACGACGACAUACCACCUCCUCGGGGGCCGACUCCCUUUGCACCGACAGUGGGCCACGCGACCGCCACGAAAGAAGCUCCGGGCCGACGAUGAGACCUCGAUUCCUCACCAAGUUGUGCGCCCCGGAAGGCCAUCCAGUGCCAGCCCGACGGAGCCCAGUCCCGAACAUGGCGCCUCUCAAACUAGUUGUUGCCGCCGAGUCGACGAUGAGGAUGCGGGACCAGCAUCGUCGCCUUUAGAGAAAAACAAAACUAUAUGCCAUCAUAUAUUCGUCAUCACCAUCGGUUCAUGUAUUCAUCACCAUCGGUUCAUCUCAUCGAACCAUAAAAAAUAUCUCAAAUUAUCUACACUAUCUAGCUCGGUCGGCCGAGGUAAGAGCCACCAGGUGAAGCGUGAGAGGCGCGCGACCAGAGCCCGACCCCUGAGUUACUAAAAAAAACGCAAUGGCCCGUGAGAAUUAGCGAACUUCAUGAUUAAGAAGCCAGUUAGAAGCGAUUUAUAAGUAAAUCAGACGGCCUAAAAAGUUCAAGAUUGACUAUGUGACGGCCGAAGACGCUGAUGGUUUGAGAGGGCUGGAAAGUUGCACAGUUUAAAUGUAUUUAAAUUGAAAUGAGGCAAAUGUUUCAUCAAACAUAAGUGUAACACCCAAAACUAUAGUCUCCCUAAACUGAUUGAGCCCAAGAAAAACACCAAACGAUCGAUAUUCCUUGUUCAUGCCAAAAGUAGUGUCAAAUGUGAAACAUCCCCAAUGUGUGCAUAGUCUAGCAUCAUUUUAGCAUUAACCCAGAAAAUGUUUGUUACAUCCUCUGCACAAUCCAGCUGCAAAGCAUAUUGAAUUGAUGGGUUUUCAACAAUUUUGUCUUGAAAAUACUUUAACAUGCUGCCCGCCUGACCAAAAGCUAGCUCCCGCUGCCUCUUACUUUGCAAAUGAUUUAUGUGAUCAGAGGAGUAUAGCCAAGAUUAAGUGGUCCACCAACUUGACGAGUAGAAAGCUCAUAUGCAGCUUUAGGCGUAAUUCCAGAAUCAUCCGCGGCUUUGAUCUCAAAAUCUUGAAAUUGUGAAUAUUUCCUUUGGGACACCAUCAGGUGGCGAGUUUGUGGCAAGUGAAGGAGGUGGUUAUGUUGAAGAUCUACAUCAGUGAUCUCCAAGUUCCCGGGCUCUCGAUCCAAUGUAAAACUCAUUCGAGCUAUCACUUCUUGUUUCAGCUCUAAAGCACUUUUGAACGAAUGCUUUUGCCCAUUUUUCUGAGGGUUAACUGGGUUCAUGUCAUUACAAGUUUCAUGUGUCGGAGAAAUGCCAUUUCAGAUACUCAAGAUGGAAAUAUGCCACUGCAACUUUCCCGUAUCUCUAUCUAUGCCAUUUUCUCCAAUACCAAGCCAUAUACUCCCCUUAUACGUGAGCACAUACAUACAUAUACGAAGGACACCAAGCCGACUCACACACAUCCCAAAACAUUAUCCACCCUGACUCACACACACGAACCAUAGCGCGCGAGCGACAGCGGAUAGCUCGACGCGGCGGGGCCCUAGGCGGCGGGAGGCGGGCGUCGCGGCUGCUGGCUCGUGCCACUGUGGCUGGAGAUGCGGACGACGGAGGCUGGAGACGAGUGCGACGAUGGCUUGCUCAAUGCGGUGAGGCCCAAGGCGGCCGUAGGAGGGCGCCAUGGCUGCUAGCUCGCGCCGAUGUGGCUGCUGGCUCGCGCCGCUGUGGCUGGAGACGCGGACGGCGAAGGCUGGAGACGAGUGCGACGAUGGCUUGCUCAACGCGGCGAGGCCCAAGGCGGCGGUAGGAGGGCGCCAUGGCUGCUAGCUCGCGCCGCUGCGGCUGCUCGAUCCAUGGAGUCCCCGAGCCCCAACUCGUCAUGUGCCUAGAAUUUGACAAAUUUCAGGACAUAACUUAAAAUGACCAUUUAAGGCUUCAUACGUAAAUGGGUCAUAUUUGAACAAUAGAGUCAUAAUAGUGUUUACGAUUUUUAUAAUUUUUAAGAAGUUCAAAUUUUGUGUUAUAAUUUAAAAUUUUGAACAUUUUGGUGUCUGGAAGACCCAAACGUGGUGCUGAAAGUUGGAAAGAGGGAUAGUAUGGUCAAUACUUAAGUACACACUUUAAUACAUAGUUGACAAAAUGGCAUGGAUAGAGGUAUACAAAAGUUAGAGCGGCAUAUAUCCAAAUUUAGUUUUUAUAAUGGCAUAUCUCCAACCGAUGAAAAUUGAAGUGGCAUAGAUCCAAUUAAUCCUUUUUCUCAUGGCCUUCAUUGGCACAAACAAAUCUGAAGAGGUUUUCUUACCACCAAAUUUGCUCACAUCGUUAUACCUUUUCCUCGCAUCAAAGUGAGCACGACCACCAUAUGCUCUCCAAAAUAACCAAGUCUCCUAUGAACUAUUAAAUAACAUGCCAACUUGAAGCAUCCCCUUAUCAGAUUGUGCCGUUGCACACACCAUCCAAAUAAUCUGCCAUACAUGUACAAUGAAUUGAUCAAAUUGCACAACAAUAACAAAUUUUGUAGAUGAAAACUUGAAAGAAUUACUACAAAUUGCACAGCCUUGUGUUGUGUACUAUACUACACAACCAUACAUUCUAUGCUACAAACUACUACAAAUCAUCUGAAUUUAUGGCUGCGUUUGCUUGUGUGUGCGCGCGCGCGUGAUCAAAUGCAUGAAAUAUGUAGAUAUCAUGGGCAAUAUGUACAUGCACGUACAUAUGAACUUAAAUUUAAACCUGUAUGUAGAGACGACUGAACCUGAACAUUCAGCUAGCUACGUAAAUAUGAACUUAAAUUUAACCUGUAUGUAGAGACGACGGAACGUGAACAUUCAGCUAGCCCAUGACUAACCUAAACCUGAAUUACCUCCGACGGUCGAUGGCUGCAGAUUUACAAUGAAAUCAUUGUGAAUAUUAGGCGGACAGACAACCUCUGGUGCAGCAUGCCGAUCAUCCUUCGCCUCCACGACGGCGCGACCUUCACCCCUCGCCACAACCCCUUCUCGAUCUUCAACGGCCGCGGUGCGAGGCCUCCUCCUCUCCUCUGCGGCGGGGCAGCUCUCCAACCUCGCUCUCUUACGGUAGUGCAACUUUUCAACCUCUCUCUCUUACGGCGUCACGACGAGGCUCGAGUCCCUCUCUCUCCUCGGUGAGCUCUCUCGUCAAACCCCACCUCCGUCGAGCGGCGCGGGAGAACUCGAUCCGGCCCGCCCGCAAAACGCCUCACCCCYUGUGUCUGCUAAAAACCACCUAGUCCGAAUGUGGUUUGCACUUAGUUAAUCUUGUGCGUCGGAUGUAGUAUGAGUGGCAGAUGUGGUAAGCUAAGGCGUUGUGUGCCUUUGCUCUUGAAAGGCACCCAAGUUGAUGAAUAGGAGUGAUAUAAUAAGCGUAUUAAAGCGACAACGCAGUGACCAAAGAGCUGUAGCCCAGGGCUCGUGACAAAUUCAUUCGUUCGCUCGUAACUUUACAGAGGGAGUACCUAACGUGAAUUAUCUCGAAACACCGUCUGAAACGAAACACGAAUGGUAAAAGGAUAGAGGACGUAUACGUGCGCGGCCUAGCCGAACCAGGCACCGACAGGUGGGCACACGAAGCCGUCUCGAACCAGCCGGACCGGAGCCGCCGCGGGGUAAAGAAAGAUCAGGCCCACUCCUCUCGUCUUCCCCAUCGUCUUCGAAUUGGGGAUCUCGCGUCCCAACCAAACCCGCUCCAAACCUAGGGUUCCGCCGACCCGCCGUCUCGCCGACCGCUCGCCGGCGCCGGCGCCGGCGCCAUGUACAACGGCAUCGGGCUGCAGACCGCGCGCGGGUCCGGCACGAAUGGGUACGUGCAGACCAACAAGUUCUUCAUCCGCCCCCGGACCG